GGGAGGCUCCCGAGAAGGCCCCGGAACGUGCUGGAUGAUGCUGGAACGUGCUGGAACACUCUAGAAGGCUAUUAUGACGGUCAGCGAGUGUCAUGAAAGGUCUAGUCCUCUCUAGAAUGUUCUAGGCUUCCUUGUUAUGUACCAAAUGAACUUGUAAUCUCUAGAAUCUCCCUUGGCCGACCUUCUAAGGCCCAAGGUCGGUGGGGAUGGUCUAUAAAUACUUGGGGAGGGCCUCAUUUGUAUCAAGCCUUGCAACCUUGCAUCUUGGCAUGUCUUAGCCAAGCAAGGUCACCUUGCCACCCAAAGUCUCCUUGCCCAUGGUAUCCCCAUGACAAGAAGACAGCAUAUUUGUACCCAAAUAUGUAUUCAUCUAUUGUUGGAAUGCAAUGUAUCAUUCCAAAGACGUAUCCAUCCAAACUCCCUCAUCCUUCCAACCUCUCUCGUGUCUUGCAACCAACCUUAGUACUUCCGCUGCAACCCGUUGUCGUAGUGCUUGGCGCACUACCCCUUCCGGGAAAGGCUUACUUGGCUACGUGGGCAUUGUAGUUAGCCAAGUGCCGCACGUAUGGUUAGCUUCAGAUCCUAACCACGUGACAUGAGGCAUGCAUACUACCAAAUAUACUAUAAAUAAACCAUAAUUCUUUUUUAAGAAAUUAAACAACUAAUUAAAUAUAAAGAAGAAAGAUUAGAAAAUGAAUGAUCAAACAAACUAUGACUCAUUUAUUUUUGACAGGUUCGGCCAGUAUCACCUGACAAUUCAUUUUCACCAAGAAAAUAAACAUGAGUAGCCUUGGAAUCAAGUUCCUCCGAUAAAAGCCACGGAGUUAAUGGGUUAGAGACAGAACCAGAAUUUGAGUUCAACGAUGUGGAUGGAAAAUUCUGAAACUAGGAGCAACAGGAAGUUAAGACAACAAAUUAUUUUUAAUAUAGAAAGGGUAAUUGUAAGAAGUUGUUAAUGAAGUGUCCAAAUGCAUUAUGGUAAUAUUGGGUGCAGAAUGUUUGGUAGUUUUAUCCGUGUGCUGUGAAGCACCACAGAGUUGAAGCAUAUGAAACCAGUGUUUAUCUGACAAAAAAUAGUGUCAUGAUCAUUGCCUUUCCAUUCCAUAAAUUUAUGGAUAGCAGAAGAAAGAGAACUCUCAACACUUGAAUCACCAUAUAGCAGUCUACAUCCGGGUGGUGCCUUGAUUUUUGAAGAUUUAGUUAAAAGCAGUGAUAAAAUUGGUACAUAAAUUACAGUGCAUUUCUCGAUAUGCAACAACAUUAAGAGCAACUUAAAGACAACAGUCAUCAAGAAAUCUAGUAUUUAAAAUGUACAAAGAGCAGUAGUAAACAUAUGUAUUUUAUGGCUGACUUUAUCCAUAAUAAAUGUUGGAUUAAAUCAUCAAAAUAAAACACAAACAGAUAAUUAUCGAGUUUUUCAAUGGAGGAUAGAGAGGAAGACAUGCAUGCACAACUACUAGAUCUAUAUGGUGCCAUACUGCCAGUAAAAAUUUAAAGACACACAUGACAACAUUAUUUUGGUGAAGUUCUAAUAUUGCAACCAUGGAGGAAAAAUCAGCAAAUCUUAAAUAGAUGUAGUAGUCCAAAUGAUAAAAGUUUGUCUCAAGAUAAUAUUUCAAUAACUGCAAAUGCAUUGUGUUGAACCUAACCUCUUGUGUUUCACGGUAAUGAACAAGGACAAUGUGUUCAAAGGUCCUGAACAAAAAGCAGAAGCAAGUCAUAAAUUAUAUAAGUAGAACACGAUAUACUGCCACUAUCUAAUUUCAUUUUUCUUUGCUUGUGGCAUGAUGGGGAUAGACCCCACUGAAACAACUGGUAGCAAGCAAUUUAACAACUUUCUUUCAACCAUAACAUACUUAUCUAGGAGCCAAUAACACCGGCGAACAAAGGUUGGGCUAUCUAGUCCAUGGGCAUAGUAUACAUGUAUCCUUUCUACAUUACCAACCUGCCGAAGAGAAAGAAAAGAUUAUCAAAGCACACCUUUUCUUGGUUAUUAAGGCUGUAAAAGAAUGAAAAUUACCAUAAAUCUGAACACAGUUAAUAUUAGACCAUUGAACAACCUAUAGAUUCAAAAGGAAAGACUCAAACCACCAAUAGACUGGUUAAUCAUUUAAAAUGAUCUCCAACAACAUGAUACGCAGUAUAUCGUGCUAGAUCCAUAAUUACCACAUGUGGACUCCUAUGGUAAUUUCAUUGAUGAUACGCAGCUAGUAGGUAAGAUUAUGAAAUGAAGACGGUAUGUGAGAAGAUUGAAAAGAUCAACAUGAUAAAAUUAUAGGGAUUUGAAUUUAUAUCUUAAGAACACCAGAGUCAAAUGCUUAAGCUGAUUAACUGUGUUAAAUUUAACUCUAUCAUAUAUUUUAAAUCUGAACAGUCAUUAAACAACUACAUUUUGAAUAAGCUUUAGAGAAUAUUAGCAAAAACAGUAGAAAUUACUUCAAAUUUGUAGAGAGAACAUAUAAAUUAUAUUCUACAGAAACACGAGCCCAUAGCAUGUCUACUGAGUAGCAAUGACAGUGAAAAAGGGAAUAGUAAGUAACUAAUCUCAUAAACCCCUUUCUCACAUCUAACCAAGUUCUUUCACGACAUGCAAAAGCAUCAAAAUAUUUAAGAAAACUUCCAAUAUUGCAUUUGGAACUCAUUGAUUGACUUCAACGUUUAAGAGUCAUAAAAGACACAACUUACUUUCUCACCUGUCACCACUAAGCCUACGGCAACAUCUUUUUAUAAGAUAUUCAGCUAAUCUUUAGAUUGGUUACCAAAUAAUCGUCUAUUGUUUUGUAAUUGAUCCCACCAAGCGCUUGCGCCACCUUGAAGUUUGAGAGCAACUAAUCGAACCUUCUUGUGUUCGGGUGUAUUGGCAUAGUCGAAAAAAUUUUCUACGUUCUUGAUCCAAUCAAGAAACUUCUCCACGUCCAUUCGACCAUUGAAGGUAGGGAGAUCCACUUUCAUACGUAUUUCAUGAUCUUCUUGAAAGUAUGGUCGAAGUCCAAGCCUCUGUUGAGGUUCUUGAUGAAUGUUCAGCAAGUUGUCUUCAUCGGAAGAGUCAGAAUCAUUUAAGAAAUUUUCAGGUACGUUGUUUCCAUACAAUCGAUUAUUGUGGAUGUGAAUAGGUUGAUUUCUUAGUAGUUCUUAGUUUACAACAGGGUUUAUUGGUCUUUCUUGUCUUUCUUGGUUUGCUGCAAUUGGGUUUCUUGGUCUUUCUUGUCUUUCUUGGUUUGCUGCCAUUGGGUUUCUUGGGGGCUGAAUUGCUUCUUCUAAAGGUUGGACAUGAAAUCGGGUAAAAAGGUUUGUUAAUUCUACUAACGAUUGCUGUAUAUCUGACUGCCCUUUUCGAAGUUCUUCAAUAGCUUGUUCUACCAACUGCAAGCGUUGGUUGAAGGAGGCUUCCGCGUCCAUGGAUAAGAGUGGUAGGAUCCAAGUUUUUUUAGGGAAGAGUGAGCUAGGAUCACGCUCUGAUACCAAUUGAUUCAGUAAUUGCAAAGCUAGAAAUCUUUAUGUAUAAUGCCUCUUUUUUUUUAUGUCUUAUUAAUGAAAAUGAGAAGCUUUUUUAUAGGCUGGAGAUUAUAAGAGUUGUUAAACUAACUUGGGGUUGAGUUAGUUUAACUUGGAGUUGAGUUAGUUAUAACUAACUCAAGAUACAAAAUUGGUAAUUCAAAUAACUAAUCCUAAACUAUAAAAAUGGUAAUUCAAACCCCUCCUCUAGGAUAAAACUCAAGAAACAUCAAGAAGGGAGAUGUUCUACAUCAAAGUGUAGAGAACGAUUCAAAAUCCUUGGUGAAAGAAAUGAAUGUUAACUAAUGUGUGUUUAUGUGAAAUUGUUCAAUGAGUAUGUUAAGGAUAAAGAAAGGUUUAUGCGAGAUAAAAUUAUUUGAUGUUGUUUAUGCGAAAUGAUGUUUAUGAAAAGGUAUUGCGAAAAGGAUUUCAUAAAACCUUAGUCUUUUAGACAUUCUUUCAAAAAUUCAUCUUCCAAGAUGAGGUGUUUAGGCCAAGUAGAGAAGAAGGUUGAAGGAUUUGCAGCGAGAUGACCAGACGUUUUGAAAAUAGUUAAGCAUUGGUUGUUUGGUCAAAGUGUUGUAAUUAUGUAUCAAACACAUGUUAUUAAUAAACAUCUUGGUAGGUAUUUAUUAUACUUGCACGCCUACUCUCACAUUUAGCCAUAUGUUGUACUUUGUUUUCCACCUUGACUUUUAAUGACACACAAACCAACUUUCCAAGGAAUUCCCUUUCAUUUUCCUAUUAACUCAUAUUCUCUUUUUUUAUCAAGUCCUUGAUAGAGAAAGUGGACUUUGAGUUGUUGGACUUUAGUAUUGCAUGGACAUACAAUUUUGAAUGAAAAAUCCUUAUAAAUGGGGCCUUUUAACUCAUUUGAUGGGUUGGCUAUUGAAUUUGGGCUUUCAUACCAAAUGGAAUUUCUUUUUCUUAUUUACUUAAAGAAAAAAAAAAAGAAAAUUUACCACGCCCAUUUUUUUUCAUCUAUUUCUUUCGUCCGGUUCUUUCAUCCAACGAGUCCCACAACUCGAUUAUGAGUCUAGAAGUACUAAGUCAAACUUAGUGGUUGUUCGAAUAAAACGCAACUUCAAAUGUAAGUAUUCUAAAAACCUUAUUUUUUGGUUUAGUCUCGUUAAUUAAGCCCAAUUAGGGUAGAAUUUCGAUUCUUUUUCUGUUGUGCAUGUCUUAGUUCUAUCAGUAACUCCCUUCAGGGUGAUAACUCUCAUCAGCAGACUUUCCAUUACUGGUUUCUUCCUUAGUCAUCAUUAUAUUGUUGUUUUCCACAAUAGAUAGGGUGAGUUGCAGUUUUACAUGAAAUGCUCUGCUCAACCCACACUCUUUUCUCACUAGUUCCUUAUUCUCAAUCUUCAACGCAAAUUUCAUCAUCUCGGCCAACCCAAUCGGUUCCACGGUUUCCACUUCCAUUUUUAUUCAUGGGCUAAGCCCAAUCAUCAAAGUCUCCUCUAACACUACCGUUUGAAGAAAUGCUACCAGAGCUAAAUAUCGAUCAAAUCGGUUGCGGUAUUCUUCUACAAUCAUUUUCUGUUUGAUUGAGAAAAAUCUUCCAACCAAAGUUCCUUCUCGAAUUGAUCGAAACUGUACAAGCAUUCGUUCUUUCAGGUCAGCCCAAUUCUUAAAAACUUCCAACUCUUCUUGUGCUUGGUACCAAUCCAAUGCCAGAUCAUCAAAACUAAUAACGCUUGUGGUUAAUUUCUCUGAAUCGGUAAGAUCAUGUAUCUUAAAGAAGCGAUAGGCUCUAAAUUUGAGACCCAUUUCUAAUUUGAGUAAUGAAGUAAAAUUUGGCUAGGUAUUAAGAAUUUGGCGUUUAAAUAAAUCCACGAAAAGGAUUAAGCGAUAAAAAAAUUUAUGGUUAAGUAUACGUUAUUGCGAUUCAGUGGGUAGUUCGCGAAGGAAGUUGUGCGACCCAUUUCUAAUUCGAGUAAGGAAGUAAAAUUCGGCUAAGAAUUAAGAAGUUGGUGUUCAAAUAAAUCCAUGGAAAGAUUAAGUGAUAAGAUCUUUUACGGUUAAGUAUACUUUUUUGCGAUAAGUGGGUAGUUCGCGAAAGAAGUUGUGCGAUAAGAAGCGAAAAAGUCUUUGCGUAAGUUAGGAAAUGAAAGUUUUGAGUGUUAGACUAGGAGUUUUGGGUGGUCUUCGCGAGAAGAACCAAGUGUUUCGUGGAGAAGAAGUCUACGAGGAAGCCUUGGAGUUUAAGUUCGUGAUAAGAGUUUUAUGCGAGUAAAAGUUGGUUAGUUCACGUGGAACGUUUCUUAUAAUAAAAAUAUAAUCAAGCGAUAAGGUUAUUCACGAGAAAUGUUAAGUGGUUGAAUUUAUUCACGGUUUGGGUUAGGCGGGGAGCAAGGUUUGUAAAGAAAAUGUCAAAUCUGAUUUGACAUGGGUUAACAUGUAAGAUUAAGGAUUUGAGCAUGACUAGGUUAAAUAUUAAGGAUUUGCAUGACUAAGUUAGUAUAAGGGAUCUAUAAAAUAGGAGAAUUUAGGUAACUAAGGAGGGGAUGACGAGAGUUUUGUUGAAAUGUUAAAGUGUUGUUGGUUUAGCCUCGCGAAAAGAUGGUUGUGAGAAGGACUUCUUUAGUAAAUUUUGGUGAGUGCUUUUCAGUCAAAAGAAUUUAUGUUAAGAAACUUUAUUACGAUUUCUCUUUACUGAUUUGAAAGAAGAAUUCAGAUGAGAAUGUUUCAGAAAGAUUUCUAUGAAAAGUUAUGUGUUCAAGCAUUAUUGAUAAUGUUAAAGCUUGAUUUGAUGACUAUGAUUUCAAUAUUAUGUUUCUUUGAGAUGAUGCUAACUUUUGUGUGCACAUAAAGAGUGAAGGCAACUAUGGAGUGUACGAACUACAUGGUAAUAAGAAGCUGACUUAUGCAUUGAAAUGAGCGUAUAAAGCUUAGCGGUAUGAGCAACAAAGACGAAUUUGUAUGUUCUCAGAUGCUGUUGAUACAGUAGUCUAAACGCGAGGUAAUGACACCAAGCGUAGAGAAUGAUUCGGGAUCCUUGACAAAAUGAAAUGAUUUUUUAAGCAUAAAGAAAGGUUUAUUCGAAAUGAAAUAAUUUUUCGGUAUAUUUAAAUGAUUUGAUAUUAUUUUUACAAAAUGAUUAUGAAAAGGUAUUGUGAAAGGUUUUCAUAAAACCUUAAAGGAUUUAAAAAAAAAGUGGACCAUUCAACUUAAUUCCCAUCCACUAUCCUCUUGUCCAACAUGAAACUUUAUCUUAGUAAAACUUCUUGAUCCACUAUUUUACAAAAAUAUUCAAAACAAUACCAUACUACACCAAAUGUGAUAUUUUGGUAACACUUAAAAUGGUCAGAAAUACCAUUUUCCUGACUUUUUUUUCAUCGACCAUUAAAGAAAAAGUAUAGAUGAUGUUUCACAAAAACUUCCAAACCAUUGUGUUAGUUAUCGUUUUAGAUGAGGGUUGGGGUAGAGCAUCAAUACUAAAGGUUGUUAAGGAUUAAGAACUAAGACUUGAAAACAAAACCGCCUGCCUGGUUGACAACAACACCAUCCCACUAGAGUGCACAAUGAUGAUUUAUUGCAUUAAGAAGAAGAUGGCAGUUAACCUUAGCGCCAUAAUCAGAACCUCAAUCCUCCCUUUGAUGAAAGCACCUAAAGGUGUCAUGCCUUUCCCCUCUACCACAUUGAAGCUCUUUGUCUAACACUACAAGAAAUGAGGGCUCUCUCGAUGCAUAAAAUCAUUGGGAGAUAUAUAAAAAGCAUCAGAAAAGGCUUUUCUGACAUACUAAUAUACGUUGGAACACAAGUCAGGAAAAAUGUAUCGGGAGAGGAACUCCCGAUGCACAAUGUUGUGCGUCGAGAGUUUCUAGACAUCUUCUGACGUUGUAUGAACGUCGAAGAUGUUGUCAAUAUAGCAUCGAGAGAUGUCUAGGAACCAUGCGUCGGGAGAUCCUCUAUUUUUUUUAAAAAAAUAACUUCAAUUAAUUCCUAAAUUCAAAUUGAAAACUUUAAAUUCAAACUCAACUUCAACACUUCAACCUCAACUUCAACACUUCAAAUUCAAAUUUCUAAAACCUACAACUAAUUCAAAAUUCUAACAACACUUGAAAUUAAAUUUCAAUACUAAAACUUACAACUAAUUCAAAAUCUAAAUACUAAAACUAAUUUGAAAUCUAAAAUCUAACACCUAAAACAAAUUUGAAAUCUAAAUACUAAAACUAAUUAACUAAAACAAAACAAUAACUAAACUAAACCACUUACCGAUGGCGGCGACGACAGGACGACAACAGGGACGGCAAUGGAGAUGACAAUGCCCUCUUCUUCUUAAUCUUCCUCUCGGUCUCCCUCUCCCUCUCUCAUUUUCUUUCUCUUUAUGUUUCAUUUAUAUAAAGAAUGGAGUUAAAAAAGACAGAGAACUCCUGACGCACAACGAAAACGUCGGGAAUAGCACCCUAUUCUUGACCUGAUUUGUUAAACGUCAGAAAUCCCUAAACAUAUUCCCACGCAAUUAAUGAUACGUCGGGAAUCCCUAAAUCUAUUCUCAACGUUGCUGCCACCACGUCAGAGGAAGGCGUAACAUACAAUUAAUGAUCUGCCCUUCCUCCGACGGUUCCUAAGCUUUUAGCUUUUCUGCAAUCACCCCUUAUGCAUGUUCUCAGGCGAAUCUCAACCAAACCAUAACACUCCAUCAAAAUAAAGAAGAAGAGAGACACCUCAAAACCUUUAAUAAAGUUAAGGGAGAAGAAUGGAAUGGCAGAGAAGAAGAAGAGGCUUCUCCGUUGCCACCACUGCUAAAGAGGAGAAAGGUCCACGAUGACGCGUCUAACUCGUAUAAAAAGGAAAAAAGACGAAAGCUAGACGUGGCCAUCGACCCUAAACCUCUUGCAAUCCGACCCCUAACUCUCUCAUCGCCUCCUCCAAAAUCCAAAUCCUUCAAUUCCAGUCCUCAUCCAAAAAUUGAAACUCCCUGUCAUCAAUCUUACCCAAGUCUUCUCGCAUGUCUAUUAUCCUCUCACCACCAAAUCCCCCAUCAUUAUAACAACAUCCUUCACCUCACGACCUGACCGAACAAGCCCUUACCCGAUCAAAAGGGCAUUGUUAGCGAAGAAGAAUUCCUUAGGGUUGAGGAGGAAGACCUGCAUCACAUUCCUCUCCCUCCGCACACUACUAUACGUAAUUCCAAGGAGGAAGACUUACAUCUCGCGUGUAAACCCCGAUACCUAAUAAUCCUUAAUUCAUCUAAAGAACUCAAUAGGACAUUAGGGGUUGAUGUUAGGAGAAAGAUGGUUUAAGAUUGGAUAGUUUAGUUGAAGUGUUAUGAAAGAUGUGUUAAUAUUUUUAAGAUGACAAAAGAAAAGUGUCAUCGUAACAAAGAAAGGCAUAAAGGGUGUUCGAAAAUUGGCUAAGUGUUGUCUAGGGCAUGUUGCAUACUCUAGGCGGCCAAAAGUGUCAAGCGAACCUCUAAAGAGACAUGUUGGGUGGCCAAAGGUUGAGAUGUGGUAUGGCCGAAAGGUGUCAAGACAACCUCUAUAAGACAAGGCUAUAUGACCAAGGGUAUGCGCUAGGCAAGGAAGCUAAGCAUCUAGGAAAUGUCAAGAAACUCUAAAGAAGUUAGAACGUGGAUAAGGAAUGUCAUGCAACAAAGAGGUGGGCUAUGUGGACAUAGGCCAUGCGGCCAAUGGGGCAAUUCAACCAAAUGCUAGUCAAGAUGGCAUGGUUUGUUGAAGGCAUUGAGGGAUGUUUGGGAGAUUAGGCGAGAAAAAAAAGUCUUAGGCAUUCUUGGCAGUAAGAAUUUACUAAAGAACCCUCAUAGAAAAAGGGAUAUGCAUCCAAGGAUGACUUAAGCAAUAUGAGGUAAGAUGUGCGGUAGAGUACAAGUGGACAACAUACAAGAUACCUAAGUUUUGCCAAAUAAGUGUCUUGCAUGAGGUGGAAAGUGCCAAGUAUGGGCGUAAGAGGUGAGAAUAAAAGUGUCAACCAAAGAGCAUGCAAGGAUUUUGGAAUGUAGAGUAUUUUGGAAUUUGUUAGUGACACUUUGUGGUAAGCUAGUGAAGACAUUCUAAGUAAGUUUGUAGAAGGAAUCUUAUUGAUUUAAGCUUCAAAGUCGAGUUAAGUUUCUGGUAGAAAAAUCAUAUUUCUAGGCAAGGCCAAGGGUGGGUUGAUUGCCAGGAUGACAAGGUGAGAUGAGCGUGUGUUUUGAGCGAAAGAGGUUAUUUAGGCUUGGGACAUGCAAGAAGCAUGUCCUGGCAUGAUCAAGCAGCCUGAGCCACGCGUCAUUACACACUCUAUUAUGAAAGUUGAGUAUAUUGUUACUUGUGAAGCAGCAAAAGAAGCAGUUUUGCUGAGGAAGUUCUUGCAUAAUUUGGAAGUUGUUCCAAACAUGAACAUGCCCCAUCACUUUAUAUUGUGAUAAUAGUGGGGCAUAUUACUAAUCCAUUUACAAAGACUCUCAUGGCUAAAGUGUUCGAGGGUCUUCUAGAAAGUCUAGAUCUGCGAGUUAUGUACAUUAGGUAAUCUAGGAAAAGUGGCAGAUGUGUAAUGGGUAUGAGGAUGCCCUAGUUUAUUGUAUUUGUAUAUACACAUUUUAUGUAAUACACUUGUACAUUUUACCAUUUUCAAUGUUAGAGGAUUACUUUAUUAUGAACAUCCCAAAGAGACUAGAGUUUUAGUCCAAGUGGGAGUUUGUUGGAAUUUAUGUCCUAAAACUCGUAGAUUGUAAAUAUAAUCCAUUGACCAUUGUUAAUAAAGUGUUAUUAUUGUAAUAAUUGUUAUUGAUUAUAUUAUUAGUUUUGUCUUAAUAACUCAAAUCCAAUAAACUAACAUCCUAAACUGUUUAAUAAGUAUUGAAUAGUAUGUAGAGACAUACAUGGAUCAAUGUUCGAGAUUAGCUUAAAGGGUCUAUAGUAUAGGGAUAAGACUGGGUACCUUUAUCCUGGUAACAUUAUGAAUACGACUCACUUUGUAUUUGAUACAAAUACAAUGAUCCAAUGUGCUCAUGUAGUUGACAUGCGAGUGAAGGUAUCCUAUGCAAUGAGAUUGCAAUAGACCAGACCGUGAAAUAGUAACCACUUGGUGUUACUACAUUAACUAGUUAGGUUUCUAUUUCACUAGGAUGACCUAUAUAACUUAGUCUUAAUCUUGAGUGUAUUAUGAACUCUUGUUCGCGAGAGAUUGUCCUUUGAUUUGUACGAGUGAGAGUGGCUAGAUCGCCGACUCAAUAAGCUUAUCAUUCACUACUACAAAAACAGACUCUCUUGACGUUUUUAAACUGUCAAGAAUCACUAUUCUUGACGGUUUUAAAACCGUCAUUGAAGCCAGCGUCAAGAAAGUCAAAGUUCUUGACGGUUAAUAAAACGUCAAGAAUAGCGAUUCUUAACAGUUUAUAAACGUCAAGUAUACAAAUAUUCAUGACAGUUAAAAAUCGUCAAGUGAAUGAGUAUUCAUGACAUUUAAAAACUAUCAAGAAUGUAAUUUAUGACAUUUAAAAACGGUCAAGAACACAAUUGUUUAUGACGUUUAAAAAACGUCAAGAAUUUACUUGUUAAUGACAUUGAAAAACCGUCAAGAAUGUAUUUGUUUAUGACAUUUAAAAAACGUCAAGCUUGUUUCAUUUUUUUUCUAAAUUAUAAUUUAUUUAUAUUUUUUUCCUGUAUUGUCUCUAUAAUUCCUGUAGUGUGGCCCAACAAUCUCAUAAAUAUGCACGAGUACAAUUCCAAAACUUUAACAUAUAUUAACAUUUAAUCAUAUAUGUAUGAACAUUUCGAAAACUUUACAUGUUUGUUCGAUAUUGUCAUAUACAAAACACUACUUCAGUCAACCCCAACCUAAUAUGAUAAUCCCAAAAUUACAAAACCAAUCCAACUAUGCUAUUCCAAAAAUCACAAGACUACAAUUCUAGUUCAAGAAACAAAAUCUUAAUUAAAGAAGCUUUGAAACUCAAUGAUCUUGGAUGAAUUUGACUUCAAAUACAAACUUGGAUUCCACAACCUAAACCAAAAUAAAAUAAUAUAUCAAGUUAAGAUGGAUUCACAUAGCAACAUUUUAUCAAAUGGUUGCAAUGUUUCAAAUAAGCAACAAUUAAAAUUCACAUAUCGAUUUGGCAUCUAUAAAUAUACAAACUAAAAAGUACCUAAAUGUCAAUUAUUUACCCAAUAAGGCUAACUAAGUAACCAACCUCUAAUAUGUUUUGCAAUGAAAAAGGUUGCCAUAUUGUUAAUUUGGCCAUAUUGUGAAGGCAACCUCUUAGAUGUGUUUGUGAGAAAUGAAAGAAAUACCAAAAUAAGUAUGGACUAAGAUAGUAUCAAAUAAAGUUAAAGUUGAAUUUUAAAGCUCUAUUUUUUUCAAGAUAGAGAAAUUUCAGCUAAAGAGGAAAACACUAAGGACAACAAGCAAAAAAGUCUAACAAAUAUCAAAAGAGAACAUGCAGGAAAGAAAGAAUGUAAAUAAGGUUUUAUCCGCACCAAGCAAAAAAGUCUAACAAGUAUCAAAAGCUUUAUAAGUUGUACUAGAAUUCAAAGCUCUAAACUCUAAAGAAUGUAAAUUUCUUUGAAGAAAUUUGUGUAUAAAGGUCACACAGUUGAAAAUUCAAUACCUUUUCAAGAAUGUUGUUGAGAAGAUUAUUGUGAUGAAUCUUUGAAUCCAAAUUAUGGAGACAAGAUAAAUAAAUGAGUUUUGAUUCUAACUGACUGAAUGAGAGUUAAGAAAAUAAGAACAUUGGAGUUGAAUUAUCAGCAUUUAUUUUAAUCAAACUUACGAUAGCAAACCAAAUUAUAGAGAGAGAUCAAAUGCUAGGAUAAAGGAAUAGUCUUACAUUUGGUGAGUUCCCAAAUGUUGUGGUAGUCACGAGAGUUAUUCCACUCGAAUUGUCUUAGACAAGAGGCUUCCAUUCAGCAAGUACUGGUGAGAAUUAAAGUGGAAUGACAAACUUAAAAACACCUAAUCUUUAACAAACUUUUCCGACUUUUUGCAAUUAUUUUUUAACACAAGAUAUCAAAACACACUUAAAAACCAUAACAACCAAUUACCAUAAAACGGUGUCCAAUAACAAUAAUUGGGUCAACCCAAACAUCAUUAAAUUCUUGGGAAAGGUUGUGGACUAGACCUUCACCAUCUUGCCCCUAAAACAAGUUAAAGCUUAAGGAAAGAACACAGUAGAAACAAAAAUCAUAAACUCAUCAGUUAGAUAGUAUUGGUGGUCAAAACCUCAAGGUCUCACUUCUUCCAUUUUAUAUUACCAAAUUUGAAAAUGAUUUUUAAUAUAUGAUCAUUACUUGAAACAUGUUGGUGUACAAGUGUGAAUGAAACUAAAUCAAGUUUGUGUUUUAUGUUAUUGUUUUUUACAGUAUAUUUAUGUGCUAUGCAAUCCAUGAGAGUAUAUUUAUGUGCUAUGCAAUCCAGAAGGGGGAAUGCAACUAUACCUAAUUCAUAAUUGUAUUUGGAACACUAAUGAUUUUAGCACAAAUUCCAUCUUUCCAUUCUCUAAGACAUAUAAACCUUAUCUCCCUCACUCUAUACCUUGGUUAUAGUGCUCUUGCAACAUAUUAAAAUUCUCGUAAUUAAAAAUUCAUACACAAUUUAAAUUAAAUUAAACAUCAAGACCCCUGACGAAGAUGAAUCUCUGUUCAUUUUUCUUUUUAUUAACAAACAAAAGUUUUUAGGUCCACUUCUUUCAACAACAUCCUCAAGGAUCCUUAAUUAUCUCUUUCCAAGUUCAUAACCACUCUAGUCAUGCAAAGAUUAAGGUUCAUGGCCAAUCAACAAUUAAUCUGUGAUUAAGAUAUUAUGAACGUUAUUCACAUAAAAACAUGAAAAGAUUAAGAGCAAAUAAUCAGAUGCAUUACAAAGAAUAAUUCAUAAACUUUGUCUACAUCUAUCCCUAGGAUUAAGAGUUUAGCUACCCCAUACUUCACAAUCUAAAACACAAAACUCAAUACAAUACCCAUAACAAAAAUUCCAGGAGAAGAAAAAGAAAACGAAGAAGAAAAGCUAGUGAUUCGUAUUAUUAUAAUAUUGUGUAUAACAGUAUGUGUUUUUUAAUAUUCUCUGUUUCCAGCUCCAGUGUACCAAAAUAUUAUCACAAACUCCACAAUCCUUCUCUUUCCAAUCCCUAAACUAACCAAUGAAUCAUAUUCGCACGCUUGGUAGCCUUGUUCAAAAUAUUAUAUAUUACAAUUAUAAUAACUUGUAUCCCCCAUUUUCAAGCCUAAAAUGCAAAACCUUUCUUCCAUUCUCUAAGGCAUAUUUCCUCUUCUUUAAUUUUGCAUUCCAAUUUUAAAUUACAAAUUACAAAUUUUAAUCACAAAGGAAAAAAGGAAAAUUAUUACCUUUAGAAAGGGAAGAAAAUGAAUGAGUAACCAUGAAGGAUUUGGAAACGAAUAGAGGUUUAGCGAAAGUGGAAUGCGACAGAAGGACGGUGAACGUGUUUACUCGUUUUCGAACAGAGAAUGUGUUUACGCAUUUCGAACGGUGAACAGACGGACGCAAAUCGACGAAGGUGAAGGGAACGAAAAGCAGACGAACGGUGACGGACAAUGAACGCAAAUGAAUGAAGGUGAACGCUGAUGAACGCGAAGGGAAGUCUUUUUCGGCGAUGAACGCAGAUGAAUGCACAAAUGAACGCAAAGGGAAGGUUAGGUGAACGACACUUUUGAUUUCGGGUGGAGAAGGGACAGAGUCGCGGCGAAUUAGGUUUAAUUAAAAAAAGGGAAAGUGAUCUAAUUGAAACGUUGAGUUUUUAAAAGAAUAUUAACACAAUAAUUUUUAGAAAUUUCUUGACGUUUUUAAAACGUCAAAAACAAAUUAAAAUUUCUUGAAGUUUUUAAAAACAUCAAUGAUUUUUUAGAAUUAUCUUGACGUUUUAAAAACGUCAAGAAUUUUUUAUAAAUUACUUGAUGUUUUUAAAACGUCGAGGAAAACUAUAUAUUAUUGACAUUUAAAAAACGUCAAGAAUGUUGAAUUCGGAAAUAUUCUUGGCAUUUUUUAAACGUCAAAAAAGCCUGUUUUUGUAGUAGUGUUUUUGGGGACAAGACUGAGUGAGGAGUUGGGAUUAUAAUUGCACAAAAUGGAAUUCACUUAUUUCCUACUUUAGGGUAAGUAGAUGAAUGUUAGCUUAAAUGGUGUCUCCAAAACUUGAACAAAGGGCCCGUACCCUCUCUAUGACAUGAGAGGGGUUUUUGUUUAUUAGUAGGACCAUAAACAAGUUGUUCAUUAGAGGAGCACUGGUUUUUAAGGAUUAGAGGUAACAUAGGGGUAAAGCGGUAAAUUGAUCCAACUGGUGUUACAAACACUCGUGAAGGACUAACUUACUAUUAUUGGUCUAUAUCCGUGGACACAUAAAUAUAUUUUUAGUGAGAAGAGUUCAGUUGUGAGUCUUUAGUGGAGUGUACACACAGCUAACGAAUAUUGAUUAAUGUGGUUAAUGAGUUUAGCCAAUUAAUCUUAGAUCGUUGUAGUUUCUGAUAUGUAGGUCCAUUAAGUCCCUUUCCUAGCUCGUAAAGGGUAAUGAGAUUUAUUUAUAUUGGUUGUAAUUUAAAAUGUUUAAAUUUAACUUGGGAAUUAGUAUAAUGUAUAGUGAUACAUUGUAAUAUAAAGUUUAUCAAACUUUACUAUAUACAUUUAACUUUGGGGAUGAUUCAAAAUUAACUUAUGAGAGUUAAAAUAUUUGAAUGAGUUCAAAUAUUAAUUUAAUGUGAAUUGGAUUCAUAUUAAAAUUAUUGAGAGAAACUUAUAUUUGAAUAUGAUUCAAAUUUAAUUUAAGUUAAAUAUAAGAUAAAUAAUUUAGUGUUAUUAGUUAAUUGGAGAAUUAAUUAAUAGUUUAGUUUAAUAUUAUUUAAUUAAAUUCGAUUUCAUUAAUUAUUAACUAAUUGAUUAAUGUUUAAUUAAUCAGUAGAUUUGAAAUAUAUAUUAAUUUAAUUAUUUGUAAAUUAAUAGAAUCUCAUGGUUCUCUUCUACUUCAUUUUCUAUUCCUAGAAGGAAAGAGAGUUAUAAUAUCUAGAAGAAAACAAUUUUCUUAAAAAAAUGAAUUAAUAAAAAAUGAAAAAAUAAGGCUAACGCUAUUGCUCUUUGCAAAAAGAAAAGAGUUUCUCUCAAAUAUCUCUAAACUUUUUCCCAUCCCAAUUGGUUCCACAAACCAAUCUCAUCACAGAGGUACUCUUUGCAAUUUAAGCUCUCUUUGCAAUGGACAGUCUUCAACGUUUUUUUUAACGAUGUUUCCAAUGCUUUCCUUUCUCUCUCGUGUUUAAUAAAACCAAUUUCUCUUAAAACCUGUACAGAGGCUACAUCGUAUCCAAUUUCAUACAACUGACGUGUUCAUCGAGUUACAACAAGCUCCGCACAAUAGUUUGUUCCGUGUUUGAAAAGUUGUGAUUGUGACACGCUGCACAUGAGGUUAGAACGAGACAUGGCAAGGCAAGCCCUACGCGCGCCUGCCAACUUCUGCCACAAUAUUUUGUAUGCAAGCUAAUGUCUUUAGGCUAUUUUUGUGGUUUUUGGAAAUUUUAAGCAAAGUUUUGAUAUUUUUAUGAUCAACGGGAAUUAAAUGGAAUUAUUUCCCAUUAUUUUUCAUUAUUUUAGAUUUGAAGGAGAUUGAACAAGUUUAUAAGCCAAGGGUCCAACCUACUCUCUAUAAGUGACAAAAAUGAGUUUAAAGUUGAUUUCUAUACAUGGAUUUACUAUCAAAUGUUUCAAGCAUGCUUUGAUGUUUGAAUAUUUGAGGAUACUGACUUAUAAAGUAUUUCCAAAGCAUGAAUUUAGAAACAUUUUGGUAAACAUGUUUUUAUUCAUGAAUUUACUAAUGAAAAUUAUAAGCAAUCAUGAUUGUGCAAAGUUUUCAAAAUGUUUAAGCUUGAAAAUAAUAUUAGCAUGUUUUAGUCUAUACCUAAAAUAUUCUAAGAUAUAUAGCAACCCUUUGGGAGAGAUUUUCUUGUGCAUAGAGGUCAUUUGAUUUGGAUAUUCAGUAAAUACCUAGCUUUCCAUCAUUGGUAUUAGAUAAGAGAUGAAGACUUCUAAAGAUGCUUAGUUUCCCAUCUCAAGGGACGAGAGCCUGUACGAAUGCCUAGUUUUCCAUCUCAUUGUAGUUAUAACGAGAUAGGGCACAAUUGAUGCCUAGAGUUUCAUCUCGUAAGUAUCGUAUCACGGGAUAGGGCUUCUAUGCCUAGUUUAUUGUUUUUCGUCUCGACGAUGAUAGGUAUAGCAACUGAAAGGGAAAGUUUGAGAUAAGUUGUUUGAGUUUGAUUUCAUUUAUGUUAAGAGUUAAUUGUUAAAUACUUAUUAUUUCAAAACGAUGUUUUAUAAAACAAUCACUCAUUGGGCUAUUUAGCUCACUCUUUGGAUAAAUAUCCCCAUAUGGAUUACGUUGUUUGGAAAAUUAAACUGUGCUUUAGUACUUCAAAGAAAACUUCCCUCUCAUGUCCUCUCACCUCAUGUCUGCCCCAUUUGUGUUGAUAACAUGAAAAAUAUUUAGCACCUUUUAAUUGACUAUGUCUUUGUAUCGAAAUGUUGGUUCCGUCUUCUCCAAACAUUCAAUAUUUGUUGGGUUUUUUUGCUCAAUCAAGGCUUAUUCUUCUUUGUUCUCGACCUGCUACCUAUGGUUUAUGAUUUUGUUUUGGAUAUAUUAUUUUAUCAUUUUGUUUGGUUUUAUAUUUGUGGCUUUUGUUUUGUUUUGUUUUGUUUUUUUUUUUUUUUUUUGAAAAGGAGACAACCUCUUUAUUAAUAUUAAAAUAAUAAUAAUAAUUAGACAAAAGCUCAUAGUACAAGAGAGUUAUACAAUGAACAUGUAACCAUGGAUCAGGGGGUGCACCUUGGCAUCUCAACUAGGUUGCCACCCCCAUAGCACCCUCAUCAUAUCCAACCAAGCUAAAACCCAUAACAAAGGAGUAAUGUCCAAAGGCAAAACAAACACAAAAAAAGCCUUAUAUUUGUGGCUUUUGGUUUUGAUCUUGUGUUGUCGCUUUUUGGAUGUGAUGAGGGCGCUAAGGGGGUGUCAACCUAGUUGAGAUGUCCAGGUGCGUCUGUUGAUCCUCCAUCCUAUUGCUCUUUGUAUAAUCCUCAUGACAUUGAGCUUUGUCUCUUCAUAUUUCAAUAUUAAUAAUAGUGAGACUCAUUUUCUUUUUUUUUAAAAAAAAAAUAUGGGUUAAUUUGAUAAAAGUGUUGCUAGCAGAGAUUUGGUUUGAGCACAACCAACAUAUUUUCCAUGAUAACAAAAGGGAUUUGCGUGGUGAGAAUAGAUCUAUUAGAUCUCAUGGAGCAAUAAAAAAGAAAUAAGAUCUUUAUGUGAAAGUCGAACUUUUUUUUAUGGAGCAUUGUGAAGAAAGGCCUUUACUUUUGGGCAACAUUGGAAUUGGGGCAUGGUUGUGCGCUUAUUAUCAAAAGUUGUCCCCUAACGAUCAAACCGGUUCACUGUUGCGAAAUGGUGGGUUAGUUUAGGACAUGUCAUUAUUCUCGAACCUUCAGAUAAAUGUCCUUAUCUUAGGGAAUUAAAAGUUGUUCAACACAGGCUUGAAACAGACAUGUAUAGGGCUUCUGUAUUUUCCCAUAAGGAGCCAAUGAUUGAUUAUAUAUUGGUCGAUUUUGCAAAGGGAAAGAUUUCCUUAACACGUAUUGUAAAAAAAUAUGUAGUUGGCUAGUAGUGAAAAGUUAGCAAGGCUAUUCAUGUUUCUCUUGGUGUUCCCUCUCACUCAUCUUGAAGCUUAUUGUGGGGCAUUUUGUCAACUUACUUUGGGUUUCUUUUGUCUUCUAUUUUAAUUAAUUACUUCGUACUUAUUUUACAUUUUAGUUUUCAUUAGUGCGUCCUGGAUAGAGGAUUUUGUUUAGCUCGUUGUUAUUGUUGAUAAAAUUAAAAUGCCAACGAUUACAAUUCUUGAGAACGGACUCAUCUGUUUCCAAUUCAGAUGCCCAAAACUUGUUGAAUGGAUCCUAUCUCGUUGAUCGCGACAUCUUGCUGGCAAAAGUAUGCUCCUCCGUAAAUGGACUCUAGGUAUUGUCCCUAAAUCCUUUGCUUUUUAUUAUGUUCCUAUAUGGAUUAAACUAGGUAGGAUUCCAAUGGAGUUAUGGACAGAUGUCAGAUUGACUGUUGUGGCUAGUGCUAUAGGCAAACUAUAGUUAUGGACUCUCUUAUACCUGCUGAAUUUACAAUUCACCUUAGGGGAGAGGAUUUCGUUAUGACUGUGAAUUAUGAGUGGAAGCCUCGAAGGUGUAAUUUGUGCCGGUCUUUUGGGCAUUCUAGUGGUAAGUGUCCUAAGAUUGUGGAAAACAAAGUUCAUCGAGAGGAGGAUGUGAGCAAGGUGGUUUCAAACAAAGAGGAGGAACGGACAAUUGUGUCUUGUGGAUGUGGUGUUAGACUUUAAAUAGUUGGAGGAAAGUAAGACUAAUAGCUCCCCCAUUAGGCAUAUUAAGGAAAAGGAGGUAGGUAAUCGGAAUGAAAUUACUCGUUAUUAGGAAGAAAAGAGAGUUGGUUUAUGUUCGAGAGAAGGGUAAACGUGUGGAUGUGAUUAUGCCUAACUCUUUUGGCAGCCUUAUGAAGUUGGGUGAGGGAGACAAGUGGACCUUAUCUAUAGUGGAUGACUCCCCUCCCACCCUACAAGUGGAUGAUACCGCUAUGGUUCUUAGGCGUUUGUUGUUAAUCACCUUAAGAUCAUUUCAAAAUAUAAAUAUAUUUUUAGUAUAAGUCCUCACGUUCGACUCUAGACUCACCAAGAAACCUUAUUUGGAUAUUACGAAUAUGACAAAAUUAGUGAUAUUAGAUGACUAUCAAACGAUAAUCAUAGGGUUAUCAACUUUUAAAUUUACUACUUUUAAAAUUUAGAAAAUGUAGUGACAUGAGUCAUGUGAUUAUAAAUGUUUUUGUUAUUUUUGCAGGGUUCCAAAGAAAAAAGAAAAAAGUAAGAUGUGAUUGAUAAUAUGUGAAAAAAGGAAAAAAAUUAAAGAAACAUAACUCGAUAUAUCUAAUUUGUUUUAAAAAGACCCCAUUUGUAAUUUUUCUUUUCAAAAGUCACACAACAUCUUUUUGGAAAGUUUUUUUAGAGAAGCAUGCCAAUACCUUCAUCCUACGUAUGUAGAUGUAUUUAUGAAUAAUUUUUAAAAGUUCAAAACAAUUUUUUUUAACAUUUCAAAGUUUAAGGUUAUUUUUUUACACAAACUACAAAAUUCAAAUUUUUUGUAAUUUAACUAAAUACUGUUGUAUGUAUAUAUAUAUAUAUAUAUAUAAAUUAGUUAUCUUUUUUAGUCCUAUAUUGUAAAAAAAUAUGAUUAUCGAUUUAUCGAAAUCUAAUUUGUAAAUGGAUUAAAACAUUUAGUUUGUUGAAAAAAAAUGACAAUACAAUGGACCAAUGGACAGCUAAUACGAGUCAGUGAACCGAAUACACAAAAUUCUCUAAAUCCAAUUAAGCAAGAUUUCAAAAAAAAAAAUUCUAAUAAAAACCCUACAUGUACAGUCUCUCUCAUUUAAAAUUUCUUUCUCCUCUUCUCUAACGGCCAAGUCUCCCUCUCCUCCCUCUCCUCCCCCAGUCUCUCUUGCUCUCUUGUCUUCUUUGGCCUAUCUCUCAAUUUCCGUUUCUGUAAGGAAGAAACCCUAUCAACCCCCCAAUAACCGAUUCUAUGAGAAGAUGACAUAAGCAAAAGGAUCCUCAACCAAAUCUCCCACCCAAAAUGACAAGAAAAAAACAAAUGAUCACGAGACUCAUAGUUCCCUCCACAAAGCAAACACGAUAAAGCAAUCAACCUAUCCCACCGACUUAACCUAUCUCUAGUACCCAACCUAUCCCUGAUGGCCACCAAGCACAGAAGGAGUGCUUAGGAAUAUUUCCCCCACCCCAUAGUAAAUCCGACCAGUCAACCCUACUACUAUGAGGACGAAUAGUCUCCCACUCACUGGUGAUCGAAAAACUAUCAUGACUCCCCAGCACCCAGACCCACCUAUCCUCAACACUCGGACUCGGCCUCACUCCCUAAACCCUAUCCCAAAUGUCCAUCAAAUCCAAAGAAACAAGCAGCCACCUCCAAUCACCAUUCCGACCCAUGAAAUCCACCAGCCUCGCAUCCCACCGACUACCCGCAUCAUAGAUCACCCUCUACCCAAACUGCUGGAUAAUCGACCCACCCUGAAUCCAUGGAACCAACCACACUCUACACUUCCUUCCAUUGCCCACCUUCAUCUUAACAUGAGCUUUAAGGAUAUCCCGCUUACGCAAGAUUUCCCUAAAGCACCAAGAUCGACCCACCCCAGCAUCGAUCUCCCACAGCAAUCUCCCUUUAAGGAUAUAAGAUUCCACCCAAGCAACCCACAAACUACCAGAUUUAACAAGUAGCAACCAUAAUAUCUUCAACGUGCUUGCUAUAUUCCAAGAAGAUCCAUCACGAAUAUCAAGACCUCCUUCAUCAAAAGGAAGACAAACCUCAUCCCAGGCAACUUUAGCACCACCUCUUCCCUCCUCCUUACCUCUCCACAGAUAAGCCCUCAAGAUCUUAUCAACGUCUCUGUGGACUUUCAUAGGAAGCAUGAACACACUAGCCCAAUAAACCUGAAGGCUCCUAAGGACUGAGCGAACAAGCUAAAGUCUACCUGCAAAAGAUAACACUCUAGCAGACCAAGACCGAAUAUGACUGGUAAUACGCUGAAUAAGGGGAUCACAAUCAGAGCUCCGCAAUCUUUCAGAGAGGAGAGGAAGCCCAAGAUAACGAACAUGGAGAUGACCAAUGGAAAAAUCCAUGUUAGCAGCAAGCCAAGAAGCUUUCGAACUAUUAACCCCCACAAGAAAAUUUGAGCUUUUAGCAAGAUUAGCAAACAGUCCUGAAAGCUCACCAAACCUCUUAAUAGUCUCUUUUAUGAAACUAAUAGAAUGAUUAUCAGCAGUACAAAAGAUCAUCAGGUCAUCUACAAAAGUAAGAUGAGUUAAUCUGACCUUCUCACAAAACUGGUGGAAUUGAAAAUUCUGAGGUGGGCUGUUCAACAUGCGAGAAAGCACCUCCAUGACCAUCACAAAUAAGAACGGGGAUAAAGGGUCACCUUGUCUAAGUCCUUUCCUCCCAUGGAAAAAACCUUCCAACGAUCCAUUAAUCAUAAUGGAGAACAUCGGAGAGGUCACACACGCUCGAACCCAACUCACAAAUCUUAAAGGCGUACCUAUGGCAAUCAGCAAGCCAAAGAGGAAAUCCCAAUUAACAGAAUCAUAAGCUUUUUGGAGGUCAUCCUUCAUAGUGCAUCGAGGUUUACCUCUGUGCAAAUGGUAUGCCUCUACAAGCUCCUGACAAAGAAGAAUAUUGUAAAUAAUACUCCUCCCAGGGAUGAAAGAUGGCUGAUUUGCACUAACAAAAGAAGGAAGCCACACACGAAGCCUAUCUGCCAAUAUUCUUGAAAUGCACUUAUAAAUAACGUUGCAACAAGAUAUAGGGCUGAAAUCCUCCAAUCGAUCAGCACAAUUCCUUUCAGGAAUAAGUGUAAUAGCAGUCGUAUUCACCCCUUGAGGGAAGUAAUUGGUCUCAAAGAAGUGUAAGACGACAUCACAGAAACCCUCUCCAACCACCGUCCAAGCUCCUUUGAAGAAGCCAACUGAAUACCCAUCAGGGCCUGGAGCCUUUCCACCAUCCAUGGAGAACAGAACACGUCUCACUUCCUCCCUGCCAAUAGGCGACUGGAGGGCCUGACAACACUCCUCAGUCCAUCUAAACUAAACAAUCUCCUCAAUACAAGUAGAGAGCUCUCUGUAGCUAAUAUUCUGAGAACCCAGACUAUCUUUGAAAUAAUUAACUACCACCUGAGUCACCUGAUCAUGGUUAGUCAAUCGAUUUCCAUCUGGGUCAAUAACUGAUUUCAAAGCAUUGCUGCUUUGCCUUGAUCGAACAGAUCGAUGAAAAAAGGCAGUAUUCUGGUCAUCUAGCUUCAACCAUCUGACUCACGAUUUCUGGCACAUAGCGGCUUCCUCCACUCUAACCGCUUUCCAAAAGUUUACCCUGGCUAAGCUCGCGUGAUUACUCGCCUCCUCCGACAAAGACUUCGUCUCCAUCUCUCUUUGAGCUCAGUCCAUGGUAUCAUUGGCAAGAUGAGCAUCCUCACUGAUGGUCCGGAUAUGCCUACCAAAAUACCUGCGAAGAAUCGACUUAAGAUUUCUUAAGUUCCUCACAAUAUUCACAAUUGGAGAAACUCUAGUAUCUUUGGUCCAAGCAGAGGACACAACAUCCAUAAAGGACGCUUCUUCAACCCAAUGGUUAAAGAAACGAAAAGAGACCACUUGUUUUUAUAUGUUUCAAUCCAACAAUCUUCAUGGGACCAUCUUCGCUCGGUCAAUUUCCUGUAUUUCGGUUUUUAUAUGUUUCACGAUUCACGUAAACCAGUUCGGGUCCACUCAUGUCCGACCAUUUCUUCCUCACAGAAAUUAGGUCAGCCUUUGCAUUCGUCGCCCUUCGGUCGUUCGUCGCCAUAUCAUGUACGCGUUGAAGGCUUGACAUCACGCGUUUCUUCACCUCCUCAACGUCACUGGAGAAUUUCUUCAUCGUUUCAUGCUUAGGACAUCAACCCAACACCCGUGAUGAUCUUUUCGGCCCAAUCUGGGAACACGAAUGAACUAAAAAAGAAUUGAAAUUCAACUGAGGAGAUUCAUGUGAGAUCCCUCCAGCGAGUGAAUUAAAUCACGGUCUUCAAACCCAAAACUGAUAACCAAUAAAUCGAUUCGUACCACACGCAAUACUUUCAAGAUAGUUCAAAUCAAUUCAGCUUGGAAACCGAUUUAAAUAAUUUCUGGACAGACGUUAAUUCUCCCGAAUCAAAACGAAUAUCAUUCGUAAUGGUUCAAUUGAUCAAUUGUAAUAAAUUUCGAAAUGGAUACCAAAUGACAUUAGUUUUCACAUUCAAUCUACCAAAACCGAACGAAUUACCUUCGAAUUUGAUCCCUUGCUGACCGCAGCACUCACCAGCCGUUCGCCUCCUUCACCAGCCAAGUGAGAGAACUUGGAAAUCCUAGAGAGACACGUGUGAGGGACACGCACCCGAGAUGAAAUUUUUUCCUUUUUACUCUAAUUGAGUUUGAUUGUGGCUUUGAAAAGAGGAGGAAUCCUCUUUGAUCCACAAUAGGGGAAAACGAGGCUUGUUCUCACUUCGAAGGGAGCAGUUAAACUUAGCAUUGAGUUUGAUUGAGGGAUUUGAAAAGAGGAGGAAUCCUCUCUGAUCCACAAUAGGGGAAAACGAGGCUUGUUGUCACUUCGAAGGGAGUAAUCAAACUUUGAAACUAAGUGUAGAACCAUAAGGAGAUUACCCCACCGGUUCUAGCAAGGCCUAUUACCAUAUUUCAUACCAAAGAAAGAAAAAAAAGGCUUGUAAAUGCAAACCAUAAAAAUGUGAGACAAUCAACAACUAUAAAAAAAACAUAUGCAAUAUGCAUUGAAAAAAGCACAUAAAAAUUAGAGAGUCAAGUCGAUUAAGUCAAGUAGAAUGUGUUGAGUUCCCUAACUAUUAGUGCUUUUGGGGGAAAUUUUCACUUUUGGCCUAACCAAAACUAGACCACCUAUUCUUAGCGUUCUAAACAUAGCAUCAAGUUUGAUUGAGGGCUUUAAAAAGAGGAGGAAUCCUCCCCAAACCACGGAAGGGGGAAAAUGAGGGUCGUCACUCUGAAGGAAGCAGUCAAACUUAGCAUUGAGUUUGAUUGGAGGCUUUGAAAAGAGGAGGAAUCUGAUAGACCCCCUAUAUUAUAUCUGUACAGCGGAAGAGGGACAAAGAAAUUAAAAAAAAUAUAUCACGUGCACAUGAAUAACAUGUGCUUUCAAAGUGUUUUGGCAUAAUAGAAGUGAAUAACAACUUUCAAUUUAGAACUACAAUAUCAAAUUUGAGGUCUCUUGAAUUUAGAUGCCUACUAGAAGAGUGCAAAUGGUUUAUUAGGACAUCUCGUUAUAAGAAGCGCGAGUUGUGGAUGCUAUGAAAAUACAUUUAUGAACAUGACUGUUCAUUGAAUACUAGUUUUUUGUUAUAAGGGAAUGUCCUUCAAAUGCUUUCGCUUUAUGUUUUUUGUUUUUCCUUUGUACAUGAGGUUGUUUAAAAAUUUUGUGAUGGAAUUGAGUUUACGAACUGUUGUUUUGUAAAUAGUACUUUUAAAGUUUUGGUUAUUUGAAGUAGGGCCCGAACUUAAGUUUGUUUUCUUUGAUCGUAUGAUUUCAAGUGAAUUUUACUAUAUUUUGUGUCAAUCACGGUCUCUUUGUCAAAACUAAUGACUUCAACUUAGUUAUAAAAGUUGGGUCGUUACGACAAAAUUUAAGUAUUAAUGUAAGAAUUAUGUACUUCAUUAUAAAGAUCGAUAGUUUAAAGUUUUUGACGAUAAUUUACAUGGAAUUACACGAUCAGUUACCAUUAUCAAUUACACGAUAAGAAGAGCGAGUUGUGGAUGCUAUGAAAAUACAUUUAUGAACAUGACUGUUCAUUGAAUACUAGUUGUCACAUGCAAGCUUCUUCAACAGUAAUUGACAGUUGCUUGAUAGAUGAGUUCAGGUUCAUGUCUACUGAUCGUUUCAUUCCAAAAGCAAUUGUGCAUAAGGCAUGUACAAAUCUUGGAGUUAAUAUAAGUUAGCAGAAAGCUUGGAGGGCAAAAGAACACAUAGUAAAGAUAUUAAAAGGUGACACAGUUAAAUCAUACAUGUUGAUUCCAAGGUUCUUUGAUAAAUUGGUUGAAUCUAUCUCAGGUAUAAUGAGUUUCAUAUAUAGAAUGAUGACAUCAAAUUGUGUAGACAGUGUAAAUUUAGUUUUUAAAGAUCUUAGAGAACUACCUGUAGCUACCAUGCUUAGUUCAAUUAGAGAUGUAUUGCAAAAGUGGUUUGAUGAAAGAAGUAAAGCUACUUUUACAAUGAAGAGUUGUUUGACUUCUUGGGCUGAGAACGUGUUGCAUUUAGAAUAACAUGAAAAGUCAAGAAUUUUAUUGGUAAGGUUUUUUUUUUUUUUUUUUAAUGUUUGUAUCUUAGGUAGAUAUAAAUAGACUGCUAUUUUUGUCCAUCCGAUAGAGAAAUAUAAAAAUUUAUGUGUGCUUGUUUCAGAUAGAUAGAGAUAGAUAGCUAUCAAUGUCUAUUUGUCUCUAUUUGUGCAUGCUUUUUUUUUUUAAUUUUUCUAUAUUUGUUUUAUGUAUUAGGUUGAUCCAAUUAGUAUGACUGAAUACAAAAUAAUGGAUGAUACAAAAUGGUAAUGUGAUUUAUUUAUAUUGGUUCUAAUUUGAAAUAUUCAAAUUUACUUUGGAAAUUAGUUUAAUUAGUAUAAUAUAUAGUGAUACAUUAUAAUAUAAAGUUUAUAUGUUAAUGAAACUUUAUUAUAUAAAUUUAAUUUUAGAUAAAGUUCAAAAUUAAUUUAUGAGAUAAAAUAUUUGAAUGAGUUCAAAUAUUAAUUUAAUGUGGAUUUGUUUCAUAUUAAAAUUAUUAAUUAUGAGAUAAAGUUAUAUUUGAAUAUGAUUCAAAUUUAACUUAAGUUAAAUAUAAAAUAUUUAAUUUAGUUAUUAAUUAAUUGAAGAAUUAAUUAAUAGUUUAGUUUAAUAUUAUUUAAUUAAAUUAAUAUGAAACUAUAAGGUAUUGGAGAGAUAUUCAUUCAAUAAGAUUUAAACGAAAUAUUAAUUAAAUAUGAUUUAAUUAAUUAUUAACUAAUUGAUUAAUGGUUAAUUAGUUAGUUGAUUGGAAACUUCUAUUAAUUUAAUAUUUUUUAAGUUAAUAGAAUCCUAUGAUUUUCUCCUACCCCGUCUCCUACUCAAUGAAAGAAAGAGAGUUAUAAAUAUGUAGAAGAAAAACAGCUUUUCUUAACCAAAAUAAAAUCGAUGAUUUUCUUUUCUGCAAAAUAGAUUGUAACGACCUAAUUUUUUUAAUUAAGCUGAAGUUAUUACUUUAAGACUAGAUUCAUCCUUUAACCAUAAGACUUUAUAAUUUAAAAAAAAAUAUAUUUUUUAACAACAUUAAAGAGUUUUUAUUCGGGCUCUAUUUCAAAUAAAAUUUUGAAAGUGUAAAAGUAUCGAUAAUAAAAGUCGUUCAAUCAUGAAACCCAAAACAGUCUCAAUUACUAAAGAAAACCAAAAUAAAAAAAAUAUAAAGUAGAAGCAAUUUGAAGGGCAUUUCCCUAUGGUAGUUUCGCAGAAAAAGAUUAAACAUAAAAGGGUGAGUAUAAACAUACCCAGUAAGAGACCCACUACUGUUCUUGUUAGAAGAAAAAUAAAAUUGUUAACUUCCUAUUGGAGGUGCCCUGCACAUUAAAAGUCUUGUGAUCAUGUAGGAAUACACAUAAUCAGUCGAAUGCCCUAAAGGACACAAAUAUUAGUCUAGUGCUCUACAGAAAGCACAUGUCAGUCUAGUGCUCUCGAAGAAUGCACAUGUCAGUCUAUUGCUCUCGAAGAAUGCACAUGUCAUUCUAGUGCUCUCGAAGAAUGCACAACAGGUGGUGAUCCCGUAGGACACCUGCAAGGCACACUACACAAUCGACAAAGCUAACAAUUUUCCCUUAGUCCGUUAUAAACAUUUAAUCAAUCCAUUACUAGUAUAGUCAAACUACUCCAUCAUAUCAUCAAUCCAACUUAACACACUUACGUUCAAUCUAUUCAAUCUAUCACAAAAUUAGUUGAUACUAUAACAACACACCAGACAGUCAAGAUAUAUAUAUAUACAUAACACCUUUCUCAGUUUACAAAUACAUUAUCCAUCGUAUCUACUUCUAUACCAGUCUGGCAUAAUAUACAUUUGUCAUCAUAUCUACUUCUACAUAUAUUGGUAAACCAUACUAAGUCCAGAGAUCCAAACAGUCAACACAUUUCAAAACUUUCAAAGAGUCCAGUAAUAGAAACCCCUUACUUUAAUGUUACUCAAAUUUCUCGAACGAAGGAAACCUAAUAAUAAGAAUAUGGAACUCAAUUACUUUCACAAUACUUUCUUUCAUUUAAUUUCCUCAAUGUAAAUUCUAGCUUACCAAAGUAUUGGCGAAUCGAACUUCAACAAAUCUACAAUUUAGUUGUGAAUCCAACGAACUCAAAUGCUACCUUCAAGAAUCAAUUAACAAUUUAACUAAUUAUCCAAAACUACAACCCAAGGAUAAUUACAGUGUAAAACCACCACACUCACCAAUACAACUUACCACAAAAUUAGAGUAAAAUGGAGGCAACAACUUCGAAUAACUGGAAUCGACGCGUGUAAUAGAUCAUAUCUAAUCAAUAAAUGAAAAACAAACUUCAUCUUACAACCCAUGGCUGGAAGGUGAAGAGUUGUGCGACGACACUUCGGCAGACGCGACGACACUUCGAUAUACGCGACGGCACUUCGACAGACGCGACGGGCUCAGGUUUGGUCGACGGCUACUUCAACUAAGUAGCAACGUCGGUGAGAUGAUAGGUCAAUCGGUGACGUUCCUCGUCACCUGGAGCAGAAUGUGGUGGCGCGAACGUCGAAGGAGCUACGCGCGAAUGAAUCACAGCUUGGCUGGAAAACAGAGGUAAGACGCGAUGCCGAGAGUUCGAACUCACGACGAAUGGUGCUUCGGCUUCAACGGAGACGAAGAAUUCGGUGACGGCGUGGCCGGCUGACAUCCAAGAGUAAUAUAAAAUGGCUAAGGGAGGCAGGCGGCGGCGGGCACGGGGAAGAGGAAGAGUGAAUGAGAAAGAGAUGGAGUUGCACGUGAAUCAAUAAAGAAUUGAUAUUUAAAAUUAAUAAUAAGAUUAAUUCUAUUAUUAUUAUAUAUUAUUAUUAUUUAACCUUUAGUAUUAGUAUAUUUUUUCAUAAAAGCCCCCUUCACUUCCUGCUAAAUCCACACCACAACCAAAUUCCUUAAAAUCUUAAUAAAAUUUAAAAAAUUUAGCUUGAGAGAAAUACCUUGAUAUUGGGGGUGUUACAUAGUUUCUCUCUAAUUUUUUUUUUCAUUCCAAUUGUUUUCCACAAACCAAUCUCAUCUUCGAAGAUAGGAAGGUCUCCAACGGGUGGUGUCCCCAAUUCGGUGGAUUAUAGAUUCAGAGACGUCAACAAGAGUAAGUUCUAUGAAUCUUUUAAUUUAAAAGCAUAUUUAGUUCUUUAUUUAGAACUUUGAUUCUAAAUAUUGUCAAUGUACUGGUAUUUUGGAAUUUUCAAAUUAAAACUGAUGAAUGGUUUUGUAAAGUCUUUCACUGCCAAGAGCUUUUAUCCCUUUAGGGCACACAUACCAAUUAAACUAAUGCAAGACCUUUGACAGUAGUUAAUGGUAGCAUCCCGUAUCACCCGUAUCACCCGUAUUUAAUUGAAAUUGAGAGUUCAAUGAACAGCACACCCGUAUCACCCGUAUUUCUAUUUCUAAAGCAGAAGGGCUUUCGGUGGCUGAAACAAGUGAGUGAUUAAGUUUUUUAUCACCCGUAUUAUUUGUUAUCACUAGGGAAAGAAAGCUGAGUAGAAAAAGUAGAAUGCCAAAUGGAAAAAAAAAAGAUUAGUAAGCAACGUUAUUAUUUUAAAAUAGAAAACAAAAAUUAACAUUAUUGUUAAACCGAGCCAUUCUCGAGAAUAUGAAAUAGAAUUGGAUAGCUGCCAUGCAUCGUGUCUAUGAAUGUUAAGAAUGAAACUAUCGGUAGGGUUAUAGAAUAAUCAUUCUAUCAGCCUCAAUUAUGAUACAAGGUUUAUGAAAUAGAAUUUUCUUAUGUAUUGUAAUAGUAGAAGAUUCUUCGUCAGAAGCAAAGCUUAUAGCUUUGAAGAGUAUCUAAAGGUUACAGAAGAGCAACCGAAAGCUUAUGAUCAGCUCCAAACCAAUUUUCCAGCACAAAGCCAGAGUGGAUCCCAAGUACAACGAGAAGGUUGUUAAAAUCAAAUCUCUUAUGUCUUAUUUCAUAACUAUUUAGUUUUGAUCUUAAGUACAACAAUUUUCAUUUUUUUCUAGGUGAACAUUGUAUGUGCUUAGAAAUUAAGUGUUUUGAAAGCUAGAGGUGAGCAAUCACACUUAGAAACUAAGUGUAGAACCAUAGAAAUGUUACCCCAUCGGUUCUAGCAAUGCCUAGUUACCGCAGUUCAUAACAAAGAAAGAAAAGAGGCUCGUAAAUGCAGACCAUAAAAAAGUGAGACAAUCAACAAUUAUAAAAAAAACAUAUGCAAUAUGCAUUAAAAAAAGCUCAUAAAAAAUGCAGAGUCAAGUUGGUUAGGUCAAGUAGAACAUGUUGAGUUCCCUAGCUAUUAGAGCUUUUGGGGGAAAACAUCGCUUUUGGCCAAACCAAUACUAGACCAUAGUGUUUUAAACAUAACGUCAAGUUUGAUUGAGGGCUUUGAAAAGAGGAGGAAUCCUCCUCGAUCCACAGUAGGGCGAAAACGAGGCUUGUUGUCACUUCGAAGGGAGCAGUCAAACUUAGCAUUGAGUUUGAUUUUUUUUUUGAAAAGGUAAUGAUAAUAUUAUACAACAACAAGGUGGACCUCACAUCCUGAGGUCAAGAAAAAAGAGUGAACAACACUCACAGAACAAGUAGUUAGACAAAACAACCCAUAAGUACCCAAAACAACCCCACAUCUUGGGAACAAGAACUAAAACCAAAAGAAACCAACUAGUGUUCCAAACAUUAAAAGGAUAAGAAGAAGAGAGAAAGACAACAAAGUUAAUAAAGAGAAGAGAAACCCCAUAACUCGGGGACAAGCAAACGAAAAGAACAUUAAAUAAGACCAUGAACACCAUCCGACCAAGAAGCAGCACGCGCUUUAAUACACGACCAAAUGAGCUGGAAUACAACCAUAGGCUCCCAAAUAGCACCUUCAUGAAGACGAUGAUUUCGCUCCUGCCAAAUGAAAUAAAUUGUAGCACACAGAGAAGGCGCCACAGUUUUCUCCUCACACUCUUCCCAAUACCCUGAUUAUAAAUCCAAGAUAACUCAACCCCCCAAUAACCGAUUCUAUGAGAAGAUGACAUAAGCAAAAGGAUCCUCGACCAAAUCUCCCACCCAAAAUGACAAGAAAAAAACAAAUGAUACGAAUCGCGCAAAAGGUAGAGAACAAGGAAGAUAUAUGUCAGGAAGCAAAUCUUUCUAGAUAUUCUGGAGAAAAGGUGAUAAACUCCCAUAAUAGCACCAAGCCUAAUACCAUUGCGAAUACAGAAGAAAGUAAAGGAGGAAUGAAUUGGCCGAUGAGAACUAUUACUCUACGAGGAACAACAAAAGAGGAAGUACGGAAAGAGGGACAGACGAAGCACUUAUUUGAUGCUGAAUUUCAAUCUAGAAAGAAGGGAUUGUUCUUUCGCUGUAAUGAGAAAUAUUCUCAUGACCACAAAUGCAAGAUGAAAGAGCAAAGGGAAUUGCGAAUGAUUGUUGUGAAGGAAGAAGGCGAGGAGUAUGAAAUUAUUGAAGAAGGAGGAAUUGAUCAGAAAGAAUUGAAUGCCCCUGAGAUCGUAGAGGAGAGUCAAGUGAUGGUGGAAUUAUCCAUUAAUUAUGUGGUGGGAUUAUCCAACCUAGGGAAAAUGAAGGUAAAAGAGAUGAUACAAGGGAAGGUGCCUAUAGUACUAAUUGAUUGUGGAGUCACACGCAAUUUCAUUUCAGAAAAAAAUAGUGAAAGAGUUGCAACUGAGUAUAAGAGAAACGUCGAAUUAUGGAGUUAUUUUGGGCUCGGGCACUGUAGUCAAAGGGAAGGUAAUUUGUGAAGAUGUUGAGUUAAUGCUGGGAGACUAGAAGGUAGUGAAUGAGUUUUUACCCUUGAAGUUGGGAGGGGUAGUUGCCAUACUUGGAAUGCAGUGAUUGUAUUCCUUGGGAACGACUGGAGUGGAUUGGAAGAAUAUGAUGUUAACAUUUACAUAUCAGGGGAAGAAGGUGAUAAUCCAAGGAGAUCCGAGCCUAACCAAGGUCAGGGUCUGUCUUAAGAAGUUUAUGAAAACAUUGGGGGGAAGAAGAUCAAGGCUUUUUAGUAGAGUGCAUAGCCUUAGAGAAAAGUGAAUCCUUAGAAGAAGAGAAUUCGUGGGAGGUCGAAUUAACAGUAGAAGAAUCAAUAGCGAUGAUCCACUGUAGGAGGAAAACUUCGAACUUCGAAACUAAGUGUAGAACCAUAGAAAGGUUACCCCACUCGUUCUAGCAAGGCCUAGUUGCCACCUUUCAUACCAAAGAAAGAAAAAAGAGGCUUGUAAAUUCAAAAUACAAAAAAGUGAGACAAUCAAGAGCUAUAAAAAAACAUUUAAUGGAACAAUUAGUAUUGUUUGCUUUGGAGUAAUACUAUGGUUGUCCAAUUUUGAGUUGAACAUGAAAUUACUUGAUGUAUAUAUACUCGUUCUAAAGUUGGUGUAGAAAAUGGAAUUCGACAAGUUUAGGAAAGGUACCUUAGACCAAAAAAUCAGAGAUUCGAUCUCUAUUCCCAUCUGUUGAAUUAAAAAAGGGUGGUUAAUGCUAUUUGUUGUGGGAAGCAGUUCUUUAACAAAGGUUGUCCAACUUAUGUUUGAACAUAAAAUUAUUUAUUGAUUUAAAUGGUUAAAACAGGAGGAAUGGAUGGGUGACACAAAAGAUCACAAUCCACAUAUCACUUGAAUCAAAAUCUUUUGACAGUUUUGAUUCAAAAAACUUGUUUGUUUGCAAGAUUUACAUAUACUGUUUAGUUUUAGACAAGAUAAAUUGAUACAGUUUUAUUUUGGUACCUUUGCUGUUAGUACUUGCCAAUUAAUAUCCGACUGCAUAAUAUAUAGAUUCUGGCAUCUUGCUUGUCCUUUUGCAGCUGCACUUUGUAUAUAAAUCUUGAACUUCUCUUUCUUAGUUGGCUAUUUUCUGACAAGGAUAUGUUUUUUGUGUAUGCUUGAACUUCUGAAAAUAUCCAUAUUUUUUGUGUAUCAAAGCUGCCUACAAUGAAUGACAAUGUGGAUGUUUAUGUGCUUGAUUAUGCAGUUCCUGUGAACUAACAUAUUGAUAAUUAACUUUUGGUCUAACUGCUUCUAAUGAUAUCUAACAUAUGGAAAUUUAGAUUCUAGUAAUUCAAGUUUUGUGAUCCACAUAAUCCUUGAGUUCUGUCCCCUUGUAUUUUCUUGAAAUGAAAAUUCGAAUCAUGUUUCUAUCUAAAGUUGAAUUGCAUUAUCUUUUUUUUUUUUUUUGAAAAGUUAAUAUCAUAAUACAACAAGGAUGACCUCACAAGAGCGGACAAUGCUCACAAAAACAGGAAGAAUCCAAAGUAUCAAAAGAAAGAACAAUAAUAAACCCAACAAAAUUAAGAGCAACAAAAACAUAAAAAGUCCAAACAACCCCACAGCCCGAGAACAAGCAGAUAAAACAAAAAUCAAAAGAAAACAAGUUAAAUAAUACCAUGAGCAUCCUCACGCAAAUAAACAACACGAGCACUGAUACAAUAUGGAAUAAGCUGAAACAGAACAAUGAGCUCACGAGCUUGACCACCAUGGAGACAAUGAUUAUGCUCCUUUCACAUAAAAUAAAUCGUAGCACACCAGAGAACAUACCACAACUUCCUUCUCACACCCUUACCAAUACUCUAAUGACAAACCCCAAACAACUCAACCCCCCAAUACCCAAUCCUGUGAGAGGAAGCCAUAACCUAAAGGACCCGAGACUAAAUAUCACACCCAAAAGGACAUGAAAAAACAAAUGAUAACGAGACUCUCAAUCCCCACCCCACAAGAAACCUAUCCAACGAACCUUAACACUACGAGGAUGAAUAGUAUCCCAUGCACUAGCAAUCAAAAAACCACUAUGACGACCAAGAACCCAAACCCACCUAUCACCAACAUUAGGACACGAACUUACAACUUGAACCCUAUCCGAUAAAUUAAUCAAAUCCAAAGAUACCCUCGACCACCUCCACUCCCCUUUCGAACCAAUAAACUUAGAGAGCCUAGCCUCCUAUCUACUCGUUACAUUAUAAAGCGCUCUCUCACCAACUUGUUGAAGGAUAUGACCACCCUGCAACCACGGAUCCAGGCACAGUUUACAAUGCCUACCAUCCCCAACCUCCAUCUGAACAUGCUCUUUUAGACUAUCUCGUUUACACAUGAUAGCGCAAAGACACCAAGACCGACCAACACAAGAAUCGACCUCGAACAAUGACCUUCCUUUAUGAAUAUAAGCCUCCACCCAAGCAACCCGUAGAAAACUCGAACUAGUCAGCAACAACCAAAGAUUCUUCAUAGUACUCACAACAUUCUAAGAAGGCCCAUCAAGAAUAGCAAGACCACCCUCCUUAAAAGGAACACACCUCAGCCCACGCCACCUUAACACCUCCUCUACCUUCCUCCUUACCCCUCCAAAGAUAAGACCUCAAGAUUUUAUCAACCUCAUGAUGCACACUCACAGGCAACACAAACACGUUAGCCUAGUAAACCUGAAGAUUAUCAAGCACAUAUCGAACCAGUUGCAAUCUACCUGCAAAUGAUAAAACUCUAGCAAACCAAGAAUGAAUCUGACUAGUAAUACGUUGAAUAAGAGAGCACAAUCAGUAGGUCGUAACCUCCCAGAAAGUAAAGGAAGCCCAAGAUAACGAACAGGGAGAUGCCUGAGGACAAAACCCAAACUGGUAGUCAAACGAUAAACAUCAUCACUAUUAACCCCUACAACAAACAUAGAAAUUUUACUAAGAUUAGUAAAUAGCCCCGAGAGAUCACCAAACUUUCGAAUAGUCUCGUUAAUAAAACUCAGAGAGGAAUCAUCAGCAGUACAAAAAAUCAUAAGAUCAUUAGCAAAGGUCAGAUGAGUUAAGCUAACCUUCUCACAAUGCCUGUGAAACUGAUAGCUCGGAGGAGGCCGAUUGAACAUACGAGAGAGGACCUCCAUCACCAUGAUAAAAAGGAAAGGAGAUAAAGGAUCACCCUACCGCAAACCUUUCCUCCCAUUAAAAAACCCUUGAAAGAGCCAUUAAUCAUAAUGGAGAACAUCGAGGAGGUAACACAAGUUCUAAGGCAAAUCACAAACCUCUUGGACUUCUAACACAUGAAGGCUUCCUCCAAUCUAACAGCCGUCCAAAAGGCCUCAAUGGCAAGACCUGCUUGGCGACUCAAAACAUCAGACAUAGGAUUUUGCCCAACCUUUCUCUGAGGUUUAUCCAUGGACUCUUUAGCAAUACGAACCUCCUCACUUAGGCUCUAAAUGUGCUUACCAAACUGUCUAUGGAGGGUAGGCUUGUGGUUAUGUAAAUUUCUCACGAAACUCACAAUCAGAGAAACUCCUACAUGGUGACUCCAAAUCGAAGAGACAACAUCAAUAAACAAAGAAUCCUCAACCCAAUGGUUGAAGAAACAAAAAGAAACUACCCACUGUCUCUGCUAAAAGUUGGGAUAAAAUAAAAGGGGAGUGAUCAGAAAUACCCGAAGGGCAUGCGGUAAUCCAACACCAUUAACCAGAAUACGAUUAAACCGUUUUAUCAAACCAGACCCAUGAACCUUUCUAGUCCAGGUGAACCAGUUACCCUGUACUGUAGGUUCAACUAAAUAAGCCUCGCAAAUAGCCAUAUCGAACUCCUCCAUAUCCAUAGGAACAGAAGACCUAUCAAAAGCCUCAAAAUGCAUUUUGAUAGCGUUAAAGUCACCCAUUACAAAACCUGACUAUGUCCAACCAGAAGAGAUAUCACCCAUAUGAAAUGACAACAAACAUCUUUCAACAUUAUUAUUAGAGGCAAAAAUACAUAUGUUGGGAUUUUAUGUCCUAAAACUCGUAGUUUGUUAUCAUAUUCAGUUCAAUAAAAUCGUUAUUGAAAAAUUUAAAAUUAUAAUCUUAAAUCCAAUAAACUAAGUCUUAAUGCUAUUUUUUAAUACAUUUGAACUUUAUGUCGAGACAUAAACGUGGAUCAAGUUCGAGUGUAUAGCCUAAAUAGUCUAUAGUGCCUUAUUUAGAGAAACUACGGAUGUGACCCGCUUUGUAAUUAGUACAAACGAGGUGAUCCUAAAUUGUUCAUGUAGAGACAUGAAAGUGGGGGCAUCCUAUGUAAAGUACUUACAUAAGACUGAUCCAUGAAAUAGUCACUUUUACGUUAUAACACCGUUUACUGUUUAGAACUGACUAUUUCGUUUAUUGAUGACUUAGGUAGCUUAAUCUUAAUCCUAAGCUAACUAUGAACUCCUGUUCACAUGAGAUUAUCCUUACAUUUGCAUAGGUGAGGGUAUCUCAUCAACGUUCUCCCAAUAAGCCUCUCAUUUCAAGGGUAAGAUCGGAUGAAUGGCUGGGAACAUAGGAUGCAAGACAGAAUUCACUUCUACCUGUUUUAGGGUUAGUAGAUAGGUUGUUCUCUUAAGCACUGUAAAGUACUUACAUAAGACUGAAUUCACUUCUACUUGUUUUAGGGUUACAUCUGCAUAGGUGAGGGUAUCUCAUCAACGUUCUCCCAAUAAGCCUCCUAUUUCAAGGGUAAGAUCAGAUGAAUGGCUGGGAACAUAGGAUGCAAGACAAAAUUCAUUUCUACCUGUUUUAGGGUUAGUAGAUAGGUUGUUCUCUUAAGCACUGAAUCCAAGUCUUGAACAAGGGGCCCCACCCUCACAUUAGCCCGAGAGGGAUUAAGUUUAUAGGUUGGACCUUAAACCAAUUGUUCAAUAGUGGAUCAAUGAGACUUAAGAAAUAAGAUGUAGUCUCAAGGAUAAAACAGUAAUUUCAUCCAUUCGAGGUUACGAAUAACAUGUGAAGGAUUAACUUAUUGAUCAUGGUUAUAUUAAAUGGACAAGAAUAUAUCUAUAGUGAGGGGAGUGCAACUGCGAGACUUUAGUGGAAUGACCCGUUAGUUUACGAAUGUUGAUUAACUCGGUCUAAAAGAGUUUAACCAGUUAAUCUUGAAUCGUUGGAGCUCAUGAUAUAUAAGUCCAUUAGGUUUCCCUGCUAGUUCAUAUGGAAUAAACUUAGAACAUUGUGAUGGAAUAAGUCGAAUUGUUUGAAUUGAGAGAAAAGAGAGAAAUCGACAAGUAUACCGACAAGGUGCACCUUGAGGACAUGAAAGUCAUGUUAAGAAAGACUGAAAAGAAUUAAAACUUAAUACCUAUACCAACAAUGUGAACCUUUUUUUUUCGGUGGCUCGAUUAUAGGGACUUCAGAGUUAAGCGUGCUUAGCUUGAAGAAAUUCUAUGUUGGGUGACCUCUUGGAAAUUUUCCUAGGAUGCAUGUGAGUGAGGAAAAGCAUGCUGAAAGAUUUCGUGUUGGUUUGUGAAGAGGAAUUUCAUUCUAAUAAGUUUUUAAGAAUAGUAAGGAUGAUGCUGCCAGGUCGCAGGGGAUGCAGAGAAUGCUGGAGAUACGAAUUCCAAAUCCUAAGUUUAAGGUGUUACAUUUUGGUUUCAAAAACUUUUGGAAUUUUGUGAGAGGUAUAGACGUUCAUAUUCGAAUAGAUACAAAGGUAUAAUAUUUCCUAAACCCUAAUUCUUUUAAUUUAGGGUUGCAAGUUAAAUAGGUGCAAUUAGGGUAAUUUUGUAUUCCAUUUUUCUACUGCGCAUGUCUCUUUCUAACAUAGACUAUGAAGAAACUUUCUCUAUCGUUGCCAUGCUAAAGUCAAUUAGAAUAGUCUUAUGCAUCGCCACGUUUUAUGAUUAUGAAAUUUGGCAGAUGGAUGUCAAGACAACUUUUUUUGAAUGACAAUCUUGAAGAGAGUAUCUAUAUUACUCAAUUAGAGGGGUUUAUAGAUCAAGAUCAAGAACGAAAGGUUUGUAAGAUUCAAAAAUCCAUUUAUGGAUUAAAACAAACAUCUAGAUCCUGGAAUAUAAGAUUUGAUACUAUGAUCAAAUCUUAUGGCUUUGAUACAAAAGGUUGACGAACCUUAUGUUUACAAAAAAGGUCGUCAAUUCCAUUGUAGUAUUCUUAGUCUUGUAUGUAGAUGAUAUUCUACUUAUUGGAAAAGGACAUAGGAUUUCAUACUAAUAUCAAGAAAUGGCUAGCUAUGCAAUUUCAAAUGAAAGUUCUGGGAAAUGCACAAUACGUUCUUAAGAUCCAAAUUGUACAGAACUGCAAGAACAAAACACUAGCCAUGUCUCAAGCAUCUUAUAUAGACAAAAUGUUGUCUAGAUAUAAAAUGUAGAAUUCCAAAAAGGGUAUGCUAUUAUACAUCUACGAAAUUCAUUUGUCAAAGGAACAAUGUCCUAAGACACCUCAAGAAAUUGAGGAUAUGAGAAAAAUUUCCUAUGCUUCCGCUGUUGGAAGUUUGAUAUAUGCAAUGUUGUGUACUAGAUUUGACAUUUGCUACUUAGUAGGGAUGGUCAGUAGGUAUCAGUCCAAUCUUGGACGUGAUCAUUGGACAACCGUUAAGAAUCUUCUAAAAUAUCUUUGAAGAACAAAACACUACAUUCUCGUGUAUGGUACAAAAGAUUUGAUCCUUACUGGAUACACUCAUUAUGAUUUUCAAACUGAUAAAGAUGCUAGAAAGUCUACAUCAGGAUUAGUAUUCACUCUAAAUAGAAGAGUAGUAGUUUGGAGAAGCAUAAAACAAACUUGUAUAGUUGAUUCCACAAUGGAGGUAGAAUACGUAGCAACUUUUGAAGUAACAACAGAAGCAUUAUGGCUAAGAAAAUUCUUGACAGAUCUGGAAGUCGUUCCAAAUAUGCAUCUAUCAAUCACUUUAUACUGUCACAAAAGUGGUGCAGUUGCAAAUUCAAGAGAACAUAAAAGUCGUAAACGGGGAAAACAUAUCGAACGUAAGUACCAUCUUAUCAGGAAAAUUGUACAUCGUGGUGAUGUUGUAGUAACCCAGAUUUUUUCAGAGAAACUGUGGAUGCCGUCCGCUUUGUAGUUAGUACAAAUGAGGUGAUUCUGAAUCGUUCCAGUACAUUCAUGAAUGACCCGUUAGUUAACGAAUGUUGAUUAACUCAGUCUAUAAGAAUUUAGUCAAUUAAUCUUGAAUCAUUGGAGUCCAUGAUAUAUAGGUCCAUUAGGUUCCCUUGCUAGCUCAUAUGGAAUAAACUUAAAACAGUGUGAUGGAAUAAGUCGAAUUGUUCGAAUUGGGAGAAGAGAGAGAAACUGACAAGUAUAUGUGUUAUAGCCAUCGAAUUUCAUAUUAGAAAUAGAUCUUUGAGUUGUUGGGCUUUAGUAUUCCAUGGACAUGCAAUUUUGUAUGGAAAAUCCUUAUAAAUAGGGUCGUUGACCUCAUUUGAUGGGCUGGCUAUUGAAUUUGGGCUUUGUACCAAAUUGGAUUUCUUUUUCUUAUUUACAUAGAAAAAAAAAUUACCAAGCCCAUUUCUUUUUCCAUCUAUUUCUUUCUCCCGGUACUGAGUCUAGAGGAUAGUAGGUGAACCCUAUUUUAGAAUAUAUUGAAGGAUGAAACGUAACUCUUUCACGGAAGUGGGGGCUCUCCACUCCUUAAUAGCUCACAACUUAUGUUCGUCCAUUCAAAUCUUUCUACAUUCGAUGAUGUGACCCAGAAAAUUUAUACGCUAUUUAGCAAAAACACUUUUCUCUUUCUUGAAAUAUAACUGAUUAUGUUGGAUUUUGUCAAAAGCCAAACUCUUCGACACGCUCUUCCAUUUGUGCGAUAGAACUUGAAGAGCUACUUCCACGUUCAAAACUACCUACUUUGGUGGUUUUAUGUUCUAACGAAUCAACCCUCAGCGCCAAUUCAUUUAUGGGUAGUUUGUCUAUUUAGGCAUUCAAUGCGUCUAUUUCUCUGACUUUUUCUUUAAACAUCUCAAGCCGGGUCUGGAGAAAUCUUACUUCUUUUGGCAAUUCUUUCAUAUCCAAGAAUUCCUCUUCAAUCUCAGUCAGUCGCUUAGAUUGCAACUUUGAUAGUUGUUUCAUUGUCGACAUAAUUGCAUCUCGCUUAGCCAAGGAGCUAACAAAGCUUUAAUACCACUUGUCACAAAAUGCAACUUUUCAAAUACGGGACGGGCGAUUGUGCAACACUUGUUCUAAAUUGAUGAACAAGGCAACCUUGUGAAAUUUGAAAGUUGCGGACAAACUUGUGGUACGAUGUAGCCUCGCUUCAUCUUUUGAGAGAAAUUGGUUUUAUAAAACGUGAGAGAUAAAGAAAAACAUUGAUAACAUCCUUAAAGAAAAAAUUGAAUAUUGUCAAUUGCAAAGAAAGCUUAGAUUUGCAAAAAUCACAAUAGGCCUUAGUUGGGGAUUCAACUACCAUGCCUCCCCUACAAUACAUCUUAAACUUUUUUAGCUUUGACAACCUUGCAUAUGAAAAUUGCGAAACGACGCACCUUAGGUCGGUGACAACAAAAGGAAAGCAGUUGACUAAACUAAGUACAAAGCAUAAAGAUAAAGUGGUUUGAGGAUAUUCGAGCAUGCGGCCAUAGGCAAAUAAUGCCUUGGACAAGCCCACUUGUGACACUCUGCGUGCCACAAUCGAAAUCUUUCAAACAUGGAACGGACAAUUGAAGAACACUUGUUUUGCUCAGUCAAUAAGUCAGUCAUGUAAAAUUCGAAAAUCACGAACAAACUCACGAUAUGAUAUAACCUCCCUUCCCGUUCUUGAAAAAAUUGUUUUAUAAAAUGUGAGAGAGAAUAUCAUUAAAAACAUCAUUAAAGAAAGCGUUGAAGACUUUCAAUUGCAAAUAAAAAUUUGAUUAUAAAGAAUACGAUAAGACAUGGUUGGGGAUUCAACUAUUGGGUCUCUCCUAUAGUACAGUUUAGACUUUUUGAGCUUUGACAGGUUUGCAAAUGACAGGUUUAAGAUUAUAGUAUCAAUAACGACUUUAUUGAAUAGAUUAUGAUUACAACGAGUUUUAGGACAUAAAUUACAACAUCUAGUUCUUACAACUUUUGAUUCUAGAGUGUCAACUCUUGUCAACAACUCUUAAAUGGGUAAUCCAUCGAGAUGAUCGAUCAUUGCAGCAAUAGUGUUAGUGAUAUAUAUUAAACCACCAACUGUACCUCUGUAAUUAUCAUAAAAAUAAUAAAACUACAAACACAAUGCUUUUCUUUCGAUUCUUGCGUUUUCACGUAAGCUUUGGUUUCGUAUAUAUUGCUUUCAAUAUGGUAUUAGAGCUCAUUAAGCCUAAACGGAUAUUUGGUUCAAGAUAGGUGAAACCAAAGAGGCACCAUCUUGAAGGGGCAUGUUCCCACAAUUGAAAAACCAAGGAAACUUAGACUCCUUAUAAAAUAGAUGAGCUACUCCUCUCAUUGCCAAUUGGUAUUGUGAUGAAACCUCAUACUUUGGUAAUAUAUAAUUAAAUUUACCUUCAAUCACUAGCUUAAGCUUUUGGGUGAAUUUGGGGUUUAAUAUGGUAUUAGAGCAGGUGGUCCAAAAGGUCCUAUGUUCAAGUCCCUGUAUUGGUGUUUCCUUCCCAAUUAAAAUUGAUUUUCACUUGUUGGACCUUUUAGAUAUUUCGAACCCAUAAGUGGGGGAUUGUUAGUGAUAUAUAAUUAAAUUUACUUUUAAUCACUAGCUUAAGAUUUUGGGUGGUGGUUUAAUUAAUAGCAUCAGCUUUCUAAAAAAUUUCUUCAAGGCGGGUUUCCAAGAAGCGAAUUGAGUUAGGAACUUUCAUUAGGUAGAGCAUUUGAUCUUCAACCUUUACCAGUCGGUCCACAUGGGCCUUGCCCGACUAUUUUGUUAUGGACAUGUUUACAUUUUAACCGUUAAUAAGCCAACUUAGGCUAUCACACCCCACCACGAGCACCUACUUGCGUGGCUCGAGAUAUGGCGUGAAGCCAAUCGAUAGCACCCACGUCAAGAACGACACCAUCUGACCCUUAGCCUGAACCUUUAAACUCUAAAUAACAGCGGAAACAUAACACAUAAAUUUUACUAAAACCAAUUGGGCUAAACCUUUUUCAUUUAACAACCUUAGACAAGUUUUACAUAGACAAAACGUAAUCUUAUUUAUCUAGAACAAAACCUUAUAAAACCUUCCCAAAAGCCUAAGUCUGAUAGCACAAAAGACUAAUUUAUCAUUAGUGCAAAAUAACAGGGCACAUACGAUAACAAAAUGAAAUCCUUUAGUAGACAGGUAGCAGCAAGUUAGGCUUAGAGGACACGAUCUCUACCUAGAAAGUGGGAAAACAUUUUGAAUAUUAUGCAUUUUGAAGAGUAAACAAUAUGCUUGAAUAAAUACCUUUAAACAAUAACACGCUUGAAAGACUUUUUAUAACAUAACUUAAACAUUUUAUCAUAAAUCCGUCAUAAAUCAUGACUUAAGAACAUGCUUGAAAUCACUUUAAAUAAAACAUUUUCCACUCACAGAUACAAGCUCAAAUCCUUGGUUUAUAAAUUUGUACGAUCUUCUCAUGUCCUGAAAUAAUGGUAAAAUAGUACAAUUAAUUAUCUUUUGCCAAGAAAAUAUCAAAAGUAUACUUAAAAAACUCAAAAAAUUACCAAAAAUAGCUCAACACGCAAUAUGACAUUGCCUGGCACGAAUGGGUGGGCGGCAGGGCCUUGGUUGGGCGCUGGCUACUGUGUGUGAAUCUCACAAGAGGCUUUUCACACGCGUUGGGCAUGCCUGCGUGCUAACCUCACACACAAGCACAUUGUGAACCUCACUUGGUUGCGUGCUUGGCAUUUUGUGUAGCCCUCCUCGUGUGCAUUCUUGGCUAGUGCAUUUCUUGUGUCACAAUCGCGAGCUUUCAAACACGAGAGGAGCGAUUAUGUUGCACUUGUUUUACGUAGACAACAAGUUAGCUGAUCAAAAUCCAAAAACCACGGACAAACACAUGAUACGAUGUAGCCUCUCUUCACGUUCUUGAGAAAAUGUUUUAUAAAACGUGAGGAGAAAGAAAUUCAAUGAAAAUAUCGUUAAAGCAAGCAUUGAAGACUGUCAAUUGCAAAGAAAAACUUUGAUUGCGAAGAGUGCAACAAGGCUUGGGCAGGGACUCAACUACUAUGUCCCAUCUAUAGUACAUUUUAGACUUUUUUAGUUCUGGUAGGCUUGCAUAAGAAAAAGCCAAGUCACACCCAAGGUUUAUGAAAUAAAAAGGAAAGCAAAAAGUAAAACUAAAUACAAAACAUUAAAACAAUGUAAAUUGGGGGUGUUUGGGCAUGCGGCCAUAAGCAAACAGCGCCCUGGACAAGCAUGCUUGUUACAUUCUCCCCCACUUAAACAAUUGACGUCCCUGUCGACUGGCGAAGCUAGAAUUCCUCGAUCUUCUUCUUUCACGCUUCAAGGUCUUCAGCACAUUCCUAACGUGUUUCUUCCACAUGGAGGUUCUUUCACUUCAGUAGGAAUUCAUGUAUCCUCUUCAUGGGUAUACCCUUCCUCACUCUCUUAGGAAGGAUUUCUUCCAUUUCUUUAUCGUCUUUCUGCUUUAGGUCACUAGAUGACCAUACACCAUUGUUGCACUACUGGUCAUCUGGAUAUUGAUGGUAAGGUUUCAAGUUGCUCACAUGAGCUACUAGAUGAUUUUUUAUCCAUGCAGGCAACGAUACCCCAUAGGAUGCAUUUCCAAUUUUCUUCAGAACUUCAACAGGCCCUUCGUAUUUUCUAGUGAGAUGCUGAUGUUGAUGUCCUCUAAAUCAAAUUUUCUUUGCUUUAAACUCUAUGAAGAGUUGGUCUUCAGCUCAAAACUUGAGAGGAUGAUGCUUCUUAUCAUACGCUUCGAGACUUUCUCUUAGUAUGCUCGAGUGAUGUUCGUAGUCUUCUCCCACUUUUUCGUAAAGUUAUGAGCUUGAGGAUUUUUUCCUGCAUAAGGAUGAUCAACAAUAUGAGGCAGUAUAGGUUGUCUUCCACUCAAGAUUUCGAAAGGACUCGUUCUUGUGGAUAGACUAGUUUGUGCAUUAAAACAAAAUUGAGCCACAUCCAUCAACUAGGCCCAAUUCUUUUGUCCAAAAUCAACAAAAUGUCGUAGAUAUUCCUUAAGCAUACAAUUGAAUCCUUCAGUUUGGCCAUUCGUCUGAGGAUGGCAGCUUAAGGAUAUAUUUAGGCGUGUCCCCAAGAAGGCGAAUAGUUCGGUCCGGAGAGUACCAAUGAAUCUACCAUCCCUGUCACUCACAAUGCUUGAUGGAACUCCCCAUCACUUCAAGACAUUCUUAAAGAACAAGUGUGCUAUCAGCUCGACAGAACAUAGUUUUGUAAUGGGGAUGAAGGUGGCGUACUUCGAGAACCAAUUGAUUAUAACCUUUGGGAUGUGUAAUAAAAUCCAUGGAUUUCGCACAUUCAGGGAAUUUCAAUGUGUUCGACUGACUUUCCAAAGUUACUUUCUCUACUAAAGCCUGAAGCCCCGUAUGCUGCAAGAAUCAGUGUUGCCAAUCGAGGUUGCAACGUUUCAAAUUCAACUGAUCAGCAUACCAUUCAAAAUUUGAAUUUUCAACAUGACGAGUUUGUAACUUUAGUGCCCCUUGGAGAAGAAAAUGAAAUUCAGGGUAUAUGUAAUUCAGGUUUUGUUCCACAAGAUAGUACAAUUUAAAUUAUUCUCCAUAUGUUGCUUAAUUAUCUCAUAACGGUUUAUUUAAACCAGGAUGCAGUGCAUGAUAGCAACGGUCCGGUUUCUUUUGCAGAAAUAGAGAACAACACGACAGCUAGUAUUGUAGAAUUAUCCAAUACUCUUGGUAAUUUGGAUGAGACACAUUGUUCUUGCUCUAAACAUAGCGCAAAGAGAGUUUGGGAAGCAUCACUUUCUUCCUUGAAGUCAAAGAAAGUAAAAGGAGUCAAUCUGGACCAUUUUCAUUCUCACUCUAACAAAAAUCUUGAUCCUGAAAGUGAUGUAUACGAUACCUGCUCUCAAGGAUGCUCUUUAGCCAAUUCAAAGCAUGAGAUUUUAUCAAGUAUUUAUCCUAAAAAUCCAACCAAUCAGUGUACACAAAAUUUCUGUCAAGAAUUUGGAAGUGUAAAUGUGGCAUCAGAGGACCUCAAUUCUGAAGAGAACACAUUAGGAAAACCAUUUAAAAUUAUGCUGAUGAACAUUGCAGACGAAACUAAGAAAACUCAGCUCAUGAAGGUACGGUACCAAUUUAUAGUCUUCUAAAAUAUUCAUCAUUCAUGUUUCUUUUAUGAGAUUUUCUAUUGAUAGUAUUGAAGUUUUAUAUCCUUGGCUUAGUAUUCUUUAAAGGGGUGUUUGGCACAAGGAGUGGUCCAAGAAGUUGUGAAAUCUAGAAAGUUUUGAACUCUUAGGGCCUAGGACAUACGAAGUCAAUAAGGCAUAAAAUUGAAAUUUUCUUGUCGGGAGUCCACAAACACUUUUGGCCAAACAAAGAGCGGAAAACUCCACACUUCCCUAAUCCUACUCUUCCAGCUCCUUGGCUCAUACAGCCUCUACGAUCUCUACAUACUGAUAGGCCCAUGGUAGUGAAGGUGUACACCCGUAGGCACAAGAAAGGAUUCAGGAGAGGAGGAUGGGAAGCUGUUUUGUUGGUCUGAAUGCUGCUAGUUAAGGGGGCCAUGAGUCUUUUAUGCUUUCAUAUAAAUACUAUUAUGAUUGUUUGGGGAGGGUAUGUUUUGGCAUAGCUUGUAUCAGGUUUCUUAGAAUAAUUGGGAGAGCUAGAGAAGCUUCUGAUUCCUUCCCUCCAUUAUUGAUAAAUAAAAUUGAGGUUAAGGCUUAUCAUAUACAUACCCAGUCAUUGAACUUCUCCAUAUUCCUUAAGAGGCAUAUCUUGCUUGGCUUAUUUGGCUGGCUCUACUCAUGUAGGAUUUCGAAAGGCGAAUCUGACAUCCUGCCAAAAAUGAUUAAUCAGUUUCUUUAACAUGAAGUUUAGGGAUUCAAUCUUUAUAUUAUUUUUAAGAGUUAUUCAAUAUCCCUACCUAGAAUAGACAAAUGAAGCUUGAAACUACCUAUAAUAUUAAUGUUGUUGUUUAAUUAUGACAUUUUGUUAUCGGUCUUUCUAACUUACGAAUAUCCAUCUUCUGAUAUGUGUUCACAUGCAUAUUUUAUGGAUGUAGAUUUUAUAGUAUUUCUUUAUUUAUUUUAUAUGGCAUUAGCUGUAUACUUUUUUUAUAAAAUAUUAAUAUAAAUAUUAAACCACCGAUUCACCAAAAAUUUUAAGCUGAUGGUUGAAAGAAAAUUCAAUUAUAGCCUUAAGCUUAAGCUACUUUGGUGGACUAGAAAGUAUAAUCUUAGAAACACUCAAUCUGAUCAAGUUCUCUGAAGCAAGAAUUAAAGUUCGGAAAAAUCUUUGCGGAUUCUUACCAGCAACUAUAGAAUUAAAGAGUGAGAACUGAGGAAAUUUUUCCCUUAAUUUUGGGGAUUUUGAACCCUUAGAAGCUCCUGUAAUAAUCCAAUAUGAUCUAUUUCAAAGUGAUUUUUCCAAUCCUAUUGAUUUAUGUAGAAUAAAUUCAGUGAUUUUAGAUGAAGGGCUCCAAAGUGAUGGUCUCCCAGAUACCUUAAUUUUCUCAAACAGAAUGGCUUAUCCAUCUCAAGAAAUCCUUUCGAAGCACUUAGGAAGUUGGGUGAUGAAGAAGAAAACCUUGUUCGACCGGAAAGAGUUUCAGCCCUUGAAUCCUCGCCGAAAAAAAUAAUUUUCAGAAGGCAAAAUUCAAAUUUGGGUAUAGCUGGCAUCUCCAUGUACUUAGAAGGGGAAAAGACUUCAACAGAAAAGAGAGAAAAACAGACCUCGAAAGAAGAAAAGGCAGCCAGUCGGCAUUUUAUUAUCUCAAAAAACAGCUCACCUAGCCCUCCCCAACCAAAUUUUUUCAAACUUAAUGUAUUUGCAGACAUUUUUAAAGCUGACACACAGAUGGUAGGCCCCAAGAAUUCUAUUAAACAGAAUUCCAAUGGCUUUUGGUAUUCUGACGAAUUGGAGGAAGAAUCAGAGUCCUCUCCUCCAUCAAGGAACUUCACUUGCGGGCCAUCUCCUGUUUUCAGUUCUCAACCAAAAUUACCAGCCUCUCCCAAGACUAAAAUAUCCUCUACAAUGAAAGCUAUUCCAUUUCAUGCCAUAAAUUUUUCUAAGCACCUCAAGACCUAUACCAAAGGGAGAACUUUUCGCAACAUUUGGAUGAGCUUAACUAAUUCUGAUUUAUUAGAGGAAAGUUGUGUGAAGAUACAAAUUCAAAAUUCAGUUGGCAAAAGGUCAGUACUGCCUUCCUCCUUAAGUAAUAAAUUUUCUCAAUCCUCCUCCAAACUUUCUGGUUCAUUCUUUAAUUUUGUGCAAGAUACUUCUUAUCUAAAAAAAGUUGAGAACCUAGAAGAUGAAUUCAAGGAAGUUGAAUCAGUCACCAGUGUAAGUAGUGCAGAAUUUGAACCAGUUGAGGAAGAAAUAAUUCAAUCAGAGACAGAGAAACAAGAGGACAGUGACUCUCUCGGUCCAGAUUUUAUUAAAUUGUUUUCCUCCCCAUAAAAAGAAAUUUUGUGCAGGUCAGCAAGUAUCCUUCCCCCUCAAGAGUUGGUUCCUUUCUUGGCAGCAUGUGAAAUUGAAUUGAUAUAAGGGCAGAGGUAGCAAAGAUGGAGAUUAUAUCAUGGAACACUAGAGGAUUCAUGGGCCAUUCGAAACAAUUGGCUAUUAAAAAUCUUUUGAAGAAAGCUAAUCCAGAUAGAGCAUUGAUUCCGGAGACCAAAAGAGAAGAGAUUGCCAGUUGUAUUAUAAAGGCACUAUGGAUAAAUAUAAGUUGUCGAUUAUUGAAGUUCGGUCAAGAGAAGGAAGGUCAUUACAGUGUGGCUUAUAAGUUGUUUCAACAUUAAUUUAUAAGUUGUUUGGAAAGGUUCUCGCAGAAAGAUUAAAGAAAGUCAGGCCAGGUAUUACUUUGUAAGACCUCCUAUUAUCUAUACCUAUAAAAGGAAGGGUAGAAAGGGAAAUUCCUUAGCAACCAAUUAUGAGAGAAUAAUGGGAGAGGAUCGUGUAGGUGGGGCCCGCCAGGAGGGAAGAGAGAGAGAGGUAUAAAUAUGUAAUGUUUAGGUUGUAGCCUGAGGGUAUCCAGCCCCGUAUAAAGGAGUUGGGUAAGUUUUCUAUGUUGUUCUUCCUUUAUUUUUCAUAUCUACUACUGUUGAAUGUGUUUUGGCUUUUACAUAAAUAAAGAAUUACAGAGUGCUGCCUCUGUUUAGCCAUUUGGUUAGGAUAUUUUGUGUUUUAUUGUUAGAAUCUAACAUACUUCUCCAUUACAAUGUGGCUUUCUGGAAGAGUGCCAAAUCUUGGAUCCUAUUUUAAUAGCAAAAGAAACUGUGGAGGUCUAUAGUAUCCGAAAAAAGAAAAGAUGGAUCAUUAAAUUAGACCUUGAAAAGGCCUUUAACAGAGUGGAUUGGAAAUUUUAGAAAAUGUAAUGCAAAAGAAGAUCUUCGACGUAGGAUAUUGUGUUAUAUUGGCCAGCCUUUACAGCAUCCCCACUUUGAAGUCUUUGAUGAUCAGGACUUUCGGAUCAGCCCUCUGCUUCAAACAGUUUUUGCUCAACCAAUCAAGGCUUAUUCUUCUUUGUUCUCAGCAUGCUGCCUUUGAUUAUGAUUUUGCUUUGGAAAGAUUCUUUUUAUCAUUUUGUUUGUCUCUGUUUUUGUGGCUUUUUGUUUUGAUCUUGUGUUGUCGCUUUUUGGAUGUUUUGAGGGCACUAAGGGGGUGUCAACCUAGUUUGAGAUGCCCGGAUGCGCCUGUUGAUCUUCCCUCUCCCUUUUUGCUCUUUGUAUAAUCCUCAUGUACAUUGAGCUUUGUCUCUUUCUUUAUAUUAAUAAUAGUGAGACUCGUAUCCUUUUUUAAAAAAAGAAAGAAAAUUCAAUUAUAUAUCACCAACACUCUCCUCACUUGUGGGCUUGAAAUAUUUGAAAGGCCCAACAACUGGAAAUGGAUUUUAAUUGGGGAGGAAACGACAAUGCGAGGCUUGAACACAAGACCUUCUUGGACCACCUGCUCGGAUACCAUAUUGAAAGGGAGACAAACAAACACACAACUUUACGUGGAAACCUGUGUACCAGGAGAAAAACCACUAUAUUUUUUUUCUUAUUAUUUUCUGAUGAAAAAUACAAUAGGUACAAGGGAGAAUAAAUAGAAUAUACAGAGGAAUAAAAAAGGAAAAUAUUUAGGAAUUAAGAAAAAUAUUCCCAUAAACUUUUCAUAAAUAUUCUAAGAUUCUAACAAUUAAAAGUUCUAUUUAUUCCAAAUUGUGACUGCUCUAAUGUGCAGUUGUUUUCUAAUUCAGAUGAUUGAGGAGCUUGGUGGUUCUCUCACUGCUGAUGGGAGUACAAGCACUCAUGUCAUUACAGGAAAAAAAAACUCUAAAUUUUUGUAUUGCUCUCUUUUUAGGGUUAGUCUUGCAGCCUUAGACGAACACUCUUCUAUGUGUCCUUUUGGCCUUUGAAUACCGAUAAUUAUCUCAUUUGCACAAAAGUUAGCGAUUCCAUGCACACAAGGCCUUUGCCGUUAUUCUUCCAUUGCCUCGUAGUUGUGCUUAGGCUAGAAAUUGUUGUGAACCUUCUAGAUCUAAAAGGGUAUAGUUUCUUAUUCUACUGCCUGUUUACUUUUAGUUAAACAUCAAAAUCAAUUCUUAUGUUUGAGUUGGAUUGUAUCAUGCUCUUCCUUUUCAGUUGUUUCUAUCGUGAUGGUGGGUAGUGGUUGUUAAGACAACCAUUAGGCUAAUUUGGGUUUCAGGCUUACUUUUCUCAUUUUACGUGUAAAAUGGCUCAAGCUCACUAAUGAAAGAUAUUUGUUGGCUAGCUAGUGUUUUUAUCCUCGAUUUCCUUCUUCCCCUAAUACAUUAUGUUAUGGAAUUUGUUAGAUACCUAGAUUAGUAUAGGGUUGGGUAUAAGGGUAAUUAGAUAUUUAGAAAGUUACUAGUAGUUAUUGUGUAAGUGUGGUUACUAGUAGUUAUUAUGUAAGUGUGGUAACUAGGGUGGUUACAUGUUAUUAUAAAUGGAGGGAGGGUAAGUUGGGAGAAUUCUGGGGAGUGAUAUAAGGCUUGGGUGAGAGUACUCAAGAGGGAGGGUUCCAAGUGCUUUAUACUUGGUUUUAUCUUGUAUUUUCUUAUAGUUACAUUAUAAUAAAUUCAGAUCUUGUUCUUGUUAGGAAGUAUAUGUCUCCAAUAUUAUUUAAAUACAGUAGAAGAAUUAAAAAGGGUAAUAUUGACCCACACGAGAAUAUAGGAGAGAUUAUAGGAGGAGAGAAUAUCGGAGGAGAUCUUUCCCAUUAGUUUGUUAGUAAAGCAAAAUAAAAGGGAGGAAAGAGGAGGGAGAAAGGGGACAAAAUAUUCCAAAGAAGUAGAGGCUGCCGUCUUUCGUGCUCGGGAGAAGUAGAGGGUCCAAGUCAAGUUCUUUUUAUUCGACAAUCUCCGGAAGAAUGGAAGGAUCGUCGAGCAAAGGACCAAUGAUUGAGAGUAUCAUCGAAGGUGGAGGUAAGACAUUGAAGGAAAUCAAGGUAGAAGGUAAAACAAACAAGUUUGAAAGGGAUAAAAACUCGAACGAUCAUAGCAAAUUCAAGAAGGUUGAAAUGCCUGUGUUCAGUGGCACUGAUCUGGAUUGUGUUUAUUUAGAACGGAUUGGAAUCUUCAGGUCCAUAAAUCGAUGGACUCUAAGAAGUUGCUGAAUCCAUAGAAGAAUCGAGGAAAACGCGAUUGCAACGGUUAUACAAUGAAGGUGAAGAGGAUGGCAAAGAGUGACCAAGAAGAAACUAUAGAGGAAGGUCGAUAAGGAUUACUUGUGAGGCUCGAAAUGAAGACUCGAGUGAAGAAAAAUUUGUUGCUCAAAGAAACACAAAAUGGCUGGUUGCAAUGGAGAAAGAAGAAGCCGACAGUUACCGGUCUACAGAGGCUCGAGAAGGUGGUCUGAAAUAGGGGUGAAUCACGUGACGAGGAAGAAGUUGCUGCACACAUGAUGGUUCCAAUGACGUGGUAGAAAUUGGUAGGAAAGAGGAUUAGGACAAAAGGAACAAUCUUGGGUUUUACUAUUUCAUGUUUGUAAGCACACCUUGAGGACAAGGUGUUUUGAAGGAUCGGGUAAUGUUAGAUACCUAGAUUAGUAUAAGGUUAGGGGUAUAAGGGUAAUUAGAUAUUUAGAAAGUUACUAGUAAUUAUUAUGUAAGUGUGGUUACAUCUUAUUAUAAAUGGAGGGAGGGUAAGUGAGGGGAGAAUUCUGGGGAGUGAUUUAGGGCUUGGGUGAGAGUACUCAAGAGGGAGGUUCCAAGUGCUUUAUACUUGGUUUUAUCUUGUAUUUUCUUAUAGUUCAUUAUAAUAAAUUAAGAUCUUGUUCUUGUUAGGAAGUAUCCUAACAGAAUAACUCUAGAAGGUCUCAUGUUAGCGAAUGAUAAUCUGCGUUAAGUGUGUAUUUGUAGGAGUUCUUCUCCGGGCAUCUAUGGUUGAUAUUCUUUACCUUUCAAUAUAUCAAAGCCAAGGAUUCUUUUGCAUUUCUCUAUGCUUUUUCUUUACCGAUUUAUGCUUUUUUUUAGUUAUAUUUGAGAAUAGUAUUUCAUUUCUUUCAUGUGAAAUGUUGAACUUCAGUAGUGUGGAGAGUGGAACGUAAUAUCUUACCUUUUAUAUUAGUAAACUUGAUUUUAAGCAAUGUGUUUUUGAAGAUUUUAUGUUGUAGAAUGUUUUUUGUUCUUCAAGCUACUGUUCUUAACUUUAUUUUCUCCUGUUAAUGUUCUCAAUGAUUAUCGAGCAUAUGCAUUACCAUGUGCCUUCAAGCGUGUCAGUGUGCUCUUGCUCAUAAUUGCAAAUUACUCAGAGCUUGGAUUGUCUCCUCCAGUUGGUUAAAGGAAAGCUACCGGGAAGGCAGAUUUGUUGGUAAGUUCGAAUGGCUUGCUAGUAUCAAAGCGUAAUGUAUUUUCUUCCACUUAUGUUUUUCAUCCUACCUAAUUUUUGUGAUUGAUUAAUUCCUUAUGGAUCUGCAGACGAGUUGCCUUACAUACUAAAUGAUGAUGACUACAUAUCGAAGUAUCGAGCCAGCCUAAAAGCUGCAGUUCUCAGGGCAAAAGCAUGUUCUUGAGCUUUAUUUGAAGGGUAUGAUGUUUGCAUAUCAGCUCACGCUCAACCACCACCUAAAACUCUAUCCCUGAUAGUCAAGUCAGCCGGUGGAAAUGUAAUUUCUCUGUUAUUGUACAAAUCUCGAGUACUAGGUUUGGUUCUCUAUAUUACAUAUACAACCACUAUAAUAUGGCUAUCCUCCCAUCUAAUGAAGACGUGAAGUUCUCAACAAACAAGCACGUAUACGAAUUCUAGACAUGGGUCAAUAAAUCAUAGACAUGGUGACGUGUCAUUUUUUUCUUAAAAAUAUAGGAUAGUGCUAGAACACAGUUUUAAUAUAUAUAAUUUAAAAAGUAUGUAUCAUAUUUAUAUAGAAAUUCAAAGUCAAUAAGUUUAUGUAUUUAUAUGCUUAAAAAUAAGCUUGUCCUUCACUCAAAACUUAUUCAAAGCCAAGAGUUUAAUAUGUGUGUGUGACCAAUCUUGACCUUUAUUGCAUUGGAAUACUUGUUGUCUAACACAUCUACUGUACUAACUAGUGUUCAACAUGUGUUCUCCGAGUGUUCCAUACAUAUUGUUUAUUGAUACACUAGCCAAACUUGUGUGUAUGUGCUUCUUAAGUCUUUAAUAUUUAUGUUUGUUUUGAUCCUAGGAAUUGAGCAUGUAAUGUAAAAAGUCUAUGCACAAGGGGUCAUAUGGCCAUCUCCGUGUUUCUUUAAUUAUCAAAUUUGUUCAAGUUUUUAAUUGUCUCUAGAUCAAAAUCUGGAGUUAUUUUUUGUGAUUUGGUGUACAAAUACAUACAUCCAUGUUUCUAAUUAUGAUUAGAUUGUUUUCUGCUCGCAACAUUUUAUUGUUUAGCUUGUCUUUGAUCUUGAACUUACUAUUAUGUUGAUUUAAAUUCCAUUUUAGCCUUAGAACUUUCAAAACAUCCAUUUUAGUCAUCGAGCUUCCAAAACGUAGCCAACUAACGGUUUUAGUAUUUUGUAAAUUAUUUUAUCAAUUAAUAUUCAUUUAUCCAAUACUCAUCGGUCAUUUCUGCUAUAUGUGAUUGGAAUAUAUCUCAUAGGAAGCAUUUUGAAAGUUGGGAAAAGAUGGAAAAUUUUAGGGACUAGAACAAGAAUUUGUUUAAUAUUUUUUGAUAGGGUGAAUUCUUGCAAUUUCCUUGUCGUAUAUACAUAAUUUUUUCUCUCAUUUGGCAAAUUCAUUAUGCUUGAAAAUUUAGGUGAUUCAUGAGCUAGAUAAAGUAAACAACGUAUGGAAGAUGAUCUUUGUGGCUUGUGAGGAAGACGUGGAGGAAGCCUUGGUGGCCGUAGAAAAAGGGAUAUGGACUUUCAACGUUGAAUGGUUAAUGGCAUGUAUAAUGAGACAAGAAGUAGACUUGGAGGCCCCUUAAUUUGCUGAGUCCCUAUGAGAAACAAGGUCACCCUAACUUUCAGUUUUGAACAAGCAGCAGCCAGCCAUUUCGUCCUUGUGUAAAUCCACUCUUUUCUCAACUCACUCUAAUUUGGUACAUAAACAAACUCUGAUCGCUCCAUCUCUAUAUUCAUCAGUACAUAAAAGACGAUAAGUUUAUUCAUGGAGAAAGUUGGAUGUAAGUAUGUUUUAGGAAUGGUCCUUCAUUUAGUAACUUUGGGAAUUGUAAAAAUGAGGUAAUGAAGUUCUAUCAAGUUGAAUGUUCUUGUUUAUGUUAGAUGAGACUGAUUCUUGGAUACCAGAAUUAACUUGAAGUACGUGUUUGAGUUCCAUUGGAGUGAUUAGAGAAAAGAUGUUCCUUUAAAAAGGGUAAUUUUUUUAUGUAGACUUUCUUUUUAUUAAAAUUGCUUAAAAUACAAUUUGAGAGUAUUUCAAUAGCUUUCAAAGAGUUGUCAAACACUUGUAGUUUUUCUAAAAUAACAUAUUUUCAAAAUUAAUUACUGUAAUAGUUAAACAAAAGAUUCUUUCCCUUCGAAAUUUUAAAGUUUGUCUAGUUACCUCUUAAACCUUUCAAUUGUUUAAUAGGUCUUUCAAUUUUAUGUUUUAAGUGUCUAUAAAUUUUGAUUUUUUUUUAUUUGUUAGAUAUAAAUCUGAAGAAAUGAAUAAAGUAGAUUUGUAAGUUUAAAAUAGUUUAAAAGUUGAGAAAUUAAAUUUGUAGUUUAAAAAGUUGGAGUAAAUAGUUUGUGUAAGUUUUAUUUAUUUAUUUUAAUAAUAGAAGAGAGGGAGACGAAAACUGCAAACUGAAGGGAGAAGAAGCGGUGGCUGACUUUGUAUAUUUCUCCUUUCUUUUCAAUUUGAGAAAAUUUCUUUGCAAUUCACUUUGAAAAGGAAAUGAAUAUUUCUCCCUCAGACUUAUCUCUCUCUUCUUUUCAAUUUAUUUUCAAUUUUUCUGUGUGCUUCUCACAGUGUAUGCAUAAUCUCUCUUUCAUUUUGAUAUUCAUCUCCAUUUCAAAUAUCUCCCACACAAAGAACAAAGAAAUGAGUAAAGUAACUGAGAGAGCAUUUUGUUUUUCCCUUCAUAUGGUUGGUUACUUUUUGUCAAUUAAAUGAAAAGUGAAGAAUAAGAUAAGAUUUUCUUUACCCAUUUGCCAUCAUCAUCAAAGCUAUUUACCUCAUUUUUGUUCACACACACACACAACUUCAUUUUGUUGGAUUACACUCAUUUGAGAAAAUAGCAAAAUUUUAUUAGAAGAAUAGCAAACAUGAGCAUUUCAUGUGUUUUGAAUUUUCAUUAACCCUAAAAUCUCCUCGCCUGCUUUUUAGUUAAACUGUAACUAAUUUUGAAAUAUGCAAAAUUUUAGCAUAAAUAUUGAUUUUCUCCUACAUUAUCUUAACACACUUUUUUUUCCUCCAAAUAUUGGAUUUAUAUCAAAUCUUUAUUUUCAAAUUUUACUUUAUCCAAAUUUUCAUUUUUCAAAAUUUCAUCGUUAUUCUACUUUUAUUUUUGUAUUUCAUAUAUAUAUAUAUUUAUAAUAUUUAAUCUUAUUUUUUCUCUUUUCCUAUUCAUCUUCUUCCUUUCUCUUCCUCUUCAACCUACGGCCACACCACCGUCUCUUUUCUUCCUUCUCUUUUCAUUCUCCAAUCAACUUCACCACCGUCUUCCACCUACAUCGAACGUCAAGCAAAUUUUGUCGUAUCGUCGCAUCACCGUUAGCCCGAGUCACUCCGGUUCCGUCACGCCAUGUAUGUUUAGAUUUGAAUUGUUUGGUUAUUUGUUGCACCGAUCCGUCUCCGUUAGAAUUUGAUUCUCCACAAUUUGGGUAAGUUAUGGAAUUUACAUAUAGAGUGAAUUGAAUGGAUUAAAUUGUUUGUGGAAGUGAUUGAUUUCUCUUCAAUUAUGUUUAGGUCGGUUCGUUGCACUUUAGUUUGAAAAAGAAGCUUAAGUAAGGUUAUAAGCUAAGGGAUUCUCUACUACUGGACUCACCUAUAGUUUUGAAUUGUGCUGUCUGUAUAGUUACCUCCGAUUGAGUAAAGAUGUCGAAACGAUAUAUAUACGUAUGAAUGUAGACUUGAUGUUGAAUGCAUAUUGUGAUUGUCUGGGAAUAUAUAUAUAUAUAUAUAUAAAUAUGUAUGGAUGUAGACAGGACGACAAUUGUAGAUUGUGUUUGUAUGGAAUGUGGAUGUGAACUUGUGAUUGUCGUUUAGAUUGGGUGUAUGUUAUACUAAAGUAUGGUUGUGUACUGGUGAAUUGAGGGGUGUUAUGACUAUAUAGUUUGAUUGACUGAUGUAUUGAUAUGUUACUGGCGGACAUUGGGCUAAAGUGAGAUAAGUUGACUAUUAGGGUGUUCAGUGAAAGGAUUAUAUGUUGAAGUAGUUGGACUGUACUAUGAAUGAGUUUUAAGAUGUUUAGAAUGGAUUGAGGGGAAAAUUGUUAGAUUUCUAUUGGGUAGUUACCUUGCAGGUGUCCUACAGGAUCACCACCUGAUAUGUGCAUCCUUCGAUAGCACUAGACUGAUAUGUGCAUCCUUCGGGAGCAUUAGACUGAUAUGUGUUUCUGCGGAACACUAGACUGAUUUAUGCGUCCUUUGAGGCGUUAGACUGAUUAUGUGUAUCCUACGGGAUCACAAGACUGUGACUGUGCAGGGUACCCCAAUAGAAAGUUAACAGUUUCUUUUUCCCCUAACGGGACCAAUAGCGGGUCUCUUAUUGGGUAUGUUUAUACUCAUCCUUUCAUGUUUAACUAUUUCAGGCAAAGGUAACAAAGGAGGUAGACUGACGAGGGACAAGAAGGAGACGUGAUUGCCAUAAGGGAAUGUCCUUCAAAUGCUUCCGCUUUAUGUUUCUUGUUUUUCCUUUGUACAUGAGGUUGUUUAAAAAUUUUGUGAUGGAACUGAGUUUACGAACUGUUGUUUUGUAAAUAGUACUUUUAAAGUUUUGGAUAUUUGAAAUAGGGCCCGAACUUAAGUUUGUUUUCUUUGAUCGUAUGAUUUCAAGUGAAUUUUAUUAUAUUUUGUGUCAAUCAAGGUCUCUUUGUCAAAAUUAAUGACUUCAACUUAGUUAGAAAAGUUGGGUCGUUACAACAAAUUUUAAGUAUUAAUGUAAGAAUUAUGUACUUCAUUAUAAAGAUCGAUAGUUUAAAGUUUUUGACGAUAAUUUACAUGGAAUUACAUGAUCAGUUACCACUAUCAAUAGAAUCACUUACAAAUAUUAACACAAUCGUGUACCGAUAACAAGACGAUUGUUUACACUAUUCAAUACGAUCACCAAUAUCAUAUGAUCGUGUACCCAUGUCAACAUGAUAAUUUUUUUUAAUCAAUAUUAUCAUUUACCGUUGUUAAAUGGUCGUUUAUCACGGUUAAUAGGAUCGUUUAAUGUAUAUUAUUUCAUUGCACGAUGGUUUACUUAUUCUUGCAUUGUGUUUAGUAUUAUCAUUUUGUACAUUUUAUUCUUUUAUUCAGUAAUAAAUGUAUAUCUAUGUCUAUCUAUUUCUUUCUAUCACAAUUAAAUACUUAAUUUUUUUUUUUUUACAGAUUAUAAUGUCUUUUCCUAUUGUUGUUUUUUAUGGAGGUCAAUGGAAUGGAUGUAAUAUUUAUGAGAAUUACUUAGUUGCUGAAAUUUUGGUAGAUGUCCGAGUCAGCUUUAAUUCUCUAGUUGAUUUAAUAUGUGAACAGAUUCAAUUGGAUGGAUAAGUAGAAUUAUCUGUUUUACUUGAUUUUGGUAAAAGCAAGGUCCAACUGUGGUGCCAGUAAAGAAAGACAAUGAUGUGGCUUGGUAUUUAUCUUUUGCUAAAGAUGCAACUAAUAUACAUCCAUUAGUUGCUCAUGUAACUGUUGAUUUUUUUAGAAGGUCUUCUUCUUCUUAGAGAACUACCUGUAGCUACCAUGCUUAGUUCAAUUAGAGAUGUAUUGCAAAAGUGGUUUGAUGAAAGAAGUAAAGCUACUUUUACAAUGAAGAGUUGUUUGACUUCUUGGGCUGAGAACGUGUUGCAUUUAGAAUAACAUGAAAAGUCAAGAAUUUUAUUGGUAAGGUUUUUUUUUUUUUUUUUAAUGUUUGUAUCUCAGGUAGAUAUAAAUAGACUGCUAUUUUUGUCCAUCCGAUAGAGAAAUAUAACAAUUUAUGUGUGCUUGUUUCAGAUAGAUGGAGAUAGAUAGCUAUCAAUGUCUAUUUGUCUCUAUUUGUGCAUGCUUUUUUUUAAAAAAAAAUUCUAUAUUUGUUUUAUGUAUUAGGUUGAUCCAAUUAGUAUGAUUGAAUACAAAGUAAUGGAUGAUACAAAAUGAUAAUGUGAUUUAUUUAUGCUGGUUCUAAUUUGAAAUAUUCAAAUUUACUUUGGAAAUUAGUAUAAUUAGUAUAAUAUAUAGUGAUACAUUAUAAUAUAAAGUUUAUAUGUUAAUGAAACUUUAUUAUAUAAAUUUGAUUUUAGAUAAAGUUCAAAAUUAAUUUAUGAGAGAUAAAAUAUUUGAAUGAGUUCAAAUAUUAAUUUAAUGUGGAUUUGUUUCAUAUUAAAAUUAUUAAUUAUGAGAUAUAAAGUUAUAUUUGAAUAUGAUUCAAAUUUAACUUAAGUUAAAUAUAAAAUAUUUAAUUUAGUUAUUAAUUAAUUGAAUAAUUAAUUAAUAGUUUAGUUUAAUAUUAUUUAAUUAAAUUAAUAUAAAAAUAUAAGAUAUUGGAGAGAUAUUCAUUCAAUAAGAUUUAAAUGAAAUAUUAAUUAAAUAUGAUUUAAUUAAUUAUUAACUAAUUGAUUAAUGGUUAAUUAGUUAGUUGAUUUGAAACUUCUAUUAAUUUAAUAAUUUUUAAGUUAAUAGAAUCCUAUGAUUUUCUCCUACCCCGUCUCCUACUCAAUGAAAGAAAGAGAGUUAUAAAUAUGUAGAAGAAAAACAGCUUUUCUUAACCAAAAUAAAAUCGAUGAUUUUCUUUUCUGCAAAAUAGAUUGUAACGACCUAAUUUUUCGAAUUAAGCUGAAGUUAUUACUUUAAGACUAGAUUCGUCCUUUAACCAUAAGACUUUAUAAUUUAAAAAAAUAUAUUUUUUAACAACAUUAAAGAGUUUUUAUUCGGGCUCUAUUUCAAAUAAAAUUUUGAAAGUGUAAAAGUAUCGAUAAUAAAGAAAGUUCAAGAACAUAAAAAUCGUUCAAUCAUGAAACCCAAAACAGUCUCAAUUACUAAAGAAAACCAAAAUAAAAAAAAUAUAAAGUAGAAGCAAUUUGAAGGACAUUUCCCUAUGGCAGUUUCGCGGAAAAAGAUUAAACAUAAAAGGGUGAGUAUAAACAUACCCAGUAAGAGACCCACUACUGAUCUUGUUAGAAGAAAAAUAAAAUUGUUAACUUCCUAUUGGAGGUGCCCUGCACUUCAAAAGUCUUGUGAUCAUGUAGGAAUACACAUAAUCAGUCCAAUGCCCUAAAGGACACAAAUAUUAGUCUAGUGCUCUGCAGAAAGCACAUGUCAGUCUAGUGCUCUCGAAGAAUGCACAUGUCAGUCUAUUGCUCUCAAAGAAUGCACAUGUCAUUCUAGUGCUCUCGAAGAAUGCACAACAGGUGGUGAUCCCGUAGGACACCUUCAAGGCACACUACCCAAUCGACAAAGCUAACAAUUUUCCCUUAGUUCGUUAUAAACAUUUAAUCAAUCCAUUCCUAGUAUAGUCAAACUACUCCAUCAUAUCAUCAAUCCAACUUAACACACUCACGUUCAAUCUAUUCAAUCUAUCACAAAUCAGUUGAUACUAUGACAACACACCAGACAAUCAAGAUAUAUAUAUAUACAUAACACCUUUCUCAGUUUACAAAUACAUUAUCCAUCGUAUCUACUUCUAUACCAGUCUGGCAUAAUAUACAUUUGUCAUCAUAUCUACUUCUACAUAUAUUGGUAAACCAUACUAAGUCCAAAGAUCCAAACAGUCAACACAUUUCAAAACUUUCAAAGAGUCCAGUAAUAGAAACCCCUUACUUUAAUGUUACUCAAAUUUCUCAAACGAAGGAAACCUAAUACAAAGAAUAUGGAACUCAAUUACUUUCACAAUACUUUCUUUCAUUUAAUUUCCUCAAUGUAAAUUCUAGCAUAUCAAAGUAUUGGCGAAUCGAACUCCAACAAAUCUACAAUUUAGUUGUGAAUCCAAAGAACUCAAACGCUAACUUCAAGAAUCAAUUAACAAUUUAACUAAUUAUCCAAAACUACAACCCAAGGAUAAUUACAAUGUAAAACCAACACACUCACCAAUACAACUUACCACAAAAAUCCCAAAAAUUAGAGUAAAAUGGGGGCAACAACUUCGAAUAACUAGAAUCGACGCGUGUAAUAGAUCAGAUCUAAUCAACAAACGAAAAACAAACUUCAGCUUACAACCCAUGGCUGGAGGUGAAGAGCCGCGCGACGGCACUUCGACAGACGCGACGGGCUCAGGUCUGCUCGACGACUGCUUCAACUAAGUAACAACGCCGGUGAGAUGAUAGGUCAAUCGGUAACGUUCCUCGUCACCUGAAGCAUAAUGUGGUGGCGCGAACGUCGAAGGAGCUACGCGCGAAUGAAUCACAGCUUGGCUGGAAAACAGAGGUGAGAUGCGAUGCCGAGAGUUCGAACUCACAACGACGACGAACGGUGUUUUAGCUUCAAUGGAGACGAAGCGAUCGGUGACGGCGUGGCCGGCUGACGUCCAAGAGUAAUAUAAAAUGGCUAAGGGAGGCAGGCGGCGGUGGGCACGGGGAAGAGGAAGAGUGAAGGAGAAAGAGAUGGGGUUGCACGUGAAUCAAUAAAGAAUUGAUAUUUUAAAUUAAUAAUAACAUUAAUUCUAUUAUUAUUAUAUAUUAUUAUUAUUUAACAUUUAGUAUUCGAAGAUAGGAAGGUCUCCAACGGGUGGUGUCCCCAAUUCGGUGGAUUAUAGAUUCAGAGACGUCAACAAGAGUAAGUUCUAUGUAUCUUUUAAUUUAAAAGCAUAUUUAGUUCUUUAUUUAGAACUUUGAUUCUAAAUAUUGUCAAUGUACUGGUAUUUUGGAAUUUUCAAAUUAAAAUUGAUGAAUGGUUUUGUAAAGUCUUUCACUGCCAAGAGCUUUUAUCCCUUUAGGGCACACAUACCAAUUAAACUAAUGCAAGACCUUUGACAGUAGUUAACGGUAGCAUCUCACAAAGUGGAAGUGGUUGGCUUACCAACGAAAGAUUUUCAAUCAUUUCUAGCAGUCCCUUUUCUGUUUGAGUAUGACCUUCCAUAUUUUCUGCUAUAUUACUUAUAGUUAAUAUCAAAUGUGCAUCUCUGCCAUCUAUGCUAAUAUCACUGCCUGACUGCUCUUGAUGUUGAGGCGUUGUUCAUUUUUGUUCCCUACACAGAAAAGAAAAAAAAUUAUUGUUGUUUAUUUAUAAUCUAAGCAAUUUUAAACAAUAUAAAGCAGUAACUAAUGAAUUAAACACUAACUGUUGAGUCUCUACAGUAGAUUCUUGAAGAUGUGACUCUUGAACAGAUGGAUUCUCAUGGAUGAUCACAUGUUUGUUAUUUUGAUGGUCAUCAUUCUUGUCCAGAUUGUGAUGACUAGAAUCAUCACGAAGAUCAUCAUACAUGUUGUUAAUAUCAUCAAACAAUUGAUUCUGAUUCUAGUAUAGAAAGAAAAAUGGAUAAUAAAAAAAAUAGUUACAAAAUGAUCGUGUAUCCUUAAGCAAACAAUCGUGUAGAAUAUCUAAACGGUUGUUUUACGAAGGGUGAUCGAUAUUUCAAAUGGGAUAUGCGAUCGUUCAUAUGUGAUAUGCGAUCGUGUAAAGAUAUAUCAAACCUUUGUUCUGUCAGAAGUCGUGCUAAGAAGAGUUGAAAGCUUGUAAUAAGAUCCAUCAAAGCUGAAAGAUUUUACAUCAACACGUUCCUGACACAGUAAUGCAGUAUCAAUGAGCAUCAAAUUACGUGAGAUACGUAUUAGAAAAUAUCUAACUGCUCAGUUAACUUUUUAUGGACAUCAAAUCACAUUUUUUCAAGCUUAAGGAAGGAAAUGUCAGCACUAUAUAUGUCAGAGUUGUGCAUUGCAAUGGAAGUGCCAACACGAGGUGAUACAUGUGUGUCUUUCUGGGAUGUAAAUGCCACUCUCCGGCUAGGACCAGCAUAGUCUUAGGGAGAAAGCAUGCUAGGAAUUGGAGUUGUGUCCUCAAUUUCUUCAAGGACUUGAGCAUUUCAUCUUACACUAGAAUGUCUCCUGUUCAGAGAGUUUAUAGGAUUUCUCAAGGCCAUUUUUGCAUACUUAACAGCUCUUGACAACGGUAGAGAGUCUAAAUCUACACUUUCAGGGGGUUCCAACUCCACCACUCGAUGAGCCAAAGAUAGAGACGAAUCAUUAAUGAUCCAGUAAGCAACAUGAAACCUUGUAAUUUUGGGGUCAACGGUAGUCCCUCCCAUUACUAGCUCAACACUCAAACGGAGUCUCCUGUAUAAAAUAUAAAAUAAUACACACAAAUAGUGAAUGAAAUCUUGUGACGUAACAAACACAAAUUUUAUGUAUACUGCAAUUUGACUAAAUAUUGAACAAGAAAGCCCAAGGGAAUACACAAAAAUCCAACGUUUUUAGGGGUCAAUUUGAAAAAUGGCAAAACUACUUUUUCUUUUCAAUUUUAGCAAACAACAUUUUUUGCACGUGCAUGGUAUUUUAUAAAAUACCAAAAUAUUCACCUUCUCCAACUAUAAUUAUUUUGUUUUUACGUUAUAAUUAAUUUAUGUUAUGUAUUAAUCAACUUUUAAUUAAUUUUUACUUGAAAUAGAUACAUCAACUCAUAUCAUAACUUUUCUCUUAAAAUCUCGGGACUCAACUAAUUGAUUCAACAUUUUAAUAACAUUAUUCAAUCUUACUAAUUUCAAAAUAACCUAAUUGAAUUUGAAUUUCAAAAGUACAAAAUUAUUAUUUUUUAGAAUUUGAGAAUCUCAACGAUAGAUUUUAUAUUAAAAUAACCUUAUCUCAAAAUAAUUUUAAUGACUUGAAUAUCAAGAUAAUUAAAUUAUUAUUUUAAAAUUGGAAGAAAAACACAAAAAGCGCACACGCCUACUCACGUACACACGCACGCGCGCGUAUACGCACACACACCCACACGCACACGCACAAACGCGCACAUGUGGACACUCACACCCACGCACACGUAGACACACACACCCACGCACACGUGGACACGCGCAUACGCAGUCGCGCACACGCACGCACACACGCACAUAUGCACAAAGAUGUAUAAAUGAAUUAAAAUUAAAAAAUAACUACAAUAAUUGUGUUUAGAAAGACUUUUAAACCAUGUUCAUUUGACUUAAUAACGUUAGUUAAAUUAUAAUUUCUAUCAAUAUUGGUUUAAAAGUGUCAUUAGUGUAAUUAUUUCAAUAUAAUGCAGUCUUAUCCAAUUUUACGAACAAAAAACAAGUCGAAUAUGUACCAGUAGAUGCACACUCUUUGUCAUAAGAGAUAUAGCAACGUUUUUAUGGGUCAUUUUGAAAAAUGACAAAACUACUUUUUCUUUUAAAUUUUAGCAAAUAGAAUUUUUUGCACGUGUGCAUGAUAUUUUAUAAAAUACCAAAAUAUUCACCAUCUCAAACAAUAAUUAUUUCAUUUCUACGUUGUAAUUAAUUUAUGUUAUGCAUUUAUUAGCUUUUAAUUAUUUUUUACCUGAAAAAGAUACAUCAACCCAUAUCAUAACUUUUUUCUUAAUAUCUCGGGACUCAACUAAUUGAUUCAAGAUUUUAAUUUUAUUCAAUCUUACUAAUUUCAAAAUAACCUAAUUAAAUUUCAAUUUCAAAAUAACAAAAUUAUUGUUUUUCGAAAUUUGAGAAUCUCAACGAUAGAUUUUGUAUCAAAAUAACUUUAAUUGAAUUUCAAAAUUAAAAAAUAUCAACUUGUACACUAUCUUUAUCUCAAAAUAACAUUAAUGGCUUGAAUAUCAAGAUAAUUGAAUUAUUAUUUUAAAAUUGGGAGAAAUUUUACAUUAACAAAUAUCAACUUGUUCGCACACAUGCACACAAGCACACGUGCACAACGCACGCACACACACCCAUCCACACACGCACACGCACGCGCACAUAUGCACACACGCACAAAGAAGUGUAAAUUAAUUAAAGUUAAAAAACAAAUACAUUAAUUAUGUUCAGAAAGAGUUUUAAACCAUGUUCAUUUGACUUAAUAACAUUGAUUAAAUUAUAAUUUCUAUCAAUAUUGGCUUAAAAGUGUCAUUCGUGUAAUUAUUUCAAUAUAAUGCGGUCUUAUCCAAUUUUUCCAACAAAAAACAAAUCGAAUAUGGAUCAGUAGAUCUACACUCUUUGUCAUAAGAGACAUAACAACGUUUUUAGGGGUCAUUUUGAAAAAUGACAAAACUACUUUUUCCUUUGAAUUUUAGCAACUAGCAUUUUUUGCACGUGCAUGGUAUUUUAUAAAAUACCAAAAUAUCAACAUUCUUCAACUGUAAUUAUUUCGCUUCUACAUUGUAAUUAAUUUAUGUUAUGCAUUUAUCAACUUUUAAUUAUCAUUUACUUGAAAUAGAUACAUCAACUCAUAUCAUAAUAUUUUUCUUAAUAUCUCGAGACUCAACUAAUUAAUUCAACAUAUUAAUAACUUUAUUCAAUCAUACUAAUUUCAAAAUAACCUAAUUAAAUUUGAAUUUCAAAAUAACAAAAUUGAAUUUCAAAAUAACAAAAUUAUUAUUUUUCGGAAUUUGAGAGUCUCAACGAUAGAUUUUGUAUUAAAAUAACCUUAAUUGAAUUUCAAAAUUAAAAAAUAUCAACCUGUUCACUAUCUUUAUCUCAAAAUAACAUUAAUGCCUUGAAUAUCAUGAUAAUUAAAUUAUUAUUUUAAAAUUGGAAGAAACUCAACAUUAAAAAAUAUUAACUUGUUCGCACACAAGCACAGAAGCACUGUGCACACACGUACACAUGCACACUUACACACACAGGCGCACACGCACACCUACACAUAGACACCCACAGACGCACGAACGCACGCACACACACAUGCACACGCGCACGCAUGCACACACACACCUAUCCACACGCGCACAAGCACACACACAUGCACAAACGCACACACGCGUAGACACAUACGCACACACGUAAACACAUACGCACACGUGCACAAACACGCACGCGCGAGCACACCCACACACCCAAGCACACACGCACGCACAAACACAUACAAACAUGCACACACCCACACACACAUGCACACGACACUCGCACGAACGCACGCACAUACACAAAUGCACACCUACCUACACGCGCACACGUACACACACACAUGCAUGCAUAAAGAUGUAUAAAUGAGUUAAAAUUAAAAAACAACUACAUUAAUUGUGUUUAGAAGGACUUUUAAACAAUGUUCAUUUGACUUAAUAACAUUAAAUGAACUAUAAUUUCUAUCAAUAUUGGCUUAAAAGUGUCAUUCGUGUAAUUAUUUCAAUAUAAUGCGAUUUUAUCCAAUUAUAUUAGCAACAAACAGGUCGAAUAUGAACCAGUAGAUAUACACUCUGUCAUAAGAGAUAUAGCAACAUUUUUAUGGGUCAUUUUGAAAAAAGGCAAAACUAUUUUUUUUUAAUUUUAGCAAAUAACAUUUUUUGCACGUGCAUAAUAUUUUAUAAAAUACCAAAAUAUCCACAUUCUCCAACUAAAAUUAUUUUGUUUCUAUGUUGUAAUUAAUUUAUAUUAUGCAUUUAUCAGCUUUUAAUUAUUUUUUACCUGAAAAAGAUACAUCAACUCAUAUCAUACUUUUUUCUUAAUAUCUCGGGACUCAACUAAUGGAUUCAAGACUUUAACUUUAUUUAAUCUUACUAAUUUCAAAAUAACCUAAUUGAAUUUGAAUUUCAAAAUAACCAAAUUGAAUUUCAACAUAACAAAAUUAUUAUUUUUCAGAAUUUGAUAAUCUCAACAAUAGAUUUUGUAUCAAAAUAACUUUAAUUGAAUUUCAAAAUUUAAAAAUAUCAACUUAUUCACUCUCUUUAUCUCACAAUAAUAUUAAUGGCUUGAAUAUCAAGAUAAUUAAAUUAUUGUUUUAAAAUUGGGAGAAACUCAACAUUAAAAAAUAUCAACUUAUUCACACACAAUCACACGCGCACACACAUACAUACACUUGCACGCGCGUGCACCCAUACACGCACACACACACGCGUGUACACACACGCACACACACACAAACGUAGGCACACACACACAAACGCACACAUGCACACGUACACCAAACUGCACGCACACAAAUGCACAUGCAAACACGCACACACCUACUCACGUACACAUGUAUGUGCGCAUACACACACCCAAGCACAUGUGGACAUGCGCACACGCGGGCGCACACACACACGCACACUGAUGGUUCAAUUUCAUUGAUAGUUCCUAUUUUUGCUGACAGUUUAUUUUUUGCCAUCGAUAGAGGAUCUUCGGACAGACCUACGUGACGGUGUGUGUUGACAGCUUAAUUUCGUUGGCAAAAGAAAAGUCGAUGAGUUUUUGAAGAUUUACUGACGAUAUUUGUCAUCGAGAAAGGGUAAAUUUCUUGUAGUGCAUGUACAUCAAACAUAUCAAAUUUGUUAAGUGUACCAAUGAAGUAUAAGAAGUUUAUUAGUGGUGUAUCAAGCGUAUCAAACUUAUAAGUGAAGUCUUUAAGUGUAUCAAACUAAUCAAGUGUAUCAAGGCCUCAGGGGUAUCAAGUGUAUCAAGAAGAAUCAAGUGUAACGAGAAGUAUUAUGUGUAUGAAGAUGUUUCAGGUGUGUAUCAAAAAGUAUCGAGUGUAUCAAUGAAUACCGAGUGCAUGAAUUAUAACUAUCAAAUGUAUCAAGUGUAUCAGCAAGAAGUAUCAAGUGUAUCAAGGGGUAUUAGGUGUAUCAAACGUGUAUAAGGUGUAUCAAAUGUACAUCAAUAACGAGGGCAUUUGUGACAUUUUACCUCUUGAUGUGUGAGCUGGUCUUUGUUCUUGUCACUUUCUCAAAUAAUAAAGUAUGUGUUCGAUGGACUUAAUUAUUAUAACUUAUUUUGCCAUUUUCGCAAGUGUCCCUUAAUUGUAAUACAUGUAUAUGUGACAUAAUCUAAUCAAACUAACUCAUAAAUGGACUUAAUCGAUCUCAUGGACCACAAAUUCUUCAAUUACUUGCAAAUUUGGUGAGUUCCUUCAAACGGUGGGCGGAGAGCUUAAUUUUGAGAGAGAGGAAAAGUCGUGAAGAGUAAUUGAUAGAGAGGGGGGAACGUCGCCAGAGAGCAUUUGCGAAAGAGAAAGACAACGACGAUGUGGGAUGAAAACUCAAUUUGUGUCACGAAAAAUUUUGUAUUUUUAUUUUUAACGACACAUUUUAUUCCCUCAUAUCCCUUUUUCUUGAUUUCAAGUGUCAUUAAAACUUAUAUUUCUAAAUAAAUUUAUUCGACGAAAGUGGCUAGAUUGGUGGGUUCGACGGCGAAGGCUUGUUGUGGCAGCAACGACAACAGUGGUUGGAGUGUGGAAUCGACGACGGCAAGUGGCAAAAAAUUGGAAGGCAAGGGUUCUUCAUAACGACUCGGUAGCCCACUUCGUUCGACGAGAAUUUUUUUGCAUUUUUGGUAGAGUGAGAAAAAAAUUGCAUUAAGACUUCAUUCGACGACAUCGUUUUUGCUUAAGAGAAAAUUUGAGGUUUUUACUUUGUUGUAAUUGCGUGAGAGAGGGAAAUUAUAAAAUUUUGAAAUUUGAGGUUUUUUCAUUUGAAAAUGUUUUUAAUGACAAAAAAAUUGUCGUUAAUUAAUGACGCAAAAAUUGUGUUGAAAUAAAUUAAAUUGUAUCAAUAGAAUUGUUUUAAGAAAUAAUCCAUAUUUUUAUUUUCAACAACACAAUGUACCUCAUCCCACCUCUUUUUUCUUUUAUUUUCAACGACACAAUGUCUUGAUUAAAAUCCAUUUUUCUAGUAGUGACUGAAAAAAAACUGGACAAAAUCAUAAUAUCUUUGAUAAUUAAAUCACCAGUUGGUUUGAACAUAUAUAAUCUUGGAUCUAUUCUAUUAUGAUAUGACCAUGGUACAUCAUGAACAUACAUUGACUAAAAAACUUAAAUUGAUGAGUGAAUGUAAUAAAUUUAAUAUUAAUUAUAUGAUCAAUACUUUACACAUGUAUAUUGGUAUAUCAGUCAAUAACAGUAGUAAGACAAAUUAUAAAAUAUAAGGGAUAAAAUUAAAGUCCUACACAUGCAUGUAUGGUAUACUAUCUUGAUAGCAAAAAGGAGAUCAAUAUUCAGUAAAAAUACAUAACAGAAACUGGAGAGGAAAAAAGCUAAAAUAGAAUAUGUCGGGGAAGGCUAGCUAGGAAAUGCAUACAUAGCAGACAAUAUGGUUUGAAGGAGGGUGAGAAGAAUGAGGAAAGUUGCAGCUAGCAAUGAUAACUUUCGCCUUGUUCCAAUAACCUUAUUUUGCCUUGCUCCUCUGUCUCUUGCAAUGUACACAUAAAGCUUUGGCGAUUUUACCAAAGUGGAAAGCAGCUAAGGGGACGAAGGUAUAUUCGGAGAGAGAUUGUUAAACAAUUGUAAAAAGUAAGCCCAAGAAGAGAGGUCCAAUAAAAUUCAGCCACCUCUCACAUAGUAAUUGAAAUAGUCUAGCAACUUCAACCAUUUCCCUCACAGAGAAGAAGAAGACCAUAGCCACUCGAGGCUUUUGCACAGACAAACACCAAGAAGAUGGUGUCCGGUUCCGUAUCUGUGCUAAGCGCGUCAUUGUUGACGCCAGGCAUCACACCUUGGAAAGGCUCUCUUUCAUUAUAUAUAGCCAAAGAACUUCCAAAUUAUUGAAAAUAAAUAUUUUCAACAAUUUUAUAUUCUCCUUUAAUUUAUAUUCACUUUUGUUAGAAGUUAUUUCUUCUUCAUUUUUCUCACGAAAAUCACAUAAUUUAUUUAUUGUUCUUGUAAAUGUGUAAUGAUUAUUUUAUCAUUUCAUGUGAACAAUAUGAUUUUGUUACCAUUUACUCUCUUUGCUUUUUACUAUUGAAAUCUCCCUAACUAUAAACUAAUUGCACAAUUUUGCUCCUAAUAUACGAUCAUGUAGCAACCUAUAAGCCAAGAGUAAAAACAAGAAUCAAUUGAAGAGGGAAUAAAUUGAUAUAUAUCACCCUGGAAGAUGAAAUAUACAUGAAAGAGGGAAUAAGUUGAUACAAAAACUAAUCACCAUUCAUCAUAUAUGAACAAAAUAUGUAAUGAAAUGCUUGGAAUGAAACAUGAUGAAAUAAUUUUCAUUAGAAUAAAAUAAAGGGUAAGAAAAUAUAUCCAUACCUUCGGAUGGUAUUCAGAAACAAUCAUCAUAGGCAAAUUCUGGGUAACGACACCAAAAAACUGAACUACAUUAGGGUGACGAAUCUUUUCCAAUAAUGUCAACUCAUGUUUGAAUGCAUUUCUAGAGGAAAUUCAAUAAAAUAAUUAAGAAACCUUGCAAUAUGUGAGAGAUAUACGAACUUCAAACAAAUUUUACAAGUUUCAGCAAAAAUUUUCAAACAACUUUUAAAGUUUAAGCAAAAAGUAACCGUAGGUAGGAAGGGGAGCAAAAGUGGGGUCUCGAAUUAAUUCUGCAAAAUUAGUAGGCUUUCAAAAUUUAGUUUCUAAAAGUAGAAUUAUUGGAGAAAAAUAAAUAAUUGCAUCAUUCAAAUUGAAUCAAACAUAUAAGGAUGUUAUAUUCUCCACAACGUAUAAUGGAUAUAAACAUAAAAUUUCUAUAUACAAAGCUAUGUAUCUCUACCCUUGACUUCUCUUUCUCUCGUUCUACCUUUUUUAUCCAUUCUUUCUCCCAUUUACUCAAUACACUUGCAAGAACCUUCAUUUUUUUUGUAUUUAAAUUUUCUUGGCACCAUCCUUUUUUUAAUUAUCAAGGCUUUGUCAUUGUGUACCAGUAUUGUGUCGUGCCUCCUUCACUUCUCAUCAUCAUUUUCAUGUCACAUCUCUACCUUGUCAAUUUUCGUUUUUCACUCAGCUUUCUUUCUUCUUUUGUCUUCAUUACUUUCUUCGCUCCUUCUUCUUAAGCUCUAACUUUUGCUAUUAUCAAUCAGUCUCAAAUGACCAUUGGAAAACCUAUAGCCCACUGAGAGGCAGCCAAUAUAGUAAUGCCUCUAAUGAUAAACUCCAAUGAAAUCAAAAGUUCUUUUUUAAGAUUUGGAAAAAUAUAUUAGAUAAAGCAUAAUUAGUUGAAAAAGAACCUCAAAAUUUUGUGUUAAACGACUACAAUUUCAUCGUAUAAUAUGCCAUAUUGACAUCAUAUUUUUCCUACAAAAACAUAUUAACUAAAAUAAGCUCAUAAACACGAAAAUGCACUAAGUGUUGGUGAACAUACACUACCUUAAAAUAUGACAAAGACUUUAUUUCUCCCAACCAGACACCAUAAUCAGGAGGAGUUGGGAGCAAACAGAAUUGACUUAAUUUCCACUAGCAAUAUCCUAUAAAAAUUUCAAAUUCUUGAAAUAUGGAAACCAAUGGAAGUUUUAGGGGAAUGAAGUAUAACCUCUAAAUGUAGAAGGACGACAUAAAGGGGAAUGAAGACUCGAAAGAAGGACGACAUUUUCGUAGAGAAGGACGACAACUUUGAGGGACAACGGACGACGAUUUCAGAGUAUUAGAGAUGGCAGAUGGUGGAAGUCUUAGGGAUCUCGCACUCAGUGGAUGGUGAACGACUGAAAGCGAAGGAUCUAGUACGCAUUUUCGCAGAGGGCGUGGUGAACGCGGGCGGACGGACGGUGAACACGGCAGAAGUGAGAGAUCCUCUUAGAGAACUUGGCAUUUUCGAAUGCGGUAGAGACAAGUCUAGGGCUUCGAAGGAUUCAACCCAAUAUUUUCUUUUUUAUAUAUAUAUAUAUAUAUAUAUAGUAAUAACACUUGACGUUUUUAAAACGUCAAGAAAAAUGAUCUUACUUGACGUCUAAAAAACAUCAAGAUAUUUAAAAAAUAACUCUUCUCCGGCUUUUUAUAAAAAUUCUUGACGUUUUAAAACAUAAAGAAUUUUUAAGAUAUUUCUUGACGUUUUUAAAAUCUCAAGUAAAAGUACAUAUUACUUGACGUUUGAAAAUUUUGAAGAAUGUUGAAUAUAUAAACAUUCUUGACGUUUUUCAAAUUGAGUUAAAGUUACAAGGUUGAAGGCUAGAGGGAAGCCCGGAACAACCUAAUCUAACAAAGCUUAAAGUUAAGAGUUGGUAGUAAUUAACAUCAUAUUGGUUACAAGAUGAAUGACGCCUAGACCAAACUCCGAUCAAGUUACAUAUGUCUUCCCACAAGUUAACAAUAAACCUUGAUUUAUCCUUAAAAAUUCUAUUGUUUCUUUCUAUCCAAACAGUCCAAAGUAAGCCAGUUAUGGAGGGAGGAAUACACAUUAGAGAGCUCAGUUAUGGAUGGAGGAAUACACAACUUUUUCUCAUGGUCAUUUUCCACGUGGGCAUUCUCUUCAUGUUUCUUCUUAUUCCGACUAAAAUACAAGCACAAAUUAUUCUUCGCCUUCGUAUAGGUUUGUUUAAAGAAGAUUAAAAAAGUCCUUAAUUUAUCUCGACACUUCCAAAACCAUAAUAUAAUACUUAUCUAGGAGCCAAUAACAUCGGCGAACAAAGGUUGGGCUAUCUAGUCCAUGGGCAUAGUAUACAUGUAUCCUUUCUACAUUACCAACCUGCCGAAGAGAAAGAAAAGAUUAUCAAAGCACACCUUUUCUUGGUUAUUAAGGCUGUAAAAGAAUGAAAAUUACCAUAAAUCUAAACACAGUUAAUAUUAGACCAUUGAACAACCUAUAGAUUCAAAAGGAAAGACUCAAACCACCAAUAGACUGGUUAAUUAUUUAAAAUGAUCUCCAACAACAUGAUACGCAGUAUAUCGUGCUAGAUCCAUAAUUACCACAUGUGGACUCCUAUGGUAAUUUCAUUGAUGAUACGCAGCUAGUAGGCAAGAUUAUGAAAUGAAGACAGUAUGUGAGAAGAUUGAAAAGAUCCACAUGAUAAAAUUAUAGGGAUUUGAAUUUAUAUCUUAAGAACACCAGAGUCAAAUGCUUAAGCUGAUUAACUAUGUUAAAUUUAACUAUAUAAUAUAUUUUAAAUCUGAACAGUUAUUAAAAAACUACAUUUUGAAUAAGCUUUAGAGAAUAUUAGCAAAAGCAGUAGAAAUUACUUCAAAUUUGUAGAGAGAACAUAUAAAUUAUAAUCUAGAGAAAGAGCAUCUGAAUUAUAUUCUACAGAAACACGAGCCCAUAGCAUGUCUACUGAGUAGCAAUGACAGUGAAAAAGAGAAUAGUAAGUAACUAAUCUCAUAAACCCCUUUCUCACAUCUAACCAAGUUCUUUCAUAACAUGCAAAAGCAUCAAAAUAUUUAAGAAAACUUCCAAUAUUGCAUUUGGAACUCAUUGAUUGACUUCAACGUUUAAGAGUCAUAAAAGACACAGCUUACUUUCUCACCUGUCACCACUAAGCCUACGGCAACAUCUUUUUAUAAGAUAUUCAGCUAAUCUUUAGAUUGUUUACCGAAUAAUCGUCUAUUGUUUUGUAAUUGAUCCCACCAAGCGCUUGCGCCACCUUAAAGUUUGAGAGCAACUAAUCGAACCUUCUUGUGUUUGGGUGUAUUGGCAUAGUCGAAAAAAAUUUCUACGUUCUUGAUCCAAUCAAGAAACUUCUCCACGUCAAUUCGACCAUUGAAGGUAGGGAGAUCCACUUUCAUACGUAUUUCUUGAUCUUCUUGAAAGUAUGGUCGAAGUCCAAGCCUUUGUUGAGGUUCUUGAUGAAUGUUCAGCAAGUUGUCUUCAUCGGAAGAGUCAGAAUCGCUUAAGAAAUUUCCAGGUACGUUGUUUCCAUACAAUCGAUUAUUGUGGAUGUGAAUAGGUUGAUUUCUUAGUAGUUCUUGGUUUACAACAGAGUUUAUUGGUCUUUCUUGUCUUUCUUGGUUUCCUGCAAUUGGGUUUCUUGGGGGCUAAAUUGCUUCUUCUAAAGGUUGGACAUGAAAUCGGGUAAAAAGGUUUGUUAAUUCUACUAACGAUUGUUGUAUAUCCGACUGCCCUUUUCGAAGUUCUUCAAUAGCUUGUUCUACCAACUGCAAGCAUUGGUUGAAGGAGGCUUCCGCGUCCAUGGAUAAGAGUGGUAGGAUCCAAGUUUUUUUAGGGAAGAGUGAGCUAGGAUCAUGCUCUGAUACCAAUUGAUGCAGUAAUUGCAAAGCUAGAAAUCUUUAUGUAUAAUGCCUCUUUUUUUUUAUGUCUUAUUAAUGAAAAUGAGAAGCUUUUUUAUAGGCUGGAGAUUACAAGAGUUCUUAAACUAACUUGGGGUUGAGUUAGUUUAACUUGGAGUUGAGUUAGUUAUAACUAACUCAAGAUACAAAAUUGGUAAUUCAAAUAACUAAUCCUAAACUACAAAAAUGGUAAUUCAAACCCCUCCUCUAGGAUAAAACUCAAGAAACAUCAAGAAGGGAGAUGUUCUACAUCAAAGUGUAGAGAACAAUUCAAAAUCUUUGGUGAAAGGAAUGAAUGUUAACUAAUGUGUGUUUAUGUGAAAUUGUUAUGUUAUGAGUAUGUUAAGGAUAAAGAAAGGUUUAUGCGAGAUAAAAUUAUUUGAUGUUGUUUAUGCGAAAUGAUGUUUAUGAAAAGGUAUUGCGAAAAGGAUUUCAUAAAACCUUAGUCUUUUAGACAUUCUUUCAAAAAUUCAUCUUCCAAGAUGAGGUGUUUAGGCCAAGUAGAGAAGAAGGUUGAAGGAUUUGCAGCGAGAUGACCAGACGUUUUGAAAAUAGUUAAGCAUUGGUUGUUUGGUCAAAGUGUUGUAAUUAUGUAUCAAACACAUGUUAUUAAUAAACAUCUUGGUCAUCGACCCUAAAGCUCUUGCAAUCCGACCCUUAACUCUCUCAUCGCCUCCUCCAAAAUCCAAAUCCUUCAAUUCCAGUCCUCAUCCAAAAAUUGAACCUCCCCCUCAUCAAUCUUACCCAAGUCCUCUCGCAUGUCUAUUAUCCUCUCACCACCAAAUCCCCAUCAUUAUAACAACAUCCUUCACCUCACGACCUGACCGAACAAGCCCUUACCCGAUCAAAAGGGCAUUGUUAGCGAAGAAAAAUUCCUUAGGGUUGAGGAGGAAGACCUGCAUCACAUUCCUCUCCCUCCGCACACUACUAUACGUAAUUCCAAGGAGGAAGACUUACAUCUCGCGUGUAAACCCCGAUACUCAAUAAUCCUUAAUUCAUCUAAAGAACUCAAUAGGACAUUAGGGGUUGAUGUUAGGAGAAAGAUGGUUUAAGAUUAAAUAGUUUAGUUGAAGUGUUAUGGAAGAUGUGUUAAUAUUUUUAAGAUGACAAAAGAAAAGUGUCAUCGUAACAAAGAAAGGCCUAAAGGGUGUUUGAAAUAUGGCUAAGUGUUGGCUAGGGCAUGUUGCAUACUCUAGGCGGCCAAAAGUGUCAAGCGAACCUCUAAAGAGACAUGUUGGGUGGCCAAAGGUUGAGAUGUGGUAUGGCCGAAAGGUGUCAAGACAACCUCUAUAAGACAAGGCUAUAUGACCAAGGGUAUGCGCUAGGCAAGGAAGCUAAGCAUCUAAGAAAUGUCAAGAAACUCUAAAGAAGUUAGAACGUGGAUAAGGAAUGUCAUGCAACAAAGAGGUGGGCUAUGUGGACAUAGGCCAUGCGGCCAAUGGGGCAAUUCAACCAAAUGCUAGUCAGGAUGGCAUGGUUUGUUGAAGGCAUUGAGGGAUGUUUGGGAGAUUAGGCGAGAAAAAAAAGUCUUAGGCAAUCUUGGCAGUAAGAAUUUACUAAAGAACCCUCAUAGAAAAAGGGAUAUGCGUCCAAGGAUGACUUAAGCAAUAUGAGGUAAGAUGUGCGGUAGAGUACAAGUGGACAACAUACAAGAUACCUAAGUUUUGCCAAAUAAGUGUCUUGCAUGAGGUGGAAAGUGGCAAGUAUAGGCGUAAGAGGUGAGAAUAAAAGUGUCAACCAAAGAGCAUGCAAGGAUCACUAUAUGUACAACUUUGGAUGAAUUAUGUUAACAAUCAACUUGUGUUAAUUGGGUAACUCUACUUCAAAAAUCUCCUAAAUUGAGUGUAGUAUCAGGAGAAAGGCUACCAGGAAGAAAGGCAUUGAAGUGAAGAAAGACUCAAAGGUCAUUUUCAGAAAAAAAAAAAAAAAAAAAACUUGAACAAUGUAGAGUAUUUUGGAGCUACAUAACUCAAUACUUGGAAUUUGGUAGUGACACUUUGUGGUAAGCUAGUGAAGACAUUCUAAGUAAGUUUGUAGAAGGAAUCUUAUUGAUUUAAGCUUCAAAGUCGAGUUAAGUUUCUGGUAGAAAAAUCAUAUUUCUAGGCAAGGCCAAGGGUGGGUUGAUUGCCAGAAUGACAAGGUGAGAUGAGCGUGUGUUUUGAGCGAAAGAGGUUAUUUAGGCUUGGGACAUGCAAGAAGCAUGUCCUGGCAUGAUCAAGCAGCCUGAGCCACGCAUCAUUACACACUCUAUUAUGAAAGUUGAGUAUAUUGCUACUUGUGAAGCAGCAAAAGAAGCAGUUUUGCUAAGGAAGUUCUUGCAUAAUUUGGAAGUUGUUCCAAACAUGAACAUGCCCCAUCACUUUAUAUUGUGAUAAUAGUGGGGCAUAUUACUAAUCCAUUUACAAAGACUCUCAUGGCUAAAGUGUUCGAGGGUCUUCUAGAAAGUCUAGAUCUGCGAGUUAUGUACAUUUGGUAAUCUAGGAAAAGUGGCAGAUGUGUAAUGGGUAUGAGGAUGCCCUAGUUUAUUGUAUUUGUAUAUACACAUUUUAUGUAAUACACUUGUACAUUUUACCAUUUUCAAUGUUAGAUGAUUACUUUAUUAUGAACAUCCCAAAGAGACUAGAGUUUUAGUCCAAGUGGGAGUUUGUUGGAAUUUAUGUCCUAAAACUCGUAGAUUGUAAAUAUAAUCCAUUGACCAUUGUUAAUAAAGUGUUAUUAUUGUAAUAAUUGUUAUUGAUUAUAUUAUUAGUUUUGUCUUAAUAACUCAAAUCCAAUAAACUAACAUCCUAAACUGUUUAAUAAGUAUUGAAUAGUAUGUAGAGACAUACAGGGAUCAAUGUUCGAGAUCAGCUUAAAGGGUCUAUAGUAUAGGGAUAAGACUGGGUACCUUUAUCAUGGUAACAUUAUGAAUACGACUCACUUUGUAUUUGAUACAAAUACAAUGAUCCAAUGUGUUCAUGUAGUUGACAUGCGAGUGAAGGUAUCCUAUGCAAUGAGAUUGCAAUAGACCAGAUCGUGAAAUAGUAACCACUUGGUGUUACUACAUUAACUAGUUAGGUUUCUAUUUCACUAGGAUGACCUAGAUAACUUAGUCUUAAUCUUGAGUGUAUUAUGAACUCUUGUUCACGAGAGAUUGUCCUUUGAUUUGUACGAGUGAGAGUGGCUAGAUCGCCGACUCAAUAAGCUUAUCAUUCACUACUACAAAAACAGAUUCUCUUGACGUUUUUAAACUGUCAAGAAUCACUAUUCUUGACGGUUUUAAAACCGUCGUUGAAGCCAGCGUCAAGAAAGUCAAAGUUCUUGACGGUUAAUAAAACGUCAAGAAUAGCGAUUCUUAAUAGUUUAUAAACGUCAAGUAUACAAAUAUUCAUGACAGUUAAAAAUCGUCAAGUGAAUGAGUAUUCAUGACAUUUAAAAACUAUCAAGAAUGUAAUUUAUGACAUUUAAAAACGGUCAAGAACACAAUUGUUUAUGACGUUUAAAAAACAUCAAGAAUUUACUUGUUAAUGACAUUGAAAAACCGUCAAGAAUGUAUUUGUUUAUGACAUUUAAAAAACGUCAAGCUUGUUUCAUUUUUUUUCUAAAUUAUAAUUUAUUUAUAUUUUUGUUCCUGUAUUGUCUCUAUAAUUCCUGUAGUGUGGCCCAACAAUCUCAUAAAUAUGCACGAGUACAAUUCCAAAACUUUAACAUAUAUUAACAUUUAAUCAUAUAUGUAUGAACAUUUCGAAAACUUUACAUGUUUGUUCGAUAUUGUCAUAUACAAAACACUACUUCAGUGAUCUUGGAUGAAUCUACAAAACCAAAAUUACAAAACCAAUCCAACUAUGCUAUUCCAAAAAUCACAAGACUACAAUUCUAGUUCAAGAAACAAAAUCUUAAUUAAAGAAGCUUUGAAACUCAAUGAUCUUGGAUGAAUUUGACUUCAAAUACAAACUUGGAUUCCACAACCUAAACCAAAAUAAAAUAAUAUAUCAAGUUAAGAUGGAUUCACAUAGCAACAUUUUAUCAAAUGGUUGCAAUGUUUCAAAUAAGCAACAAUUAAAAUUCACAUAUCGAUUUGGCAUCUAUAAAUAUACAAACUAAAAAGUACCUAAAUGUCAAUUAUUUACCCAAUAAGGCUAACUAAGUAACCAACCUCUAAUAUGUUUUGCAAUGAAAAAGGUUGCCAUAUUGUUAAUGUGGCCAUAUUGUGAAGGCAACCUCUUAGAUUUGUUUGUGAGAAAGGAAAGAAAUACCAAAAUAAGUAUGGACUAAGAUAGUAUCAAAUAAAGUUAAAGUUGAAUUUUAAAGCUCUAUUUUUUUCAAGAUAGAAAAAUUUCAGCUAAAGAGGAAAACACUAAGGACAACCAAGCAAAAAAGUCUAACAAAUAUCAAAAGAGAACAUGCAGGAAAGAAAGAAUGUAAAUAAGGUUUUAUCCGCACCAAGCAAAAAAGUCUAACAAGUAUCAAAAGCUUUAUAAGUUGUACUAGAAUUCAAAGCUCUAAACUCUAAAGAAUGUAAAUUUCUUUGAAGAAAUUUGUGUAUAAAGGUCACACAGUUGAAAAUUCAAUACCUUUUCAAGAAUGUUGUUGAGAAGAUUAUUGUGAUGAAUCUUUGAAUCCAAAUUAUGGAGACAAGAUAAAUAAAUGAGUUCUGAUUCUAACUGACUGAAUGGGAGUUAAGAAAAUAAGAACAUUGGAGUUGAAUUAUCAGCAUUUAUUUUAAUGAAACUUACGAUAGCAAACCAAAUUAUAGAGAGAGAUCAAAUGCUAGGAUAAAGGAAUAGUCUUACAUUUGGUGAGUUCCCAAAUGUUGUGGUAGUCACAAGAGUUAUUCCACUCGAAUUGUCUUAGACAAGAGGCUUCCAUUCAGCAAGUACUGGUGAGAAUUAAAGUGGAAUGACAAACUUAAAAACACCUAAUCUUUAACAAACUUUUCCGACUUUUUGCAAUUAUUUUUUAACACAAGAUAUCAAAACACACUUAAAAACCAUAACAACCAAUUACCAUAAAACGGUGUCCAAUAACAAUAAUUGGGUCAACCCAAACAUCAUUAAAUUCUUGGGAAAGGUUGUGGACUAGACCUUCACCAUCUUGCCCCUAAAACAAGUUAAAGCUUAAGGAAAGAACACAAUAGAAACAAAAAUCAUAAACUCAUCAGUUAGAUAGUAUUGGUGGUCAAAACCUCAAGGUCUCACUUCUUCCAUUUUAUAUUACCAAAUUUGAAAAUGAUUUUUAAUAUAUGAUCAUUACUUGAAACAUGUUGGUGUACAAGUGUGAAUGAAACUAAAUCAAGUUUGUGUUUUAUGUUAUUGUUUUUGACAGUAUAUUUAUGUGCUAUGCAAUCCAUGAGAGUAUAUUUAUGUGCUAUGCAAUCCAGAAGGGGGAAUGCAACUAUACCCAAUUCAUAAUUGUAUUUGGAACACUAAUGAUUUUAGCACAAAUUCCAUCUUUCCAUUCUCUAAGACAUAUAAACCUUAUCUCCCUCACUCUAUACCUUGGCUAUAGUGCUCUUGCAACAUAUUAAAAUUCUCGUAAUUAAAAAUUCAUACACAAUUUAAAUUAAAUUAAACAUCAAGACCCAUGACGAAGAUGAAUCUCUGUUCAUUUUUCUUUUUAUUAACAAACAAAAGUUUUUAGGUCCACUUCUUUCAACAACCUCCUCAAGGAUCCUUAAUUAUCUCUUUCCAAGUUCAUAACCACUCUAGUCAUGCAAAGAUUAAGGUUCAUGGCCAAUCAACAAUUAAUCUGUGAUUAAGAUAUUAUGAACGUUAUUCACAUAAAAACAUGAAAAGAUGAAGAGCAAAUAAUCAGAUGCAUUACAAAGAAUAAUUCAUAAACUUUGUCUACAUCUAUCCCUAGGAUUAAGAGUUUAGCUACCCCAUACUUCACAAUCUAAAACACAAAACGGAAUACAAUACCCAUAACAAAAAUUCAAGGAGAAGAAAAAGAAAACGAAGAAGAAAAGCUAGUGAUUCGUAUUAUUAUAAUACUGUGUAUAACAGUAUGUGUUUUUUAAUAUUCUCUGUUUCCAGCUCCAGUGUACCAAAAUAUUAUCACAAACUCCACAAUCCCUUUCCAAUCCCUAAACUAACCAAUGAAUCAUAUUUGCACGCUUGGUAGCCUUGUUCAAAAUAUUAUAUAUUACAAUUAUAAUAACUUGUAUCCCCCCUUUUCAAGCCUAAAAUGCAAAACCUUUCUUCCAUUCUCUAAGGCACAUUUCCUCUUCUUUAAUUUUGCAUUCCAAUUUUAAAUAACAAAUUACAAAUUUUAAUCACAAAGGAAAAAAGGAAAAUUAUUACCUUUAGAAAGGGAAGAAAAUGAAUGAGUAACCAUGAAGGAUUUGGAAACGAAUAGAGGUUUAGCGAAAGUGGAAUGCGACAGAAGGACGGUGAACGUGUUUACUCGUUUUCAAACAGAGAAUGUGUUUACACAUUUCGAACGGUGAACAGACAGACGCAAAUCAACGAAGGUGAAGGGAACGCAAAGCAGACGAACGGUGACGGACGAUGAACGCAAAUGAAUGAAGGUGAACGCUGAUGAACGCAAAGGGAAGUCUUUUUCGGCGAUGAACGCAGAUGAAUGCACAGAUGAACGCGAAGGGAAGGUUAGGUGAACGACGCUUUUGAUUUCGGGUGGAGAAGGGACAAAGUCGCGGCGAAUUAGGUUUAAUUAAGAAAAGGGGAAGUGAUCUAAUUGAAACGUUGCGUUUUGUAAAAGAAUAUUCACACAAUAAUUUUUUAGAAAUUUCUUGAUGUUUUUAAAGACUCAAAAACAAAUUAAAAUUUCUUGAAGUUUUUAAAAACAUCAAUGAUUUUUUAGAAUUAUCUUGACGUUUUAAAAACGUCAAGAAUUUUUUAUAAAUUUCUUGAUGUUUUUAAAAAUGUCAAGAACUUUUUAGAAUUAUCUCAACAUUUUAAAAACGUUAAGAAUUUUUUAUAAAUUUCUUGACGUUUUUAAAACGUCGAGGAAAACUAUAUAUUAUUGACGUUUAAAAAACGUCAAGAAUGUUGAAUUCAUAAACAUUCUUGACGUUUUUUAAACGUCAAGAAAAAAUACAUCUUACUUGACGUUUAAUAAACGUCAAGAAAGUUGAAAAUUGGCCUUUCAUAAAAAUUCUUGACGUUUUUUUAUUUAAAAACGUCAAGAAAGGAAAACUACAACCGUCAAGAGAGCCUAUUUUUGUAGUAGUGAUUUUGGGGACAAGACUGAGUGGGGAGUUGGGAUUAUAAUUAAACAAAAUAGAAUUCACUCAUUUCCUACUUUAGGGUAAGUAGAUGAAUGUUAGCUUAAAUGGUGGCUCCAAAACUUGGACAAAGGGUUCGUACCCUCUCUAUGACAUGAGAGGGGUUUUUGUUUAUUAGUAGGACCAUAAACAAGUUGUUCAUUAGAGGAGCACUGGUUUUUAAGGAUUAGAGGUAACAUAGGGGUAAAGCGGUAAAUUGAUCCAACUGGUGUUACAAACACUCGUGAAGGACUAACUUACUAUUAUUGGUCUAUAUCCGUGGACACAGACAUAUAUUUUUAGUGAGAAGAGUUCAGUUGUGAGUCUUUAAUGGAGUGUACACACAGCUAACGAAUAUUGAUUAAUGUGGUUAAUGAGUUUAGCCAAUUAAUCUUAGAUCGUUGUAGCUUUUGAUCUGUAGAUCCAUUAGGUCCCUUUCCUAGCUCGUAAAGGGUAAUGAGAUUUAUUUAUAUUGGUUGUAAUUUAAAAUGUUUAAAUUUAACUUGGGAAUUAGUAUAAUGUAUAGUGAUACAUUAUAAUAUAAAGUUUAUCAAACUUUACUAUAUAAAUUUAACUUUGGGGAUGAUUCAAAAUUAAUUUAUGAGAGAUAAAAUAUUUGAAUGAGUUCAAAUAUUAAUUUAAUGUGAAUUGGAUUCAUAUUAAAAUUAUUGAGAGAAACUUAUAUUUGAAUAUGAUUCAAAUUUAAUUUAAGUUAAAUAUAAGAUAAAUAAUUUAGUGUUAUUAGUUAAUUGGAGAAUUAAUUAAUAGUUUAGUUUAAUAUUAUUUAAUUAAAUUCGAUUUCAUUAAUUAUUAACUAAUUGAUUAAUGUUUAAUUAAUCAGUAGAUUUGAAAUAUAUAUAUUAAUUUGAUUAUUUGUAAAUUAAUAGAAUCUCAUGGUUCUCUUCUACUUCAUUUUCUAUUCCUAGAAGGAAAGAGAGUUAUAAUAUCUACAAGAAAAUAAUUUUCUUAAAAAAAUGAAUUAAUAAAAAAAGAAAAAAAAUAAGGCUAACGCUAUUGCUCUUUGCAAAAAGAAAAGAGUUUCUCUCAAAUAUCUCUAAACUUUUUCCCAUCCCAAUUGGUUCCACAAACCAAUCUCAUCACAGAGGUACUCUUUGCAAUUUAAGCUCUCUUUGCAAUGGACAAUCUUCAAAGUUUUUUUUAACGAUGUUUCCAAUGCUUUCCUUUCUCUCUCAUGUUUAAUAAAACCAAUUUCUCUUAAAACCUGUAGGGAGGCUACAUCGUAUCGAAUUUCAUACAACUGACGUGUUCAUCGAGUUACAACAAGUGCCGCACAAUUGUCUGUUCCGUGUUUGAAAAGUUGUGAUUGUGACACGCUGCACAUGAGGUUAGAAUGAGACAUGGCAAGGCAAGCCCUACGCGCGCCUGCCAACUUCUGCCACAAUAUUUUGUACGCAAGCUAAUGUCUUUGGGCUGUUUUUGUGGUUUUUGGAAAUUUUAAGCAAAGUUUUGAUAUUUUAGAUCUGAAGGAGAUAGAACAAGUUUAUAAGCCAAGGGUCCAAGCUACUCUCGAUAAGUGACAAAAAUGAGUUUAAAGUUGAUUUCUAAACAUGAAUUUACUAUCAAAUGUUUCAAGCAUGCUUUGAUGUUUGAAUAUUUGAGGAUACUGACUUAUAAUGUAUUUCCAAAGCAUGAAUUUAGAAACAUUUUGGUAAACAUGUUUUUAUUGAUGAAUUUACUAAUGAAAAUUAUAAGCAAUCAUGAUUGUGCUAAGUUUUCAAAAUGUUUAAGCUUGAAAAUAAUAUUAGCAUGUUUUAGUCUAUACCUAAAAUAUUCUAAGAUAUAUAGCAACCCUUCGGGAGAGAUUUUCUUGUGCAUAGAGGUCAUUUGAUUUGGAUAUUCAGUAAAUACCUAGCUUUCCAUCAUUGGUAUUAGAUAAGAGAUGAAGACUUCUAAAGAUGCUUAGUUUCCCAUCUCAAGGGACGAGAGCCUGUACGAAUGCCUAGUUUUCCAUCUCAUUGUAGUUAUAACGAGAUAGGGCACAAUUGAUGCCUAGAGUUUCAUCUCGUAAGUAUCGUAUCACGGGAUAGGGCUUCUAUGCCUAGUUUAUUGUUUUUCGUCUCGACGAUUCUAGGUAUAGCAACUGAGAGGGAAAGUUUGAGAUAAGUUGUUUGAGUUUGAUUUCAUUUAUGUUAAGAGUUAAUUGUUAAAUACUUGUUAUUUCAAAACGAUGUUUUAUAAAACAAUCACUCAUUGGGCUAUUUAGCUCACUCUUUGGAUAAAUAUCCCCAUAUGGAUUACGUUGUUUGGAAAAUUAAACUGUGCUUUAGUACUUCAAAGAAAACUUCCCUCCCAUGUCCUCUCACCUCAUGUCUGCCCCAUUUGUGUUGAUAACAUGAAAAAUAUUUAGCACCUUUUAAUUGACUAUGUCUUUGUAUCGAAAUGUUGGUUCCGUCUUCUCCAAACAUUCAAUAUUUGUUGGGAUUUUUUGCUCAAUCAAGGCUUAUUCUUCUUUGUUCUCGACCUGCUACCUAUGAUUUAUGAUUUUGUUUUGGACAUAUUAUUUUAUCAUUUUGUUUGGUUUUAUAUUUGUGGCUUUUGUUUUGUUUUGUUUUUUUUUUUUUUUUUUGAAAAGGAGACAACCUCUUUAUUAAUAUUAAAAUAAUAAUAAUAAUUAGACAAAAGCUCAUAGUACAAGAGAGUUAUACAAGGAACAUGUAACCAUGGAUCAGGGGGUGCACCUUGGCAUCUCAACUAGGUUGACACCCCCAUAGCACCCUCAUCAUAUCCAACCAAGCUAAAACCCAUAACAAAGGAGUAAUGUCCAAAGGCAAAACAAACACAAAAAAAGCCUUCUAUUUGUGGCUUUUGGUUUUGAUCUUGUGUUGUCGCUUUUUGGAUGUGAUGAGGGCGCUAAGGGGGUGUCAACCUAGUUGAGAUGUCCAGGUGCGUCUGUUGAUCCUCCAUCCUAUUGCUCUUUGUAUAAUCCUCAUGACAUUGAACUUUGUCUCUUCAUUUUUCAAUAUUAAUAAUAGUGAGACUCAUAUCCUUUUUUUUAAAAAAAAACAAUAUGGGUUAAUUUGAUAAAAGUGUUGCUAGCAGAGAUUUGGUUUGAGCACAACCAACACAUUUCCAUGAUAACAAAAGGGAUUUGCGUGGUGAAAAUAGAUCUAUUAGAUCUCUUGGAGCAAUAAAAAAGAAAUAAGAUCUUUAUGUGAAAGUCGAACUUUUUUUUUAUGGAGCCUUGUGAAGAAAGGCCUUUACUUUUGGGCAACAUUGGAAUUGGGGCAUGGUUGUGCACUUAUUAUCAAAAGUUGUCCCCUAACGAUCAAACUGGUUCACUGUUGCGAAAUGGUGGGUUAGUUUAGGACAUGUCAUUAUUCUCGAACCUUCAGAUAAAUCUCCUUAUCUUAGGGAAUUAAAAGUUGUUCAACACAGGCUUGAAACAUACAUGUAUAGGGCUUCUGUAUUUUCCCAUAAGGAGCCAAUGAUUGAUUAUAUAUUGGUCUGUUUUGCAAAGGGAAAGAUUUCCCUAACACGUAUUGUAAAAAAAUAUGUAGUUGGCUAGUAGUGAAAAGUUAGCAAGGCUAUUCAUGUUUCUCUUGGUGUUCCCUCUCACUCAUCUUGAAGCUUAUUGUGGGCAUUUUGUCAACUUACUGUGGGUUUCUUUUGUAUUUUGUUUUAAUUAAUUACUUCGUACUUAUUUUACAUUUUAGUUUUCAUUAGUGCGUCCUGGAUAGAGGAUUUUGUUUAGCUCGUUGUUAUUGUUGAUAAAAUUAAAAUGCCAACGAUUACAAUUCUUGAGAACGGACUCAUCUGUUUCCAAUUCAGAUGCCCAAAACUUGUUGAAUGGAUCCUAUCUCGUUGAUCGCGACAUCUUGCUGGCAAAAGUAUGCUCCUCCGUAAAUGGACUCCAGGUAUUGUCCCUAAAUCCUUUGUUUUUUAUUAUGUUCCUAUAUGGAUUAAACUAGGUAGGAUUCCAAUGGAGUUAUGGACAGAUGUCAGAUUGACUGUUGUGGCUAGUGUUAUAGGCAAACCUCUAUCUUUAGAUCUAGCUACUAAGGAAAGACGAAGGUUGUCACAUGCUUGAGUAUGUGUUGAAUCAAAUGUGGACUCUCCUAUGCCUGCUGAAUUUACAAUUCACCUUAGGGGAGAGGAUUUCGUUAUGGCUGUGAAUUAUGAGUGGAAGCCUCGAAGGUGUAAUUUGUGCCGGUCUUUUGGGCAUUCUAGUGGUAAGUGUCCUAAGAUUGUGGAAAACAAAGUUCAUCGAGAGGAGGAUGUGAGCAAGGUGGUUUCAAACAAAGAGGAGGAACGGACAAUUGUGUCUUGUUGAUGUGGUGUUAGACUUUAAAUAGUUGGAGGAAAGUAAGACUAAUAGCUCCACCAUUAGGCAUAUUAAGGAAAAGGAGGUAGGUAAUCGAGAUGAAAUUACUCGUUAUUAGGAAGAAAAGAGAGUUGGUUUAUGUUCGAGAGAAGGGUAAACGUGUGGAUGUGAUUAUGCCUAACUCUUUUGGCAGCCUUAUGAAGUUGGGUGAGGGAGACAAGUGGACCUUAUCUAUAGUGGAUGACUCCCCUCCCCCUUACAAGUGGAUGAUACCGCUAUUGUUCUUAGGCGUAUGUUAUUAAUCACCUUAAGAUAAUUUCAAAAUAUAAAUAUAUUUUUAGUAUAAGUCCUCACGUUUGACUCUAGACUCACCAAGAAACCUUAUUUGGAUAUUAAGAAUAUGACAAAAUUAGUGAUAUUAGAUGACUAUCAAACGAUAAUCAUAGGGUUAUCAACUUUUAAAUUUACUACUUUUAAAAUUUAGAAAAUGUAGUGACAUGAGUCAUGUGAUUAUAAAUGUUUUUGUUAUUUUUGCAGGGUUCCAAAGAAAAAAGAAAAAAGUAAGAUGUGAUUGAUAAUAUGUGAAAAAAGGAAAAAAAUUAAAGAAAUAUAACUCGAUAUAUCUAAUUUGUUUAAAAACGACCCCAUUUGUAAUUUUUCUUUUCAAAAGUCACACAACAUCUUUUUGGAAAGUUUUUUUAGAGAAGCAUGCCAAUACCUUCAUCCUACGUAUGUAGAUGUAUUUAUGAAUAAUUUUUAAAAGUUCAAAACAAUUUUUUUUAACAUUUCAAAGUUUAAGGUUAUUUUUUUACACAAACUACAAAAUUCAAAAGAAUUUUUUUUUGUAAUUUAACUAAAUACUGUUGUAUGUAUAUAUAUAUAUAUAUAUUAGUUAUCUUUUUUAGUCCUAUAUUGUAAAAGAAUAUGAUUAUCGAUUUAUCGAAAUCUAAUUUGUAAAUGGCUUAAAACAUUUAGUUUGUUGAAAAAAAAUGACAAAACAAUGGACCAAUGGACAGCUAAUACAAGUCGAUGAAGCGAAUACCAAAAUUCUCUCAAUCCAAUUAAGCAAGAUUUCAAAAAAAAAAAAAAAUCUAAUAAAAACCCUACAUGUACAGUCUCUCUCAUUUAAAAUUUCUUUCUCCUCUUCUCUAACGGCCAAGUCUCCCUCUCCUCCCUCUCCUCCCCCCUUCUCUCUUGCUCUCUUGUCUUCUUUGGCCUAUCUCUCAAUUUCCCUUUCUGUAAGGAAGAAACCCUAUCAUACCCAUUUCGCGGAUCCAUCUGAAUCUUCUUCUCUUAGUCGCGGAUCCAAUCUCCAUCUUCUUCUCUUAGUGCGUCCUUUCCAUUUCUUCGUACACUCCAUUUUUCCUUUCUCUUCUCAAAACCCUAAGGCCUAUCUCUCAAUUUCCGUUUCUUUAAGGAAGAAACCCUAUCAUACCCAUUUCACCGAUCCAUCUCCAUCUUCUUCUCUUAGCGCGUCCUUUCCAUUUCUUCUUCUUCUUCUUUGUUCGUACACUCCAUUUUCCCUUUCUCUUCUCAAACCCUAAUUCUCUUUAAUUAAUUAAUUCCCUCUCCUUUCUCUCUCACUUCCUCCCUCUUCCAUUAAUGGCAGGUUCUCCUCAUCUUUCUCCUUUCUCCAGUGUUGAUUCCUCCUCUACUUCGACCUGUGAUGCUCUUUUCUUCUUCCCUCGCAAUUUCGAUUCCACCAUCGUCACCGAUAUUGGUUGCAAUUUCUACUCUCUUCAACCUCAACCUUCUGGAUUCCCUCACUCUCACCGGAUUGACUUCAAUGUCCUUGGAACCUCCACUACUACUACUAGUACUCCACUCAUCAAAGAAUCCGCUGGAUUAUCAGACGCUCCUCUUCCUUUCCUUUCUAAUCCUUGUCUCUCUUCCAACUCCAGUGGUGAGCCCCCGAACAAAUCGCAUUACUCCGUGAGUUCCCAAUUAAUUCCAUCUUUAUUUAAUAUUCAAUUGUCCUCUUUCCAUUUGUUUCAAUUAUUGAAUAGAAAGUUAAUUGAAUGAACUAUGUUCCAAUAAUUUCAUGUGGUUCUGGUAAAGCACAGUGCAUCCGGUCGAACUUCCCCCAUUAUGUAAUUUUAUGGAGGUAGUUUUGUAAAUUGGAUUGAAACAGGGGCUAUUCAAUGUGUAUGCAUUAAAAUAUAGGGAUUGUUUUUCAAUUAAAUUUAAAUCGAUUGAGCCUCUGAUAUGCUAGUAAGCAUCAGAUCUCCUCUGUGUAUAUAUAGUUAGGUACUCUUCUUUUUUUUAUAGGUUUCGUCAUAUAUAUCACGGUCUGAAGUUGUAGCUAAACUUGCUUUCAUCUUCAGUUUCUAUCACUAUUUAAAGGUCAGAUUUUGUUCGAUUAGAAGAAUGUAAAUUUGUCAAGGACAAUAGCAUGCUUAGUUUAAUUGUACUCAAAUAUUGUUACUAAAACAAUUGCUUUAUUUGUGUUGAUACCAUUAUUUGUGUGGUAGAUCUCUUGAUUCAUUUUGAUGUUUGUAUUUUGAAGACAUACAAAGGUCAUAAUACUAGUUGCUAUUCUUUUUAUCUUGAUACGUUUCAUUUUUGUUUUAAUAUUUCACUGUCUCUAUAAUUGAUUGUACAAACAUAUCUCAUCAUUCAAUCACUUUUCAAGUUUUAGAUUCUGAAAUUUGUAUAUAUUGGGGUUUUCCUUUUUCUUUAUUUUGGAUUAUUUCAAAUCUCCAAAGAUCUUUCUUGUAACAUUUGCAUAUUUUAGUUUGUUAAAAUCUUCGAAAGUAGAGGAGAAGGCUCCAAAAGCAUUCUGUCUCUCAUUGCCUUGCCCUAACAUUAUCAUCUGUGUAGAUGUGCCAAUGAGUAGACCAUUUUCUUUUACUUUUUUUUCCAUAGCUUUUGAACCACUUUCCCUUUCUCUCCUUCUCUUUCAUUCUUCUUUUAUGUUAAUUGGAAGAAGCUUUGAGGCCUCUCUUGAAAAUAAUGAGGUUUUGAAGGGGAUAGAAAGAGAGUGAUGGUGGGAUCCAUCAAAGGUUUGGGAUUUCACACAAUGUUUGCAUCACUCUUUUAAAUGUAAUUAGAUGUUGAGGAGUUGAUCGCCGAUCAUAGAUAAGGAGGGGCUGGUUAGUGGCUUGGAAAAGAAUUCAGACAACAUUAAUUUUUUCUAAAAAAUAAAACCAACCUUCCGACGGUUGGUUAACACUCCUCGACAGUCGAGAUAGGGUAAGACUUGUAUUCUGGUUCUGUUGAUACCUAUAUUUGUGCUUCAUCACUUUAUAAUUGUACUUUUAUUUAUCCCCUUUGUAUAUUUCCAUGUGUUUCAUGUUUGUCUUUUAUGUUUCUUCUAUUUAUAUAUUUCUUCAUGUUCUUCUCCAUUCGGGUUUGCUCUUGCGGAGGUUACACAUUCAUUGUUGUGUUGGUACUUUAGUUAAUGAUGUCUAGUAAUUUUUGUUUUGCAAAUUUUCUUGUUAGUGCUCAAGUUUGAUUUCAUAUUGCCUUUAGCAUAGCUUUACGACUGCAGAAUUCAAUUGCACAUUGCCCUUUUUUAUUUUGUUAUUACUGAUGGACUUAUUUGUGAUACCUUUAAAGAAGAAAAUUUAUGGCUAUUUGUGUUGAAGUUUAUUUGUUGAUUAUUGGUUGGUUUUUUCCCUCCACUUUUCUUAAUAUUUUGAAGUGUGUAAUAAGGUAAGCAAUUUUUUAGUCCCCUAAAUUUGUUUUGUUGAUGAAUUACUCGAUUUUGUUUUCAGGUUUUCAUCGUUAUUCAUUUGGUGGCUAAAUAUUACUCAUGGGUAUUUGUUCGAUCUUAUUUUGUUGUGAUCAAUUGAUAUACAUAAUAUGCACUAUAAAUUUGUUAAAUUUUUGGAUUAUUUGCUUUUUUAAUGAGGUUGGAGGAACCUCAAGGUACGUUUUGUUAAAGCAUAUUUUAUAUUGAUAAAUUUGAAGUUGUCAAGUCUAUAACAAUGAUAAUGUUAAUACGAGUAAAUUUAUAGCAAAUUUAGUUGACUUAACUUAUUUACAUGCUAGUUGCUCGGACUCUUGGAAAAACCUUACGUGCAUUUUAACCCACGAUAAGAGGACUUAAGGUUGUUAUGACUUACAUAUCAGUUUUUGAGAUUUUCCUUUGUAACUUUUUCAUAGACCUUAUUGUAGUUUUUUGUUCUUCAUUUUUGUUUGUAGGACGUUUCUAGAGAAUGCAAGACCAUGUUUGAGUGAGAAAUUAGUCUCGAUGAAAUUGAGAGUUCAAUGAACAGAAGGGCUUUCGGUGGCUGAAACAAGUGAGUGAUUAAGUUUUUUAUCACCCGUGUUAUUUGUUAUCACUAGGGAAAGAAAGCUAAGUAGAAAAAGUAGAAUGCCAAAUGAAAAAAAAAAAAGAUUAGUAAGCAGCGUUAUUAUUUUAAAAUAGAAAACAAAAAUUAACAUUAUUGUUAAACCGAGCCAUUCUCGAGAACAUGAAAUAGAAUUGGAUAGCUGCCAUGCAUCGUGUCUAUGAAUGUUAAGAAUGAAACUAUCGGUAGGGUUAUAGAAUAAUCAUUCUAUCAGCCUCAAUUAUGAUACAGGGUUUAUGAAAUAGAAUUUUCUUAUGUAUUGUAAUAGUAGAAGAUUCUUCGUCAGGAAGCAAAGCUUAUAGCUUUGAAGAGUAUCUAAAGGUUAUAGAAGAGCAACCGAAAGCUUACGAUCAGCUCCAAACCAAUUUUCCAGCACAAAGCCAGAGUGGAUCCCAAGUACAACGGGAAGGUUGUUAAAAUCAAAUCUCUUAUGUCUUAUUUCAUAACUAUUUAGUUUUGAUCUUAACUACAACAAUUUUCAAUUUUUUCUAGGUGAACAUUGUAUGUGCUUAGAAAUUAAGUGUUUUGAAAAUUAGAGGUGAGCAAUCACACUUAGAAACUAAGUGUAGAACCAUAGAAAUGUUACCCCAUCGGUUCUAGCAAUGCCUAGUUACCGCAGUUCAUAACAAAGAAAGAAAAGAGGCUCGUAAAUGCAUACCAUACAAAAGUGAGACAAUCAACAAUUAUAAAAAAAACAUAUGCAAUAUGCAUUAAAAAAAGCUCAUAACAAAUGCAGAGUCAAGUCGGUUAGGUCAAGUAGAACAUGUUGAGUUCCCUAGCUAUUAGAGCUUUUGGGGAAAACAUCGCUUUUGGCCUAACCAAAACUAGACCAUCUAUUUUUAGUGUUUUAAACAUAACGUCAAGUUUGAUUGAGGGCUUUGAAAAGAGGAGGAAUCCUCCUCGAUCCACAGUAGGGCGAAAACGAGGCUUGUUGUCACUUCGAAGGGAGCAGUCAAACUUAGCAUUGAGUUUGAUUUUUUUUUUUUGAAAAGGUAAUGAUAAUAUUAUACAACAACAAUGUGGACCCCACAGCCUGAGGUCAAGACAAAAGAGCGAACAACACUCACAGAACAAGUAGUUAGACAAAACAACCCAUAAGUACCCAAAACAACCCCACAUCUCGGGAACAAUAACUAAAACCAAAAGAAACCAACUAGUGUUCCAAACAUUAAAAGGACAAGAAGAAGAGAGAAAGACAACAAAGUUAAUAAAGAGAAGAGAAACCCCACAGCCCGGGGACAAGCAAACGAAAAGAACAUUAAAUAAGACCAUGAACACCAUCCGACCAAGAAGCAGCACGCGCUUUAAUACACGACCGAAUGAGCUGGAAUACAACCAGAGGCUCCCGAAUAGCACCUCCAUGAAGACGAUGAUUUCGCUCCUGCCAAAUGAAAUAAAUUGUAGCACUAGAGAAGGCGCCACAGUUUUCUCCUCACACUCUUCCCAAUACCCUGAUUAUAAAUCCAAGAUAACUCAACCCCCCAAUAACCGGUUCUAUGAGAAGAUGACAUAAGCAAAAGGAUCCUCGACCAAAUCUCCCACCCAAAAUGACAAGAAAAAAACAAAUGAUCACGAGACUCAUAGUUCCCUCCACAAAGCAAACACGAUAAAGGAAUCGACCUAUCCCACCGACUUAACCUACCUCUAGUACCCAACCUAUCCCUGAUGGCCAACCAAGCACAAAAGGAGUGCUUAGGAAUAUUUCCCCCACCCCAUAGUAAACCCGACCAGCCAACCCUACUACUAUGAGGACGAAUAGUCUCCCACGCACUGGUGAUCGAAAAACUAUCAUGACUCCCCGGCACCCAAACCCACCUAUCCUCAACACUCGGACUCGGCCUCACUCCCUGAACCCUAUCCCAAAUGUCCAUCAAAUCCAAAUAAACAAGUGGCCACCUCCAAUCACCAUCCCGACCCAUGAAAUCCACCAGCCUCGCAUCCCACCGACUACCCGCAUCAUAGAUCACCCUCUCCCCAAACUGCUGGAUAAUCGGCCCACCCUGAAUCCAUGGAACCAACCACACUCUAUACUUCCUUCCAUUGCCCACCUCCAUCUUAACAUGAGCUUUAAGGAUAUCCUGCUUACGCAAGAUUUCCCUAAAGCACCAAGAUCGACCCACCCCAGCAUCGAUCUCCCACAGCGAUCUCCCUUUAAGGAUAUAAGAUUCCACCCAAGCAACCCACAAACUACCAGAUUUAACAAGUAGCAACCAUAAUAUCUUCAACGUGCUUGCUAUAUUCCAAGAAGAUCCAUCGCGAAUAUCAAGACCUCCUUCAUCAAAAGGAAGACAAACCUCAUCCCAGGCAACUUUAGCAACACCUCUUCCCUCCUUCUUACCUCUCCACAGAUAAGCCCUCAAGAUCUUAUCAACGUCUCUGUGGACUUUCAUAGGAAGCAUGAACACACUAGCCCAAUAAACCUAAAGGCUCCUAAGGACUGAGCGAACAAGCUGAAGUCUACCUACAAAAGAUAACACUCUAGCAGACCAAGACCGAAUACGACUGGUAAUACGCUGAAUAAGGGGAUCACAAUCAGAGCUCCGCAAUCUUCCAGAGAGGAGAGGAAGCCCAAGAUAACGAACAAGGAGAUGACCAAUGGAAAAACCCAUGUUAGCAGCAAGCCGAGAAGCUUUCGAACUAUUAACCCCGACAAGAAAAAUUGAGCUUUUAGGAAGAUUAGCAAACAGUCCCGAAAGCUCACCAAACCUCUUAAUAGUCUCUUUUCUGAAACUCAUAGAAUGAUUAUCAGCAGUACAAAAGAUCAUCAGGUCAUCUACAAAAGUAAGAUGAGUUAAUCUGACCUUCUCACAAAACUGGUGGAAUUGAAAAUUCUGAGGUGGGUUGUUCAACAUGCGAGAAAGCACCUCCAUGACCAUCACAAAUAAGAACGGGGAUAAAGGGUCACCUUGUCUAAGUCCUUUCCUCCCAUGGAAAAAACCUUCCAACGAUCCAUUAAUCAUAAUGGAGAACAUCGGAGAGGUCACACACGCUCGAACCCAACUCACAAAUCUUAAAGGCGUACCUAUGGCAAUCAGCAGGCCAAAGAGGAAAUCCCAAUUAACAGAAUCAUAAGCUUUGUGGAGGUCAACCUUCAUAGUGCACCGAGGUUUACCUCUGUACAAAUGGUAUGCCCCUACAAGCUCCUGACAAAGAAGAAUAUUGUCAAUAAUACUCCUCCCAGGGAUGAAAGCUGGCUGAUUUCCACUAACAAAAGAAGGAAGCCACACACGAAGCCUAUCUGCCAAUAUUCUUGAAAUGCACUUAUAAAUAACGCUGCAACAAGAUAUAGGGCUGAAAUCCUCCAAUCGAUCAGCACCAUUCCUUUUAGGAAUAAGUGUAAUAGCAGUCGUAUUCACCCCUUGAGGGAAGUAAUUGGUCUCAAAGAAGUGUAAGACGACAUCACAGAAACCUUCUUCAACCACCGUCCAAGCUCCUUUGAAGAAGCCAACUGAAUACCCAUCGGGGCCUGGAGCCUUUCCACCAUCCAUGGAGAACAGAACAAGUCUCACUUCCUCCCUACCAAUAGGCGACUGGAGGGCCUGACAACACUUCUCAGUCCAUCUAAACUGAACAAUCUCCUCAAUACUAGUAGAGAGCUCUCUAUAGCUAAUAUUCUGAGAACCCAUAUAUCUUUGAAAUAAUUCACUACCACCCGAGUCACCUAAUCAUAGUUAGUCAACCGAUUUCCAUCUGGGUCAAUAACUGAUCUCAAAGCAUUGCUGCUCUGCCUUGAUCGAACAGAUCGAUGAAAAAAGGCAGUAUUCUGGUCAUCUAGCUUCAACCAUCUGAUUUGCGACUUCUGGCGCAUAGCGGCUUCCUCCACUCUAACCGCUUUCCAAAAGUUUACCGUGGCUAAGCUCGCGUGAUUACUCGCCUCCUCCGACAGAGAGUUCGUCUCCAUCUCUCUUUGAGCUCGGUCCAUGGUAUCAUUGGCAAGACGAACAUCCUCACUGAUGGUCCGGAUAUGCCUACCAAAAUGUCUGCGAAGAAUCGACUUGAGAUUUCUUAAGUUCCUCACAAUAUUCACAAUUGGAGAAACUCUAGUAUCUUUGGUCCAAGUAGAGGACACAACAUCCAUAAAGGACGCUUCUUCAACCCAAUGGUUAAAGAAACGAAAAGAGACCACUUGUUGGCUUCGCUGAUUACUAGGAUCGACAAGUAUGGGAGAAUGAUCAGAAAUACCCCACGGGAGGACGUUAACCCUCAUGUUAGGCCAUGUACUAAGCCCCUCAUCAUUCACUAGGAUACGAUCAAGUCUCUUCAUCAAACCCGACCCAUGUAUCUUACUAGUCCAAGUAAACCAGUUCCCCUGGACCGCGGGUUCAACAAGGUUCGCCUCUUUAAUAGCCAUGUCAAACUCCUCCAUAUCCACCACGUUCGGAGCACCCCCAAAGGCUUCAGAGUGGAGUCUGAUGGUGUUAAAAUCACCCAAGACCAUACCCGGUCCUUCACCGCUCUACACUUUACAGGGCUCUUAAGGCCCCGCACGUUCCACGUACACCAACUAACCAUGAGGUCAUAUGGGAGCCGCCUCUCCCAUAGGAAUUACAUCACCUGUAGUACUCAAAAGGACCAUAGAAGAGUCAUCUACUCGUAAGGGAGGAGGGGAGCCAUCCACUAUAGAUAAAAGCCAUUUAUCUCCUUUAUCCACCUCCAUGAGGUUCUUAAAGGAGUUAGUGAUACUCACUUCUGCCCUUUUCCCUCUGUCCCGAAUAGAGAUCAUUCCCCUAUUUUUCCUGUCAACUGGGGUAAAUUCCUCCCGAUUCACCUCCACCUUUUCAGGAAGUUUAUGGGUAAUAAUUUCUCCUUCUUCCAUGUGUUGGAAGGAUUCCAACACAACAUCUCCAUACUCCCCACAAUCUGGAACCACCUCUUUAGUAGGAACAACCUCUUUAACAGGAACCUCUUUACUUGCAGCUUCCUUUUUACUAUCUUCAUUGCCUCUUUUCUUAGGGCAGGUGUUCUGCAAGUGUCCAAAAGAUCUACACAAGUUACAUUUUUUCGGUUUCCACUCAUAAGUGACAGUUACAAUAAAUUCCUCUCCUCUAAGGUUGACUGUUACUUCGGCAGGCAUAAUAUUGUCCACAUUCAAUUCCACACAUAUACGGGCAUAAGAAAGACGACGCCUCUCUUUAGUAGCAAGAUCAACUAAAAGAGGUUUUCCUAUUGCACUCGCUACCACAGCCAAACCAGCAUCCGUCCAUAGCUCCAACGGAAUCCUCCCUAACUUUAUCCAAACAGGAACUGAAUCAAAGACGAAGGAUUCAGGAACUAUACCUGGAGUCCAUUUGCGGAGGAGCAUAGGUUUGCCUCCAAGGUGCCAUGGGCCACGGGAUAAGAUCCACUGUAUUGACUUCAGAUGUUUGAAUUGAAAGCAGAUGAGCCCAUUCUCCAUCAGAGUAAUUGUUGGCAUUUCAAUUCUACCCCAAAUCUUCUCUAUAAGACGAUAGAUGACUAGAUACAGCAAUUUUGCAUCAAUUAAUUGGCUGACGAGGGAGUUCUCCCACACUCUAACUCCUUAACUAAUAACUUCUUCAAACGGGGUCACCACAAUUUUCUCUCCCACGGUAGUCAGAGGUGUAUAGGUCAUAGAGAAACCUCUUGUUGAGCCAAAUAAGGAAGCCCAUGAAUUUUUGCCUGCACCUCUAGAAUUAUUAGAUUUAUGCACCUCAUGCCCACGAAUCGAAACAGGCGGCCUACCAUUGGAAUUAGUACCAAACGGUUCUCUAAUGGCUGGCCCAUCAUUCAAAUGCCCAUCAACCGGCCCAAUCUUUGGGGCACUUGCAAUAGCAUCCAGUCGAGGUCCAUAUCCUUCGGCCGCUGCAAUUUGCCCAACAUGCUGAACACAUGAAGCACCAGCAGGUAAGCACUCCUUCUGUGAGAUCCCAAUUUCGUGUGAGAUGGACGGCCCAUCAUUCAACGAUGGCCCAUCAACCAGAGAUCCAUGACCAAUUCCAUUCGUAAAUGUGAACACACCAUUCGGCUUCACCCCUUUACCGGCUCACUGGGCUUCAUCAAGUUUUCAUUCGAAACAAUCGGUCCACACGCCUUUGGGCCAACAAUCUUCAUGGGACCAUCUCCGCUCGGUCCAUUUCCUGUAUUUCGAUUUCUAUAUGUUUCAUGGUUCACGUAAACCGGUUCGGGUCCACUCAUGUCCGACCAUUUCUUCCUCACAGAAAUUAGGUCAGCCUUUGCAGUCGCCGCCCUUCGGUCGUUCGCCGCCAUAUCAUGUACGCGUUGAAGGCUUGACAUCACGCGUUUCUUCACCUCCUCAAUGUCACUGGAUAAUUUCUUCAUUGUUUCAUGCUUAAGACAUCAACCCAACACCCGUGAUGAUCUUUUCGGCCCAAUUUGGGAACAUGAAUGAACUAAAAAAGAAUUGAAAUUCAACCGAGGAGAUUCAUGCGAGAUCCCUCCAGCGAGUGAAUUAAAUCACAGUCUCCAAACCCAGAACUGAUAGCCAAUAAAUCGAUUUUGUACCACACGCAAUACUUUCAAGAUAGUUCAAAUCAAUUCAGCUUGGAAACCGAUUUAAACAAUUUCUGGACAGACGUUAAUUCUCCCGAAUCAAAACGAAUAUCAUUCGUAAUGGUUCAAUUGAUCAAUUGUAAUCAAUUUCGAAAUGGAUACCAAAUGACAUUAGUUUUCACAUUCAAUCUGCCAAAAUUGAACGAAUUACCUUCGAAUUUGAUCCCUUGCUGGCCGCAGCACUCACCAACCGUUCGCCUCCUUCACCAGCCGAGUGAGAGAACUUGGAAAUCCUAGAGAGAUGCGUGUGAGGUACACGCGCCCGAGAUGAAAAUUUUUCCUUUUUACUCUAAUUGAGUUUGAUUGUGGGCUUUGAAAAGAGGAGGAAUCCUCUCUGAUCCACAAUAGGGGAAAACGAGGCUUGUUGUCACUUCGAAGGGAGUAAUCAAACUUUGAAACUAAGUGUAGAACCAUAGAGAGAUUACCCCACCGGUUCUAGCAAGGCCUAUUACCAUAUUUCAUACCAAAGAAAGAAAAAGGGGCUUGUAAAUGCAAACCAUAAAAAUGUGAGACAACCAACAACUAUAAAAAAAACAUAUGCAAUAUGCAUUGAAAAAAGCUCAUAAAAAUUAGAGAGUCAAGUCGAUUAAGUCAAGUAGAAUGUGUUGAGUUCCCUAACUAUUAGUGCUUGUGGGGGAAAAUUUCACUUUUGGCCUAACCAAAACUAAACCACCUAUUCUUAGCGUUCUAAACAUAGCAUCAAGUUUGAUUGAGGGCUUUAAAAAGAGGAGGAAUCCUCCCCAAACCACGGAAGGGGGAAAAUGAGGGUCGUCACUCUGAAGGGAGCAGUCAAACUUAGCAUUGAGUUUGAUUGGAGGCUUUGAAAAGAGGAGGAAUCUGAUAGACCCCCUAUAUUACAUCUGUACAGCAGAAGAGGGAUAAAGAAAUUAAAAAAAAAAUAUCACGUGCACAUGAAUAGCAUGUGAGGGUUAGUAAAGGGAAGGGUUAGUUACCUUAUUGUUAGUAUAAAUAAAAAGUAAUCGUGGGCGGGAAAGUUAGGUUUUGUUUGAGAAAGUGAAUUUCUAUUCUUCCUUGAGAGAGAGGAUAACAGGAGAGGGAUUUCAUAUUGUAAUUAGGAUUUCAUUCCUAUUCUAUCAUUAAUAAUAUAGUAGCAAUUUUAUUCCAAGACUGGUUUCCAUCAAAUUGGUAUUAGAGCAUUGAUCUUGGGCAAGAAGAAUGCAAAUGGUUCAGACUCGAAUCGAAGAGAUGGAGACGUUUGACCAGGAAAUAUAGGACAUUAAGAAAGAGAUUAGUAAGAUACUGGUGAUCGAAAAGACGUUGGCCAAACUAUCCAAAAAUAUGGAGAGGUAGAAUUAGAUGAUGUUACGAAUUAUGGAAUCGACAACAAUGCACAAUUCAUCGACGAAGAAUGUGGACGAAGGUGAAGGGUGACCAAGAUGGGAGAACGAAACAAGGAAGGAAGGAAAGAAAAUAGAUGAUGAAAGUAAUAGUGACUACAAUAAGUUUAAGAAGGUGGAGAUGUCGAUAUUCAAUGGAGAUGAUCCUGAUUUUUGGCUGUUUCGCGUAGAGAGGUAUUUGCACAUUCAUAAACUUACUGAAUUUGAGAAAAUGACUGUAUCCACUAUUAGUUUUAAGGGACUAGCAUUGAACUUUUACCGUUCUCAAGAAGAACGAGAGAACUUUGUAGAUUGGGUGAAUAUGAAGGAAAGAUUAUUGGUGCGAUUUCGAUCCGUUAGGGAGGAAUCGAUGUAUGUAAGGUUCUUGCAAAUUCAACAAAAGACAACGAUAGAGGAAUAUCAAAAUUUAUUCGAUAAGUGGGUAGCUCCUUUGUCGGACCUAUUAGAGAAGGUGGUAAAAGAGACAUUUAUGUCGGGAUUGAAACUAUGGAUCUACGCGAAGAUGGAUUUAUGUGAGUCGAAGGGAUUAGCACGUAGAGAACAAGGAAGAUAUACGUCAGGAAGCAAAUCUUUCUGGAUAUUCUGGAGAAAAGGUGAUAAACUCCCAUAAUAGCACCAAGGCUAAUACCAUUGCGAAUACAGAAGAAAGUAAAGGGACAGACGAAGCGCUUAUCUGGAGAAAAGGUGAUAAACUCCCAUAAUGAAUUGGCCGAUGAGAACUAUUACUCUACGAGGAACAACAAAAGAGGAAGUACGGAAAAAGGGACAGACGAAGCGCUUAUUUGAUGCUGAAUUUCAAUCUAGAAAGAAGGGAUUGUGCUUUCGUUGUAAUGAGAAAUAUUCUCAUGACCACAAAUGCAAGAUGAAAGAGCAAAGGGAAUUGCGAAUGAUUGUUGUCAAGGAAGAAGGCGAGGAGUAUGAAAUUAUUGAAGAAGGAGGAAUUGAUCAGAAAGAAUUGAAUGCCCCUGAGAUCGUAGAGGAGAGUCAAGUGAUGGUGGAAUUAUCCAUUAAUUAUGUGGUGGGAUUAUCCAACCUAGGGAAAAUGAAGGUAAAAGAGAUGAUACAAGGAAAGGUGGCUAUAGUACUAAUUGAUUGUGGAGUCACACGCAAUUUCAUUAAAAAAAAAAUAGUGAAAGAGUUGCAACUGAGUACAAGAGAAACGUCGAAUUAUGGAGUCAUUUUGGGCUCAGGCACUGUAGUAAAAGGGAAGGUAAUUUGUGAAGAUGUUGAGUUAAUGCUGGGAGACUAGAAGGUAGUGAAUGAGUUUUUACCCUUGAAGUUGGGAGGGGUAGUUGCCAUACUUGGAAUGCAGUGAUUGUAUUCCUUGGGAACGACUGGAGUGGAUUGGAAAAAUAUGAUGUUAACAUUGAUAUAUUAGGGGAAGAAGGUGAUAAUCCAAGGAGAUCCGAGCCUAACCAAGGUCAGGGUCUGUCUUAAGAAGUUCAUGAAAACAUUGGGGGGAAGAAGAUCAAGGCUUUUUAGUAGAGUGCAGAGCCUUAAAGAAAAGUGAAUCCUUAGAAGAAGAGAAUUCGUGGGAGGUCGAAUUAACAGUAGAAAAAUCAAUAGCGAUGAUCCACUGUAGGAGGAAAACUUCGAACUUCAAAACUAAGUGUAGAACCAUAGAAAGGUUACCCCACUCGUUCUAGCAAGGCCUAGUUGCCACCUUUCAUACCAAAGAAAGAAAAAAGAGGCUUGUAAAUUCAAAAUACAAAAAAGUGAGAAUUGAAAUUUAGAUUCUAGUAAUUGAAAUAGUGAAAGAAAAGUUUUGUCCCCUUGUAUUUUCUUGAAAUGAAAAUUCGAAUCAUGUUUUUAUCUAAAGUUGAAUUGCAUUAUCUUUCUUUUUUUUUUUUUGAAAAGUUAAUAUCAUAAUACAACAAGGAUGACCUCACGAGCUUGACCACCAUGGAGACAAUGAUUAUGCUCCUUUCACAUAAAAUAAAUCGUAGCACACCAGAGAACAUACCACAACUUCCUUCUCACACCCUUACCAAUACUCUAAUGACAAACCCCAAACAACUCAACCCUCCAAUACCCAAUCCUGUGAGAGGAAGCCAUAACCUGAAGGACCCGAGAAUGCUGAUGUUGAUGUCCUCUAAAUCAAAUUUGCUUUGCUUUAAACUCUAUGAAGAGUUGGUCUUCCGCUCAAAACUUGAGAGGAUGAUGCUUCUUAUCAUACGCUUCGAGACUUUUUCUUAGUAUGCUCGAGCGAUGUUCGUAGUCUUCUCCCACUUUAUCGUAAAGUUAUGAGCUUGAGGAUUUUUUCCGGCAUAAGGAUGAUCAACAAUAUGAGGCAGUAUAGGUUGUCUUCCACUCAAGAUUUCGAAAGGACUCGUUCUUGUGGAUAGACUAGUUUGUGCAUUAAAACAAAAUUGAGCCACAUCCAUCAACUAGGCCCAAUUCUUUUGUCCAGAAUCAACAAAAUGUCGUAGAUAUUCCUUAAGCAUACAAUUGAAUCCUUCAGUUUGGCCAUUCGUCUGAGGAUGGCAGCUUAAGGAUAUAUUUAGGCGUGUCCCUAAGAAGGCGAAUAGUUCGGUCCAGAGAGUACCAAUGAAUCUACCAUCCCUGUCACUCACAAUGCUUGAUGGAACUCUCCAUAACUUCAAGACGUUCUUAAAGAACAAGUGUGCUAUCAGCUCGACAGAACAUAGUUUUAUAGUGGGGAUGAAGGUGGCGUACUUCGAGAACCAAUUGAUUAUAACCAAGAUGCCUCAAAGUCGUUCACCUUUGGGAUGUGUAAUAAAAUCCAUGGAUUUCGCACAUUCAGGGAAUUUCAAUGUGUUCGACUAACUUUCCAAAGUUACUUUCUCUAUUAAAGCCUGAAGCCCCGUAUGCUGCAAGAAUCAGUGUUGCCAAUCGAGGUUGCAACGUUUCAAAUGCAACUGAUCAGCAUACCAUUCAAAAUUUGAAUUUUCAACAUGACGAGUUUGUAACUUUAGUGCCCCUUGGAGAAGAAAAUGAAAUUCAGGGUAUGUGUAAUUCAGGUUUUGUUCCACAAGAUAGUACAAUUUAAAUUAUUCUCCAUAUGUUGCUUAAUUAUCUCAUAACGGUUUAUUUAAACUAGGAUGCAGUGCAUGACAGCAACGGUCUGGUUUCUUUUGCAGAAAUAGAGAACAACACGACAGCUAGUAUUGCAAAAUUAUCCAAUACUCUUGGUAAUUUGGAUGAGACACAUUGUUCUUGCUCUAAACAUAGCGCAAAGAGAGUUUGGGAAGCAUCACUUUCUUCCCUGAAGUCAAAGAAAGUAAAAGGAGUCAAUCUGGACCAUUUCCAUUCCCACUCUAACAAAAAUCUUGAUCCUAAAAGUGAUGUAUACGAUACCUGCUCUCCAGGAUGCUCUUUAGCCAAUUCAAAGCAUGAGAUUUUAUCAAGUAUUUAUCCUAAAAAUCCAACCAAUCAGUGUACACAAAAUUUCUGUCAAGAAUUUGGAAGUGUAAAUGUGGCAUCAGAGGACCUCAAUUCUGAAGAGAACACAUUAGGAAAAUCAUUUAAAAUUAUGCUGAUGAACAUUGCAGACGAAACUAAGAAAACUCAGCUCAUGAAGGUACGGUACCAAUUUAUAGUCUUCUAAAAUAUUCAUCAUUCAUGUUUCUUUUAUGAGAUUUUCUAUUGAUGGUAUUGAAGUUUUAUAUCCUUGGCUUAGUAUUCUUUAAAGGGGUGUUUGGCACAAGGAGUGGUCCAAGAAGUUGUGAAAUCUAGAAAGUUUUGAACUCUUAGGGCCUAGGACAUACGAAGUCAAUAAGGCAUAAAAUUGAAAUUUUCUUGUCGGGAGUCCACAAACACUUUUGGCCAAACAAAGAGCGGAAAACUCCACACUUCCCUAAUCCUACUCUUCCAGCUCCUUGGCUCAUACAGCCUCUACGAUCUCUAAAUACUGAUAGGCCCAUGGUAGUGAAGGUGUACACCCGUAGGCACAAGAAAGGAUUCAGGAGAGGAGGAUGGGAAGCUGUAUUUGUUGGUCUGAAUGUUGCUAGUUAAGGGGGCCAUGAGUCUUUUAUGCUUUCAUAUAAAUGCUAUUAUGAUUGUUUGGGGAGGGUAUGUUUUGACAUACCUUGUAUUAGGUUUCUUAGAAUAAUUGGGAGAGCUAGAGAAGCUUUUGAUUCCUUCCCUCCAUUAUUGACAAAUAAAAUUGAGGUUAAGGCUUAUCAUAUACAUACCCAGUCAUUGAACUUCUCCAUAUUCCUUAAGAGGCUUGGCUUAUUUGGCUGGCUCUACUCAUGUAGGAUUUCGAAAGGCGAAUCUGACAUCCUGCCAAAAAUGAUUAAUCAGUUUCUUUAACUGUUGAACUUUUAGGUUGUAUACUAGCAAGCACAUGAAGUUUAGGGAUUCAAUCUUUAUAUUAUUUUUAAGAGUUAUUCAAUAUCCCUACCUAGAAUAGACAAAUGAAGCUUGAAACUACCCAUAAUAUUAAUGAUGUUGUUUAAUUAUGACAUUUUGUUAUCGGUCUUUCUAACUUACGAAUAUCCAUCUUCUGAUAUGUGUUCACAUGCAUAUUUUAUGGAUGUAGAUUUUAUAGUAUUUCUUUAUUUAUUUUAUAUGGCAUUAGCUGUAUACUUUUUUAUAAAAUAUUAAUAUAAAUAUUAAACCACCGAUUCACCAAAAAGUUUAAGCUGGUGGUUGAAAGAAAAUUCAAUUAUAGCCUUAAGCUUAAGCUACUUUGGUGGACUAGAAAGUAUAAUCUUAGAAACACUCAAUCUGAUCAAGUUCUCUGAAGCAAGAAUUAAAGUUUGGAAAAAUCUUUGCGGAUUUUUACCAGCAACUAUAGAAUUAAAGAGUGAGAACUGAGGAAAAUUUUCCCUUAAUUUUGGGGAUUUUGAACCCUUAGAAGCUCCUGUAAUAAUCCAAUCUGAUCUAUUUCAAAGUGAUUUUUCCAAUCCUAUUGAUUUAUGUAGAAUAAAUUCAGUGAUUUUAGAUGAAGGGCUCCAAAGUGAUGGUCUCCCAGAUACCUGAAUUUUCUCAAACAGAAUGCCCCAUCCAUCUCAAGAAAUCCUUUCGAAGCACUUAGGAAGUUGGAUGAUGAAGAAGAAAACCUUGUUCGACCGGAAAGAGUUUCAGACCUUGAAUCCUCGCCGGAAAAAAUAAUUUUCAGAAGGCAAAAUUCAAAUUUGGGUAUAGCUGGCAUCUCCACGUACUUAGAAGGGGAAAAGACUUCAACAGAAAAGAGAGAAAAACAGACCUUGAAAGUAGAAAAGGCAGCCAGCCGGUAUUUUAUUAUCUCAAAAAAUAGCUCACCUAGCCCUCCCCAACCAGAUUUUUUCAAACUUAAUGUAUCUGCAGACAUUUUAAAAUCUGACACACAGAUGGUAGGCCCCAAGAAUUUUAUUAAUCAGAAUACCAAUGGCUUUUGGUAUUCUGACGAAUUGGAGGAAGAAUCAGAGUCCUCUCCUCCAUCAAGGAACUUCACUUGCUGGCCAUCUCCUGUUUUCAGUUCUCAACCAAAAUUACCAGCCUCUCCCAAGACUAAAAUAUCCUCUGCAAUGAAAGCUAUUCCAAUACAUGCCAAAAAAAUUUAUGAGCACCUCAAGACCUAUACCAAAGGGAGAACUUCUUUUCGCAACAUUUGGAUGAGCUUGGCUAAUUCUGAUUUAUUAGAGGAAAGUUGUGUGAAGAUACAAAUUCCAAAUUCAGUUGGCAAAAGGUCAGUACUGCCUUCCUCCUUAAGUAAUAAAUUUUCUCAAUCCUCCUCCAAACUUUUUGGUUCAUUCUUUAAUUUUGUGCAAGAUACUUCUUGUCUCAAAAAAGUUGAGAACCUAGAAGAUGAAUUCAUGGAAGUUGAAUCAGUCACCAGUUUAAGUAGUGCAGAAUUUGAACCAGUUGAGGAAGAAAUAAUUCAAUCAGAGACAGAGAAACAAGAGGACAUUGACUCUCUCGGUCCAGAUUUUAUUAAAUUGUUUUCCUCCCCAUAAAAAGAAAUUUUGUGCAGGUCAGCAAGUAUCCUUCCCCCUCAAGAGUUGGUUCCUUUCUUGGCAGCAUGUGAAAUUGAAUUGAUAUAAGGCAGAGGUAGCAAAGAUGGAGAUUAUAUCAUGGAACACUAGAGGAUUCAUGGGCCAUUCGAAACAAUUGGCUAUUAAAAAUCUUUUGAAGAAAGCUAAUCCAGAUAGAGCAUUGAUUCCGGAGACCAAAAGAGAAGAGAUUGCCAGUUGUAUUAUAAAGGCACUAUGGAGUUUAAAAGGAAUUGGCUGGGUCUUUGUUUGAAGCUAGUGGCAGAUUAAGAGUUUUGCUGAUUAUGUGGAUAAAUAUAAGUUGUCGAUUAUUGAAGUUCGGUCAAGAGAAGGAAUGUCAUUACAGUGUGGCUUAUAAGUUGUUUCAACAUUAAUUUAUAAGUUGUUUGGAAAGGUUCUCGCAGAAAGAUUAAAGAAAGUCAGGCCAGGUAUUACUUUGUAAGACCUCCUAUUAUCUAUACCUAUAAAAGGAACGGUAGAAAGGGAAAUUCCUUAGCAACCAAUGAUGAGAGAAUAAUGGGAGAGGAUCGUGCAGGUGGGGCCCGCCAGGAGGGAUGAGAGAGAGAGGUAUAAAUAUGUAAUGUUGGGGUAGGGGAGGCUAGGUCUUUUUUGGUUAUUUCAAGGAGAGUAAAGGCUGUUGUAGCCUGAGGGUAUCCAGCCCCGUAUAAAGGAGCUGGGUAAGUUUUCUAUGUUGUUCAUCCUUUAUUUUUCAUAUCUACUACAGUUGAAUGUGUUUUGGCUUUUACAUAAAUAAAGAAUUACAGAGUGCUGCCUCUGUUUAGCCAUUUGGUUAGGAUAUUUUGUGUUUUAUUGUUAGAAUCCUAACAUACUUCUCCAUUACAAUGUGGCUUUCUGGAAGAGUGCCAAAUAUUGGAUCCUAUUUUAAUAGCAAAAGAAACUGUGGAGGUCUAUAGUAUCCGAAAAAAGAAAAGAUGGAUCAUUAAAUUAGACCUUGAAAAGGCCUUUAACAGAGUGGAUUGGAAAUUUUAGAAAAUGUAAUGCAAAAGAAGAUCUUCGACGUAGGAUAUUGUGAUGAUCAGAACUUUCGGAUCAACCCUCUGCUUCAAACAGUUUUUGCUCAACCAAUCAAGGCUUAUUCUUCUUUGUUCUCAGCAUGCUGCCUUGGAUUAUGAUUUUGCUUUGGAAAGAUUCUUUUUAUCAUUUUGUUUGUCUUUGUUUUUGUGGCUUUUUGUUUUGAUCUUGUGUUGUCGCUUUUUGGAUGUUUUGAGGGCACUAAGGGGGUGUCAACCUAGUUUGAGAUGCCCGGAUGCGCCUGUUGAUCUUCCCUCUCCCCUUUUGCUCUUUGUAUAAUCCUCAUGUACAUUGAGCUUUGUCUCUUUCUUUAUAUUAAUAAUAGUGAGACUCGUAUCCUUUUUUAAAAAAAGAAAGAAAAUUCAAUUAUAUAUCACCAACACUCUCCUCACUUGUGGGCUUGAAAUAUUUGAAAGGCCCAACAACUGGAAACGGAUUUUAAUUGGGGAGGAAACGACAAUGCGAGGCUUGAACACAAGACCUUCUUGGACCACCUGCUCAGAUACCAUAUUGAAAGGGAGACAAAUAAACACAGAACUUUAUGUGGAAACCUGUGUACCAGGAGAAAAACCACUAUAUUUUUCUUCUUAUUAUUUUUUGAUGAAAAAUACAAUAGGUACAAGGGAGAAUAAAUAGAAUAUACAGAGGAAUAAAAAAGGAAAAUAUUUAGGAAUUAAGAAAAAUAUUCCCAUAAACUUUUCAUAAAUAUUCUAAGAUUCUAACAAUAAAAAGUUCUAUUUAUUCCAAAUUGUGACUGCUCUAAUGUGCAGUUGUUUUCUGAUUCAGAUGAUUGAGGAGCUUGGUGGUUCUCUCACUGCUGAUGGGAGUACAAGCACUCAUGUCAUUACAGGAAAUUUGCGGAAAACUCUAAAUUUUUGUAUUGCUCUCUUUUCAGGGUUAGUCUUGCAACCUUAGACGAACACUCUUCUAUGUAUCCUUUUGGCCUUUGAAUACCGAUAAUCAUCUCAUUUGCACAAAAGUUAGCGAUUCCAUGCACACAAGGCCUUUGUCGUUAUUCUUCCAUUGCCUCGUAGUUGUGCUUAGGCUGGAAAUUGUUGUGAACCUUCUAGAUCUAAAAGGGCAUAGUUUCUUAUUCUACUGCCUGUUUACUUUUAAUUAAACAUCAAAAUCAAUUCUUAUGUUUGAGUUGGAUUGUAUCAUGCUCUUCCUUCUCAGUUGUUUCUAUCGUGAUGGUGGGUAGUGGUUGUUAAGACAACCAUUAGGCUAAUUUGGGUUUCAGGCUUACUUUUCCCAUUUUACGUGUAAAAUGGCUCAAGCUCACUAAUGAAAGAUAUUUGUUGGCUAGCUAGUGUUUUUAUCCUCGAUUUCCUUCUUCCCCUAAUACAUUAUGUUAUGGAAUUUGUUAGAUACCUAGAUUAGUAUAGGGUUGGGGUAUAAGGGUAAUUAGAUAUUUAGGAAGUUACUAGUAGUUAUUGUGUAAGUGUGGUUACUAGUAGUUAUUAUGUAAGUGUGGUAACUAGGGUGGUUACAUGUUAUUAUAAAUGGAGGGAGGGUAAGUUGGGAGAAUUUUGGGGAGUGAUAUAAGGCUUGGGUGAGAGUACUCAAGAGGGAGGGUUCCAAGUGCUUUAUACUUGGUUUUAUCUUGUAUUUUCUUAUAGUUACAUUAUAAUAAAUUCAGAUCUUGUUCUUGUUAGGAAGUAUAUGUCUCCAAUAUUAUUUAAAUACAGUAGAAGAAUUAAAAAGGGUAAUAUUGACCCACACGAGAAUAUAGGAGAGAUUAUAGGAGGAGAAAAUAUCGGAGGAGAUCUUUCCCAUUAGUUUGUUAGUAAAGCAAAAUAAAAGGGAGGAAAGAGGAGGGAGAAAGGGGACAAAAUAUUCCAAAGAAGUAGAGGCUGCCGUCUUUCGUGCUCGGGAGAAGUAGAGGGUCCAAGUCAAGUUCUUUUUAUUGUUUGUUUUGGUCAUUUUCAUGGUUGCGGUUUGUUCUUAGUUUUUCUUGUUCUUUGUUGUGAUCCUCACUGGAGUGUGCCUUUAGGAAGUAGAUGUGAGUGAUUUUUUAUUCUCUAUACUGUAAUUCGUUGAGGUAAUUCAAUAAAGUAAGAUACACUUGCCGUAUAUUUACAGUAUCUUAACAAAUUGGUAUCAGAGCGUUUUAACUUGGGAGAACGAUAGAGCAGCACAAAAACGGAUCGAAGAGAAGUUGGAGACCUCUGAUAAGGAAAUCUCGGGGAUACAAGUGGAGUUACACAAGUUGCUGGCAAUUGAAUAAAACUUGUUAUCCUUGCCAGAAAGCAUCGAAAGACUGGUCAUCUAGUUGGAAAAACAAGAACGGUUGCUAAAUGCAUCGAAGGAAUAGCAGAAGGAUAAUUCGAAAAUCUCCGGAAGAAUGGAAGGAUCGUCGAGCAAAGGACCAACGAUUGAGAGUAUCAUCGAAGGUGGAGGUAAGACAUUGAAGGAAAUCAAGGUAGAAGGUAAAACAAACAACUUUAAAAGGGAUGAAAACUCGAACGAUCAUAGCAAAUUCAAGAAGGUUGAAAUGCCUGUGUUCAGUGGCACUGAUCUGGAUUGUGUUUAUUUAGAACGGAUUGGAAUCUUCAGGUCCAUAAAUCGAUGGAUUCCAAGAAGUUGCUAAAUCCAUAGAAGAAUCGAGGAAAACGCGAUUGCAACGGUUAUACAACGAAGGUGAAGAGGAUGGCAAAGAGUGACCAAGAAGAAACUAUAGAGGAAGGUCGACGAGGAUUACCUGUGAGGCUCGAAAUGAAGACGCGAGUGGAGAAAAAUUUGUUGCUCAAAGAAACACAAAAUGGCUGGUUGCAAUGGAGAAAGAAGAAGCCGACAGUUACCGGUCUACAGAGGCUCGAGAAGGUGGUCUGGAAUAGGGGUGAAUCACGUGACGAGGAAGAAGUUGCUGCACACAUGAUGGUGACAAUGACGUGGUAGAAAUUGGUAGGAAAGAGGAUUAGGACAAAAGUAACAAUCUUGGGUUUUACUAUUUCAAGUGGGCUUCAACUUACUCUAAAUGAGCUUCAACUUAUUCUAAAUAAAACAUUGGGGGCACAUCAUUUUGUAGAUGAAGUGGGUGGAGAGUUCCAAAAAUAGGAGGGAAGAAAAACGUGUAUGUAGGUGGGUCCUAGGAAUGAAACCGGCGGCAAUAUGAUUUUGGUCUUGACGCAACACUUUGAUUAUGGCCGAGCCCACUAGAGAUGAAGAGUUUGAAAAUUAAACACUUGUUGGUGAUAUGCAAAGGGUUAACUAAGACAAUGUGUUUUGGAAAAGGAAAAUUCAAGUACAUUGGGCUGCUUUGUGGGCUGAAGUCAAUGGACCUUAUUGGAAUCAAGAGUUUUUCAAAGCCGAAGGGGAGGAUUUCUUUUUCAACAUUGAAGAGCAGAAUGCUGGGGAUUGUUUGCAAUUAAAAAGAGAAAAAAAGAGAAAGGGGCCUUGAUCAUGUUUGUAAGCACACCUUGAGGACAAGGUGUUUUGAAGGAUCGGGUAAUGUUAGAUACUUAGAUUAUUAUAAGGUUAGGGGUAUAAGGGUAAUUAGAUAUUUAGAAAGUUACUAGUAGUUAUUAUGUAAGUGUGGUUACAUCUUAUUAUAAAUGGAGGGAGGGUAAGUGAGGGGAGAAUUCUGGGGAGUGAUCUAGGGCUUGGGUGAGAGUACUCAAGAGGGAGGUUCCAAGUGCCUUAUACUUGGUUUUAUCUUGUAUUUUCUUAUAGUUCAUUAUAAUAAAUUAAGAUCUUGUUCUUGUUUGGAAGUAUCCUAACAGAAUUCCUCUAGAAGGUCUCAUGUUAGCGAAUGAUAAUCUGCGUUAAGUGUGUAUUUGUAGGAGUUCUUCUCCCGGGCAUCUAUGGUUGAUAUUCUUUACCUUUCAAUAUAUCAAAGCCAAGGAUUCUUUUGCAUUUCUCUAUGCUUUUUCUUUACCCAUUUAUGCUUUUUUCAGUUAUAUUUGAGAGUAGUAUUUCAUUUCUUUCAUGUGAAAUGUUGAACUUCAGUAGUGUGGAGAGUGGAACGUAAUAUCUUACCUUUUAUAUUAGUAAACUUGAUUUUAAGCAAUGUGUUUUUGAAGAUUUUAUGUUGUAGAAUGUUUUUUGUUCUUCAAGCUACUGUUCUUAACUUUAUUUUCUCCUGUUAAUGUUCUCAAUGAUUAUCGAGCAUAUGCAUUACCAUGUGGCUUCAAGUGUGUCAGUGUGCUCUUGCUCAUAAUUUUUACUAUAUCUUGUUACUAAAAUUGCAAGUUAAUUGCAAAUUACUCAGAGCUUGGAUUUUCUCCUCCAGUUGGUUAAAGGAAACCUAACGGGAAGGCAGAUUUGUUGGUAAGUUCGAAUGGCUUGCUAGUAUCAAAGCGUAAUGUAUUUUCUUCCACUUAUGUUUUUCAUCCUACCUAAUUUUUGUGAUUGAUUAAUUCCUUAUUGAUCUGCAGACGAGUUGCCUUACAUACUAAAUGAUGAUGACUACAUAUCGAAGUAUCGAGCCAGCCUAAAAGCUGCAGUUCUCAGGGCAAAAGCAUGUUCUUGAGCUUUAUUUGAAGGGUAUGAUGUUUGCAUAUCAGCUCACGCUCAACCACCACCUAAAACUCUAUCCCUGAUAGUCAAGUCAACCGGUGGAAAUGUAAGUUCUCUGUUAUUGUACAAAUCUCGAGUACUAGGUUUGGUUCUCUAUAUUACAUAUACAACCACUAUAAUAUGGCUAUCCUCCCAUCUAAUGAAGACGUGAAGUUCUCAACAAACAAGCACGUAUACGAAUUCUAGACAUGGGUCAAUAAAUCAUAGACAUGGUGACGUGUCAUUUUUUUCUAAAAAAUAUAGGAUAGUGCUAGAACACAGUUUUAAUAUAUAUAAUUUAAAAAGUAUGUAUCAUAUUUAUAUAGAAAUUCAAAGUCAAUAAGUUUAUGUAUUUAUAUGCUUAAAAAUAAGCUUGUCCUUCACUCAAAACUUAUUCAAAGCCAAGAGUUUAAUAUGUGUGUGUGACCAAUCUUGACCUUUAUUGCAUUGGAAUACUUGUUGUCUAACACAUCUACUGUACUAACUAGUGUUCAACACGUGUUCUCCGAGUGUUCCAUACAUAUUGUUUAUUGAUACACUAGCCAAACUAGAGUGUAUGUGCUUCUUAAGUCUUUAAUAUUUAUGUUUGUUUUGAUCCUAGGAAUUGAGCAUGUAAUGUAAAAAGUCUAUGCACAAGGGGUCAUAUGGCCAUCUCCGUGUUUCUUUAAUUAUCAAAUUUGUUCAAGUUUUUAAUUGUCUCUAGAUCGAAAUUUGGAGUUAUUUUUUGUGAUUUGGUUUACAAAUACAUACAUUCAUGUUUCUAAUUAUGAUUAGAUUGUUUUCUGCUUGCAACAUUUUAUUGUUUAGCUUGUCUUUGAUCUUGAACUUACUAUUAUGUUGAUUUAAAUUCCAUUUUAGCCUUAGAACUUUCAAAACAUCCAUUUUAAUCAUCGAGCUUCCAAAACGUAGCCAACUAACGAUUUUAGUAUUUUGUAAAUUAUUUUAUCAACUAAUAUUCAUUUAUCCAAUACUCAUCGGUCAUUUCUGCUAUAUGUGAUUGGAAUAUAUCUCAUAGGAAUCAUUUUGAAAGUUGGGAAAAGAUGGAAAAUUUUAGGGACUAGAACAAGAAUUUGUUUAAUAUUUUUUGAUAGGGUGAAUUCUUGCAAUUUCCUUGUAGUAUAUACAUAAUUUUUUCUCUCAUUUGGCAAAUUCAUUAUGCUUGAAAAUUUAGGUGAUUCAUGAGCUAGAUAAAGUAAACAACGUAUGGAAGACGAUCUUUGUGGCUUGUGAGGAAGACGUGGAGGAAGCCUUGGUGGCCGUACAAAAAGGGAUAUGGACUUUCAACGUUGAAUGGCUAAUGGCAUGUAUAAUGAGACCAGAAGUUGACCUGGAGGCCCCUCAAUUUGCUGAGUCCCUAUGAGAAACAAGGUCACCCUAACUUUCAGUUUUGAACAAGCAGCAGCCAGCCAUUUCGUCCUUGUGUAAAUCCACUCUUUUCUCAACUCACUCUAAUUUGGUACAUAAACAAACUCUGAUCGCUCCAUCUCUAUAUUCAUCAGUACAUAAAAGACGAUAAGUUUAUUCAUGGAGAAAGUUGGAUGUAAGUAUGUUUUAGGAAUGGUCCUUCAUUUAGUAACUUUGGGAAUUGUAAAAAUGAGGUAAUGAAGUUCUAUCAAGUUGAAUGUUCUUGUUUAUGUUGGAUGAGACUGAUUCUUGGAUACCAGAAUUAACUUGAAGUACGUGUUUGAGUUCCAUUGGAGUGAUUAGAGAAAAAAUGUUCCUUUAAAAAGGGUAAUUUUUUUAUGUAGACUUUCUUUUUAUUAAAAUUGCUUAAAAUACAAUUUGAGAGUAUUUCAAUAGCUUUCAAAGAGUUGUCAAACACUUGUAGUUUUUUUAAAAUAACAUAUUUUCAAAAUUAAUUACUGUAAUAGUUAAACAAAAGAUUCUUUCCCUUAGAACUUUUAAAGUUUGUCUAGUUACCUCUUAAACCUUUCAAUUGUUUAAUAGGUCUUUCAAUUUUAUGUUUUAAGUGUCUAUAAAUUUUGAUUUUUUUUUAUUUGUUAGAUAUAAAUCUGAAGAAAUGAAUAAAGUAGAUUUGUAAGUUUAAAAUAGUUUAAAAGUUGAGAAAUUAAAUUUGUAGUUUAAAAAGUUGGAGUAAAUAGUUUGUGUUAAGUCGGGUUGUGAUAUUUUAUUUAUUUAUUUUAAUAAUAGAAGAGAGGGAGACGAAAACUGCAAACUGAAGGGAGAAGAAGCGGUGGCUGACUUUGUAUAUUUCUCCUUUCUUUUCAAUUUGAGAAAAUUUCUUUGCAAUUCACUUUGAAAAGGAAAUGAAUAUUUCUCCCUCAGACUUAUCUCUCUCUUCUUUUCAAUUUAUUUUCAAUUUUUUUGUGUGCUUCUCACAGUGUAUGCAUAAUCUCUCUUUUCUUCCUUCUCUUUUCCUUCUCCAAUCAACUUCACCACCGUCUUCCACCUACACCGAACGUCAAGCAAAUUUUUUCCUAUCGUCGCAUAACCGUUAGCCCGAGUCACUCCAGUUCUGUCACGCCAUGUAUGUUUAGAUCUGAAUUGUUCGGUUAUUUGUUGCACCGAUCCGUCUCCGUUAGAAUUUGAUUCUCCACAAUUUGGGUAAGUUAUGGAAUUUACAUAUAGAGUGAAUUGAAUGGAUUAAAUUGUUUGUGGAAGUGAUUGAUUUCUCUUCAAUUAUGUUUAGGUCGGUUCGUUGCACUUUAGUUUGAAAAAGAAGCUUAAGUAAGGUUAUAAGGUAAGGGAUUCUCUACUACUGGACUCACCUAUAGUUUUGAAUUGUGCUGUCUGUAUAGUUACCUCUGAUUGAGUAAAGAUGUCAAAACGAUAUAUAUACAUAUGGAUGUAGACUUGGUGUUGAAUGUAUACUGUGAAUGACUGAAAAAAAAUAUAUAUAUACAUGGAUUGAUGUAGACUUGAUGUUGAAUGCAUAUUGUGAUUGUCUGGGAAUAUAUAUAUAUGUAUGGAUGUAGACAGGACGACAAUUGUAGAUUGUGUUUGUAUGGAAUGUGGAUGUGAACUUGUGAUUGUCGUUUAGAUUGGGUGUAGGUUAUACUAAAGUAGGGCUGUGUACUGGUGAAUUGAGGGGUGUUAUAACUAUAUAGUUUGAUUGACUGAUGUAUUGAUAUGUUACUGGCGGACAUUGGGCUCAAGUGAGAUAGGUUGACUAUUAGGGUGUUAAGUGAAAGGAUUAUAUGUUGAAGUAGCUGGACUGUACUAUGAAUGAGUGUUAAGAUGUUUAGAAUGGAUUGAGGGGAAAAUUGUUAGAUUUCUAUUGGGUAGUUACCUUGCGGGUGUCCUACGGGAUCACCACCUGAUAUGUGCAUCCUUCGAUAGCACUAGACUGAUAUGUGCAUCCUUCGAGAGCAUUAGACUGAUAUGUGUUUCUGCAGAACAGUAGACUGAUUUAUGCGUCCUUUGAGGUGUUAGACUGAUUAUGUGUAUCCUACGGGAUCACAAGACUGUGACUGUGCAGGGUACCCCAAUAGGAAGUUAACAGUUUCUUUUUCCCCUAAUGGGACCAAUAGCGGGUCUCUUAUUGGGUAUGUUUAUACUCAUCCUUUCAUGUUUAACUAUUUCAGGCAAAGGUAACAAAGGAGGUAGACCGACGAGGGACAAGAAGGAGACGUGAUUGCCAUAAGGGAAUGUUCUUCAAAUGCUUUCGCUUUAUGUUUCUUGUUUUUCCUUUGUACAUGAGGUUGUUUAAAAAUUUUGUGAUGGAACUGAGUUUACGAACUGUUGUUUUGUAAAUAGUACUUUUAAAGUUUUGGUUAUUUGAAAUAGGGCCCGAACUUAAGUUUGUUUUCUUUGAUCGUAUGAUUUCAAGUGAAUUUUACUAUAAUUUGUGUCAAUCAAGGUCUCUUUGUCCAAAUUAAUGACUUCAACUUAGUUAGAAAAGUUGGAUCGUUACAACAAAUUUUAAGUAUUAAUGUAAGAAUUAUGUACUUCAUUAUAAAGAUCGAUAGUUUAAAGUUUUUUACGAUAAUUUACAUGGAAUUACACGAUCAGUUACCACUAUCAAUAGAAUCACUUACAAAUAUUAACACGAUCGUGUACCGAUAACAAGACGAUUGUUUACACUAUUCAAUACGAUCACCAAUAUCAUAUGAUCGUGUACCCAUGUCAACACGAUAAUUUAUUUUAAUCAAUAUUAUCAUUUACCGUUGUUAAAUGGUCGUUUAUCACGGUUAAUAGGAUCGUUUAAUGUAUAUUAUUUCAUUGCACGAUCGUUUACUUAUUCUUGCAUUGUGUUUAGUAUUAUCAUUUUGUACAUUUUAUUCUUUUAUUCAGUAAUAAAUGUAUAUCUAUGUCUAUCUAUUUCUUUCUAUCCCAAUUAAAUACUUAAUUUUUUUUUUUUUUUACAGAUUAUAAUGUCUUUUCCUAUUGUUGUUUUUUAUGGAGGUCAAUGGAAUGGAUGUAAUAUUUAUGAGAAUUACUUAGUUGCUGAAAUUUUGGUAGAUGUCCGAGUCAGCUUUAAUUCUCUAGUUGAUUUAAUAUGUGAACAGAUUCAAUUGGAUGGAUAAGUAGAAUUAUGAACAUGACCGUUCAUUGAAUACUAGUUGUCAUAUGCAAGCUUCUUCAACAGUAAUUGACAGUUGCUUGAUAGAUGAGUUCAGGUUCAUGUCUACUGAUCGUUUCAUUCCGAAAGCAAUUGUGCAUAAGGCAUGUACAAAUCUUGGAGUUAAUAUAAGUUAGCAGAAAGCUUGGAGGGCAAAAGAACACAUAGUAAAGAUAUUAAAAGGUGACACAGUUAAAUCAUACAUGUUGAUUCCAAGGUUCUUUGAUAAAUUGGUUGAAUCUAUCUCAGGUAUAAUGAGUUUCAUAUAUAGAAUGAUGACAUCAAAUUGUGUAGACAGUGUAAAUUUAGUUUUUAAAGAUCUUAGAGAACUACCUGUAGCUACCAUGCUUAGUUCAAUUAGAGAUGUAUUGCAAAAGUGGUUUGAUGAAAGAAGUAAAGCUACUUUUACAAUGAAGAGUUGUUUGACUUCUUGGGCUGAGAACGUGUUGCAUUUAGAAUAAAGUCAAGAAUUUUAUUGGUAAGGUUUUUUUUUUUUAAUGUUUGUAUCUUAGGUAGAGAUAAAUAGACUGCUAUUUUUGUCUAUCGAUAUAGAAAUAUAACAAUUUAUGUGUGCUUGUUUCAGAUAGAUAGAGAUAGAUAGCUAUCAAUGUCUAUUUGUCUCUAUUUGUGCAUGCUUUUUUUUUUUUAAUUUUUCUAUAUUUGUUUUAUGUAUUAGGUUGAUCCAAUUAGUAUGACUAAAUACAAAGUAAUGGAUGAUACAAAAUGAUAAUGUGAUUUAUUUAUAUUGGUUCUAAUUUGAAAUAUUCAAAUUUACUUUGGAAAUUAGUAUAAUUAGUAUAAUAUACAGUGAUACAUUAUAAUAUAAAGUUUAUAUGUUAAUGAAACUUUAUUAUAUAAAUUUAAUUUUAGAUAAAGUUCAAAAUUAAUUUAUGAGAGAUAAAACAUUUGAAUGAGUUCAAAUAUUAAAUUUAAUGUGGAUUUGUUUCAUAUUAAAACUAUUAAUUAUGAGAUAAAGUUAUAUUUGAAUAUGAUUCAAAUUUAACUUAAGUUAAAUAUAAAAUAUUUAAUUUAGUUAUUAAUUAAUUGAAGAAUUAAUUAAUAGUUUAGUUUAAUAUUAUUUAAUUAAAUUUGAUUUAAUUAAAUUAAUAUAAAACUAUAAGGUAUUGGAGAGAUAUUCAUUCAAUAAGAUUUAAAUGAAAUAUUAAUUAAAUAUGAUUUAAUUAAUUAUUAACUAAUUGAUUAAUGGUUAAUUAGUUAGUUGAUUUGAAACUUCUAUUAAUUUAAUAUUUUUUUAAGUUAAUAGAAUCCUAUGGUUUUCUCCUACCCCGUCUCCUACUCAAUGAAAGAAAGAGAGUUAUAAAUAUGUAGAAGAAAAACAGCUUUUCUUAACCAAAAUAAAAUCGAUGAUUUUCUUUUCUGCAAAAUAGAUUGUAACGACCUAAUUUUUCGAAUUAAGCUGAAGUUAUUACUUUAAGACUAGAUUCGUCCUUUAACCAUAAGACUUUAUAAUUUAAAAAAAUAUAUCUUUUAACAACAUUAAAGAGUUUUUAUUCGGGCUCUAUUUCAAAUAAAAUUUUGAAAGUGUAAAAGUAUCGAUAAUAAAGAAAGUUCAAGAACAUAAAAGUCGUUCAAUCAUGAAACCCAAAACAGUCUGCUGUAACCAUUCAGAUUCGCGGUCUGUUCGCGACGGUCUCCAUCCGUGAAGCCCAGCCGCCACGUUCCCUUUGGCCGACCGCUGACCAACCCACACUUAGGAUUUUUGCUGCGAGUUCGACAUUCGUGCGUUGAGGUGUUGGGAGUAACGUUAGGCUCCCUUACAUUCACAACCCGUUUGUGAAUUGUUGAAGGUUCAGUUCACCAAUAUAUCGGUGAGUUGGAACUUACGUUGAGGAAAGUAAGUGACAUAUGUAUUGUGAAAGUAAUUGAAUUUUGUAUUGUUAUGCUUAGGAUUGUUUCGAGGACGUUAGUUGAUUAAGGAGCUUCCCUAACUUUGAGGUAAGGGAUUUUCUACUCGACUCACUUAUGACUGUGAAUUGUAUGUGUUAAAUGUAUACUGUGGAUUGACUAAAAAUAUAUAUGAAUGCAUAUGAAUUGAAGUAGACUUGACGUCGAAUGUAUAUUUUGAUUGUCAUGGAAUAUAUAUAUAAGUGUGUGUAUGUGGACAGGACGAAGAUUGUAGAUUGUGUUUGUAUGAGAUGCAGAUGUGAACUUGUGAUUUUCGUUUAGAUUGGGUGUACGUUACGUUAAAGUAUGACUGUGUGCUGAUGAACUGAGGGGUGUGUUGACUGUAUAGUUUGAUUGACUGAUGUAUUAGCAUAUUAUUGACAGACAUAUGACUGAAGUAAAAUAAGUUGACUGUUAGGACGUUGAAAGAAAGAACUUUGUGUUUUGAAGUAAUUGAAAGAUGGAUUGAAUGGAAUGAGGGGAAAAUUGUUAGAUUGUAUUGGGAUGUGUACCUUGUAGGUGUCCCACGGGAUCACCAAUUUAUUGUGCACCUUCGGGAGCAUUAGACUGAUAUAUGUUUUUGCAGAACACUAGACUGAUAUGUACGUCCCUCGGGGCGUUAGACUGAGAUGUGUAUCCUACGGGAUCACAAGACUGCGACUGUACAGGGUGUCCCAAUAGAACGUUAACAAUUUAUUUUCCCCUGACGGGACCAGUAGAGGGUCUCUUACUGAGUAUUUAAAUACUCACCCUUCUUAUGUUUAAUUUUCAGGCAAAGGUAAUAAAAGCGGCAAACCAGCGAGGGGCAGGAAGGAAGCGUGACUGCCAUAGGAAAUAUGUUGUUUGCUUCCGCUUAUGGGUUCUUGUGAGGUUUAAGAUGAAUUGAAAGUUUGCUUACAAACGUUUAUUGUAAAUAGUAUUGUUUUUAUGUUUUCUUAAAUGUUUGAAAUUCAGGCCUGACUUAAAGAUGUUUUUAAAUUAGCUUACGUUUUGUUUUAUAUUAAUCAAAGUCUUUUAUUUGUAAAAAAAUUAACGACCUCGACUUACUUAGAAAAGUUGGGUCGUUACAAUCAUAUCAUCAAUCCAACUUAACACACUUACGUUCAAUCUAUUCAAUCUAUUACAAAAUCAGUUGAUACCAUAACAACACACCAGACAGUCAAGAUAUAUAUAUAUACAUAACACCUUUCUCAGUUUACAAAUACAUUAUCCAUCGUAUCUACUUCUAUACUAGUCUGGCAUAAUAUACAUUUGUCAUCAUAUCUACUUCUACAUAUUUGGUAAACCAUACUAAGUCCAGAGAUCCAAACAGUCAACACAUUUCAAAACUUUCAAAGAGUCCAGUAAUAGAAACCCCUUACUUUAAUGUUACUUAAAUUUCUCGAACGAAGGAAACCUAAUACUAAGAAUAUGGAACUCAAUUACUUUCACAAUACUUUCUUUCAUUUAAUUUCCUCAAUGUAAAUUCUAGCUUAUCAAAGUAUUGGCGAAUCGAACUCCAACAAAUCUACAAUUUAGUUGUGAAUCCAAAGAACUCAAAUGCUAACUUCAAGAAUCAAUUAACAAUUUAACUAAUUAUCCAAAACUACAACCCAAGGAUAAUUACAAUGUAAAACCACCACACUCACCAAUACAACUUACCACAAAAAUCCCAAAAAUUAGAGUAAAAUGGGGGCAACAACUUCGAAUAACUGGAAUCGACGCGUGUAAUAGAUCAGAUCUAAUCAACAAACGAAAAACAAACUUCAGCUUACAACCCAUGGCUGGAAGGUGAAGAGCCGCGCGACGGCACUUCAACAGACGUGACGGGCUCAGGUCUGGUCGACGGCUGCUUCAACUAAGUAACAAUGCCGGUGAGAUGAUAGGUCAAUCGGUGACGCUCCUCGUCACCUGGAGCAGAAUGUGGUGGCGCGAACGUGGAAGGAGCUACGCGCGAAUGAAUCACAACUUGGCUGGAAAACAGAGGUGAGACGCGAUGCCGAGAGUUCGAACUCACGACGAACGGUGCUUCGGCUUCAACGGAGACGAAGGGGAUCGGUGACGGCGUGGCCGGCUGACGUCCAAGAGUAAUAUAAAAUGGCUAAGGGACGCAGGCGGCGGUGGGCACGGGGAAGAGGAAGAGUGAAGGAGAAAGAGAUGGGGUUGCACGUGAAUCAAUAAAGAAUUGUGAUAACUAGAAUCAUCACGAAGAUCAUCAUACAUGUUGUUAAUAUCAUCAAACAAUUGAUUCUGGUUCUAGUAUAGAAAGAAAAAAGGAUAAUAAAAAAAAUAGUUACAAAAUGAUCGUGUAUCCUUAAGCAAACAAUCGUGUAGAAUAUCUAAACGGUUGUUUUACCAAGGGUGAUCGAUAUUUCAGAUGGGAUAUGCGAUCGUUCAUAUGUGAUAUGCGAUCGUGUAAAGAUACAUCAAACCUUUGUUCUGUCAGAAGUCGUGCUAAGAAGAGUUGAAAGCUUGUAAUAAGAUCCAUCAAAACUGAAAGAUUUUACAUCAACACGUUCCUGACACAGUACUGCAGUAUCAAUGAGCAUCAAAUUACGUGAGAUACAUGUUAGAAAAUAUCUAACUCCUCAGUUAAUUUUUUAUGGACAUCAAAUCACCUUUUUUCAAGCUUAAGGAAGGAAAUGUCGGCACUAUAUAUGUCAGAGUUGUGCAUUGCAAUGGAAGUGCCAACACGAGGUGAUACAUGUGUGUCUUUCUGGGAUGUAAAUGCCACUCCCCGACUAGGACCAGCAUAGUCUUAGGGAGAAAGCAUGCUAGGAAUUGGAGUUGUGUCCUCAAUUUCUCCAAUUUUACGAACAAAAAACAAGUCGAAUAUGUAGAUGCACACUCUUUGUCAUAAGAGAUAUAGCAACGUUUUUAUGGGUCAUUUUGAAAAAUGGCAAAACUAAUUUUUCUUUUAAAUUUUAGCAAAUAGAAUUUUUUGCACGUGUGCAUGAUAUUUUAUAAAAUACCAAAAUAUUCACCUUCUCAAACAGUAAUUAUUUCGUUUCUACGUUGUAAUUAAUUUAUGUUAUGCAUUUAUUAGCUUUUAAUUAUUUUUUACCUGAAAAAGAUACAUCCUUUUUUCUUAAUAUCUCGGGACUCAACUAAUUGAUUCAAGAUUUUAAUUUUAUUCAAUCUUACUAAUUUCAAAAUAACCUAAUUAAAUUUCAAUUUCAAAAUAACAAAAUUAUUAUUUUUCGAAAUUUGAGAAUCUCAACGAUAGAUUUUGUAUCAAAAUAACUUUAAUUGAAUUUCAAAAUUAAAAAAUAUCAACUUGUACACUAUUUUUAUCUCAAAAUAACAUUAAUGACUUGAAUAUCAAGAUAAUUGAAUUAUUAUUUUCAAAUUGGGAGAAAUUUUACAUUAACAAAUAUCAACUUGUUCGCACACGCGCACACGCGCACACGUGCACAACACACGCACACACACGCACACACACCCAUCCACACACGCACACGCACGCGCACAUAUGCACACACGCACAAGGAUGUGUAAAUUAAUUAAAGUUAAAAAACAAAUACAUUAAUUAUGUUUAGAAAGAGUUUUAAACCAUGUUCAUUUGACUUAAUAACAUUGAUUAAUUAUAAUUUCUAUCAAUAUUGGCUUAAAACUGUCAUUCGUGUAAUUAUUUCAAUAUAAUGCGGUCUUAUCCAAUUUUACCAACAAAAAACAAAUCGAAUAUGGAUUAGUAGAUCUACACUCUUUGUCAUAAGAGACAUACCAACGUUUUUAGGGGUCAUUUUGAAAAAUGACAAAACUACUUUUUCCUUUGAAUUUUAGCAACUAGCAUUUUUUGCACGUGCAUGGUAUUUUAUAAAAUACCAAAAUAUCAACAUUCUUCAACUGUAAUUAUUUCGUUUCUACAUUGUAAUUAAUUUAUGUUAUGCAUUUAUCAGCUUUUAAUUAUCUUUUACUUGAAAUAGAUAUAUUAACUCAUAUCAUAAUAUUUUUCUUAAUAUCUCGAGACUCAACUAAUUAAUUCAACAUAUUAAUAACUUUAUUCAAUCAUACUAAUUUCAAAAUAACCUAAUUGAAUUUGAAUUUCAAAAUAACAAAAUUGAAUUUCAAAAUAACAAAAUUGAAUUUCAAAAUAACAAAAUUAUUAUUUUCCGGAAUUUGAGAGUCUCAACAAUAGAUUUUGUAUUAAAAUAACCUUUAUUGAAUUUCAAAAUUAAAAAAUAUCAACCUGUUCACUAUCUUUAUCUCAAAAUAACAUUAAUGCCUUGAAUAUCAUGAUAAUUAAAUUAUUAUUUUAAAAUUGGAAGAAACUCAACAUUAAAAAAUAUUAACUUGUUCGCACACAAGCAUAGAAGCACUGCGCGCACACGUACACAUGCACACUUACACACACGCGUGCACACGCACACCUACACAUAGACACCCACAGACGCACGAACGCACGCACACACACAUGCACACGCGAACGCAUGCACACACACACAUCUAUCCACACAUGCACAAGCACACACACAUGCACAAACGCACACAUGCGUACGCACAAACUCACACACGUAAACACAUACGCACACGCGCACAAACACGCACGCGCGAGCACACCCACACACCCAAGCACACACGCAAUAGCCCGUGCACACACACGCACGCACAAACACAUACAAACAUGCACACACCCACACACACAUGCACACGGACACUCGCACGAACACACGCACAUACACAUACGCACACCUACCUACACGCGCACACGUACACAAGCACAUAUGCAUAAAGAUGUAUAAAUGAGUUAAAAUUAAAAAACAACUACAUUAAUUGUGUUUAGAAGGACUUUUAAACCAUGUUCAUUGACUUAAUAACAUUAAUUAAACUAUAAUUUCUACCAAUAUUGGCUUAAAAGUGUCAUUCGUGUAAUUAUUUCAAUAUAAUGCGAUUUUAUCCAAUUCUAUUAGCAACAAACAUGUCGAAUAUGAACCAGUAGAUAUACACUCUGUCAUAAGAGAUAUAGCAACAUUUUUAUGGGUCAUUUUGAAAAAUGGCAAAACUAUUUUUUUGUUAAUUUUAGCAAAUAACAUUUUUUGCACGUGCAUAAUAUUUUAUAAAAUACCAAAAUAUUCACAUUCUCCAACUAAAAUUAUCUUGUUUCUAUAUUGUAAUUAAUUUAUAUUAUGCAUUUAUCAGCUUUUAAUUAUUUUUUACCUGAAAAAGAUACAUAAACUCAUAUCAUACUUUUUUCUUAAUAUCUGGGACUCAACUAAUGGAUUCAAGACUUCAACUUUAUUUAAUCUUACUAAUUUCAAAAUAACCUAAUUGAAUUUGAAUUUCAAAAUAACCUAAUUGAAUUUGAAUUUUAACCAAAUUGAAUUUCAAAAUAACAAAAUUAUUAUUUUUCAGAAUAUGAUAAUCUCAGCAAUAGAUUUUAUAUCAAAAUAACUUUAACUGAAUUUCAAAAUUAAAAAAUAUCAACUUAUUCACUAUCUUUAUCUCACAAUAAUAUUAAUGGCUUGAAUAUCAAGAUAAUUAAAUUAUUGUUUUAAAAUUGGGAGAAACUCAACAUUAAAAAAUAUCAACUUAUUCACACACAAUCACAUGCGCACACACAUACAUACACUUGCACGCGCGUGCACCCAUACACGCACACACACACGACCAUAGGCACACACACACGAACACACACAUGCACACGCAUGCACACAAAUGCACACGCAAACACGCACACACCUACUCACGUACACAUGUAUGUGCGCAUACACACACCCAAGCACACGUGGACAUGCGCACACACGAGCGCACACACACGCCCACUGAUGGUUCAAUUUCAUCGAUAGUUCCUAUUUUUGCUGACAGUUUAUUUUUUGCCAUCGAUAGAGGAUCUUCCGACAGACCUACCUGACGGUGUGUGUUGACAGCUUAAUUUCGUUGGCAAAAGAAAAGUUGAUUAGUUUUUGAAGAUUUACUAACGAUAUUUGUCAUCGACAAAGGGUAAAUUUCUUGUAGUGCAUGUACGUCAAACAUAUCGAAUUUGUUAAGUGUACCAAUGAAGUAUAACAAGUUUAUUAGUGGUGUAUCAAGUGUAUCAAACUUAUAAGGUCUCAGGGGUAUCAAGUGUAUCAAGAAGAAUCAAGUGUAACGAGAAGUAUUAUGUGGAACGAGAAGUAUUAUGUGUAUGAAGAUGUUUCAAGUGUGUAUCAAAAAGUAUCGAGUGUAUCAAUGAGUACCGAGUGCAUGAAUUGUAUCUAUCAAAUGUAUCAAGUGUAUCAGUAAGAAGUAUCAAGUGUAUCAAGGGGUAUUAGGUGUAUCAGACGUGUAUAAGGUGUAUCAAAUGUACAUCAAUAACGAGGGCAUUUGUGACAUUUUACCUCUUGAUGUGUGAGUUGGUCUUUGUUUUUGUCAUUUUCUCAAAUAAUAAAGUAUGUGUUCUAUGGACUUAAUUAUUAUAACUUAUUUUGCCAUUUUCGCAAGUGUCCCUUAAUUGUAAUACAUGUAUAUGUGACAUAAUCUAAUCAAACUAACUCAUAAAUGGACUUAAUGUAUCAAGAGGUAUUAGGUGUAUCAGACGUGUAUAAGGUGUAUCAAAUGUACAUCAAUAACGAGGGCAUUUGUGAAAUUUUACCUCUUGAUGUGUGAGUUGGUGUAACGCCCCAAACUCGAAGGUAUUUUAUUUUAAGAGAUUUUUUCGAUUUGUACAAGAUUUAUUGUUUUGAAGAAAAUAUGUUGAAGGGGGAAAGAAGAUUUGAAAAUGUGAUAAUAUAAUUAUAUAUAUAUUUAUUUAUAUUUUUAGUUUUAUUAUUUAGUUUAAAUAAAAGAAAAGAAAAAGAAAUUUUAUUAUAUAUAUAUUUAUUUAUAUUUUAGUUUUAUUUUAUUUUUAUUAUUUAAAUAAAAGAAAAGAAAAAAGAAAAUUUUCCUUCCUUCUUCCUCCCGUGCGUCCUCCAUCCCUUUCUCCUUCUCGUACCCUAGCAGCCGCACAUCCCUCUCUUCUCCGUUCACCCAGUCGGCCACACAAGCUGCCGGUCGUUUCUUCUUCUUCUUUCCGGUCGUCUUCCUUUUCUCCUUCGGAUCGAAACCGCCGCGCCCAUUCGCUCACAACCGUCGUGCCUCUUCGCUCACAACCGUCGUGCCUCCCUCGGAAAGCAAAUCGUCGUCCAGAUCUGCAUCGCCGAGCCGUCUAGGUCCUCGCCGCCGCAUGUGCUUCACCCUUGCAGUUCGCCGUAACCCAGAUCCGUCGCUGCAAUCGUCGAUCGGUUCGUUAAGCAAGCCGUACGCGUCACCUUGCAGCAAUCGUCCAGAUCUGCGUCGCCGUGCCCAUUCCUUUCCUCUCCGUUCGUGAAGACCUGCUGCGCAAUCUCUGUCUCCGUCGAAGCAAAGCCCACCCGCCGCCCGUUCCUUUCUUCUCCGUUUUCUACACUGCCGCGCGACUCUCCGACCGCGUCUGUCUUCACCUGCGUAAAGCCGUCGACGCAUACAUCUCGUGAAGUCAUACACGGAUCCAAGCCGAUCUCUUCCUAAAUUACGUGUCCCCUAUCAUUGGGCUCAUAUUUGGGUAAGAACAAGUUAUGGUUUUUGUUGGUUUCUUGGUUUUUGUUGAAUGUUGCCAUUGGAUUUAAUUGUUGGCGAAAUGCUUAAUUCUUGAAGGUACAUCUUGAUUCAGUGAGCGAAUCCUUGAUUUUCCAAAAGGUUGAAGUGGACUUGAUUUUCCACUUCUUGGGUAAGUUGUGGAAUUUACAUAUGGGGUAAUUUGAAUGGUUGAAACUAUUUAGAAAGAUGUUGAUUUUAUGAUUGAUUAUGUUUAGGAUUUAAUUCAUUGGAUUUAGUAAAUUGAAGAACUUGCAUAAAAGUGAGGUAAGGGAUUUUAUUUUCUACUGGACUCACCUAUGCUUUGGAAUUGUAAUGUUAGUCACCUCUGAUUGAGUAAAUGUGUUGAGACAAUAUAUAUAUACGUAUAGAUGUAGGUUCGGUGUUGAAUGUAUACUGUGGAUGAUUGAAAAUAUAUAUAUACACAUGGAUUGAAGUAGACUUGAUGUUGAAUGCAUAUUGUGAUUGUCUUGGAAUAUAUAUAUAUGUGUGUGGAUGUAGACAGGACGACAAUUGUAGAUUGUGUUUGUAUGAGAUGCGGAUGUGAACUUGUGAUUGUCGUUUAGACUGGGUGUACGUUAUACUAAAGUAUGACUGUGUGCUGGUGAACUGAGAGGCGUUAUGACUAUAUAGUUUGAUUGACUGACGUAUUAGUAUGUUACUGACAGACAUUGGGCUAAAGUGAGAUAAGUUGACUGUUAGAACGUUGAGUGAAAGAACUUUAUAUUUUGAAGUAACUGAAAGAUGGUACGAAUGGAUUGAGGGGAAAAAUUGUUAGCUUUUAUUGGGAUGUGUGCCUUGUAGGUGUCCCACGGGAUCACCAAUUAUUCUGCACCUUCGGGAGCAUUAGACUAAUAUGUGUUUCUGCAGAACACUACACUGAAAUGUACGUCCCUCGGGGCGUUAGACUGAAAUGUGCAUCCUACGGGAUCACAAGACUGCGACUGUACAGGGUGUCCCAAUAGAAUGUUAACAAUUUAUUUUUCCCAUGACGGGACCAGUAGAGGGUCUCUUACUGGGUAUUUUUAUACUCACCCUUCUUAUGUUUAAUUUUCAGGCAAAGGUAAUAAAGGUGGCAAACCGGCGAGGGGCAGGAAGGAAGCGUGAUUGCCAUAGGAAAUGUGUUAUUUUGCUUCCGCUUAUUGUUUUUUUUUAGGUUUAAGACGUUGUAUUGAAACUUAGCUUACAAACUUUUAUUUGUAAAUAGUACUUUUUUUAAGUUUUUGGAAUAUUUGAAAAUCAGGCCUGACUUAAAGUUGUUUUUCAAUUGGCUUACAUUUCAUUUUGUAUCAACCAAAGUCUUUUGUCAAAAAUUAACGACCUCGACUUACCUAGAAAAGUUGGGUCGUUACAGUUGGUCUUUGUUUUUGUCACUUUCUCAAAUAAUAAAGUAUGUGUUCUAUGGACUUAAUUAUUAUAACUUAUUUUGCCAUUUUCGCAAGUGUCCCUUAAUUGUAAUACAUGUAUAUGUGACAUAAUCUAAUCAAACUAACUCAUAAAUGAACUUAAUCGAUCUCAUGGACUACAAAUUCUUCAAUUACUUGCAAAUUUGGUGAGUUCCUUCAAACGGUGGGCGAAGAGCUUAAUUUUGAGAGAGAGGAAAAGUCGUGAAGAGUAUUUGCGAGAGAGGGGGGAACGUCGCCAGAGAGCAUUUGCGAGAGAGCUAAAGACAGUGACGAUGUGGGAUGAAGUAAGGUUUUUUUCGGUCAUUGUUCACUGCUAAAGACAGUGACGAUGUGGGAUGAAGUAAGGUUUUUUUCGGUCAUUGUUCACAAGUGGGAUGAAAGCUUCGAAUUAUUUGUUUUAAAUCAAAAAGCAUAUGAUUGAAGGAAAACAUUGAUUUUUUAUUAGGGUAAUUUUUAAUGACACAUAAUUUAUACCAUUAUUUACAAUGCGAAAAUUUUGUCAAGAAAACUCAAUUUGUGUCACAAAAAAUUUUGUAUUUUUAUUUUUAACGACACAUUUUAUUCCCUCAUAUCCCUUUUUCUUAAUUUCAAGUGUCAUUAAAACUUAUAUUUCUAAAUAAAUUUAUUCGACGAAAGUGGCUAGAUUGGUGGGUUUGACGGCGAAGGCUUGUUGUGGGAGCAACGACAACAGUGGUUGGAGUGUGGAAUCGACGACGGCAAGUGGCAAAAAAUUGGAGGGCAAGGGUUCUUCAUAACGACUCGGUAGCCCACUUCGAACUUUUUUGAAAUUUGAGGUUUUUUCAUUUGAAAAUUUUUUUAAUGACAAAAAAAUUGUUAAUUAAUGACGCAAAAAUUGUUUUGAAAUAAAUUAAAUUGUGUCAAUAUGAUUGUUUUAAGAAAUAAUCCAUAUUUUUAUUUUCAACAACACAAUGUACCUCAUCCCACCUCUUUUUUCUUUUAUUUUCAACGACACAAUGUCUUGAUUAAAAUCCAUUUUUCUAGUAGUGACUGAAAAAAAAACUGGACAAAAUCAUAAUAUCUUUGAUAAUUAAAUCACCAGUUGGUUUGAACAUAUAUAAUCUUGGAUCUAUUCUAUUAUGAUAUGACCAUGGUACAUCAUGAACAUACAUUGACUAAAAAACUUAAAUUGAUGAGUGAAUGUAAUAAAUUUAAUAUUAAUUAUAUGAUCAAUACUUUACACAUGUAUAUUGGUAUAUCAGUCAAUAACAGUAGUAAGACAAAUUAUAAAAUAUAAGGGAUAAAAGUCCUACACAUGCAUGUAUGGUAUACUCUCUUGAUAGCAAAAUGCAUUUAUGUCAACUCAUGUUUGAAUGCAUUUAUGUAGGAAAUUCAAUAAAAUAAUUAAGAAACCUUGCAAUAUGUGAGAGAUAUACGAACUUCAAACAAAUUUUACAAGUUUCAGCAAAAAUUUUCAAACAACUUUUAAAGUUUAAGCAAAAAGUAACCGUAGGUAGGAAGGGGAGCAAAAGUGGGGUCUCGAAUUAAUUCUGAAAAAUUAGUAGGCUUUCAAAAUUUAGGUUCUAGAAGUAGAAUUAUUGCAGAAAAAUAAAUAAUUGCAUCAUUCAAAUUGAAUCAAACAUAUCAGGAUGUUAUAUUCUCCACAACGUAUAAUGGAGUAUAAACAUAAAGUUUCUAUAUACAUAGCUAUGUAUCUCUACCCUUGACUUCUCUUUCUCUCUUUCUACCUUUUUUAUCCUUUCUUUCUCCCAUUCACUCAAUACACUUGCAAGAACCUUCAUUUUUUUUGUAUUUAAAUUUUCUUGGCACCAUCCUUUUUUAAUUAUCAAGGCUUUGUUAUUGUGUACCAGUAUUAUGUCGUGCCUCCUUCACUUCUCAUCAUCAUUUUCAUGUCACAUCUCUACCUUGUCAAUUUUUGUUUUUCACUCAGCUUUCUUUCUUCUUUUGUCUUCACUACUUUCUUCGCUCCUUCUUCUCAAGCUCUAACUUUUGCUAUUAUCAACCAGUCUCAAAUGACCAUUGGAAAACCUAUAGCCCACUGAGAGGCAGCCAAUAUAGUAAUGCCUCUAAUGAUAAACUCCAAUGAAAUCAAAAGUUCUUCGUUAAGAUUUGGAAAAAUAUAUCAGAUAAACUCGGACGUGGUGAACACGGUGAACGCAGACGUGGUGAACGCGGACGGACGGACGGUGAACACGACAGAAGUUAGAGAUCCUCAGAGAGAACUUGGCAUUUUCGAAUGCGGUAGAGACAAGUCUAGGGCUUCGAAGGAUUCUUCUUUCUAUCCAAACAGUCCAAAGUAAGCCAGUUAUGGAGGGAGGAAUACACAUUAGAGAGCUCAAUUAUGGAUGGAGGAAUACACAACUUUUUCUCAUGGUCAUUUUCCUCGACACUUCCAAAACCAUAAUAUAAUACUCGUGCUACAUAAAUCCCUCUUUCCAAAUAGUCGAACAUGAACUAUCCAUGCAUAUCUUGGAAUAAACAAGAGAAACCCUAACUAAACCCAAAUAGAAAAUACGUUGCAAUCUAAAAUAUACUUAAAGAAACAAAAAGAAGUUUUAAUGUUGUGGGUUUUUUACUGAUCUUCUUCAACAACAAAAUAACUCAACGCCACACUUCAAUUUUUCCUUCCACGAAUUGGGCUUUUAAAGGGUUUUCACCACGAAUUUAUCUUUUUUGGUUCGACAAGUAACAACAUGUGAAUCCCCAAAUGCAAGGUUUUAUUAAAAAUUUAAAAUAUAAUUUUUAAAAAAAAAUUAUAAUACCUAAAAAUAUUUUUUUUUUAUAUUUAUAACCUAAUUUUCUGUCAUUGCAUACUUGAGAGAAAUAUAUUUUUCAAUUAGCAUAAUAACCUUUAUAUAGUAAAUUAAAUUUGUAGAAUGAGAAAAGACCUUAGAUCCAAAAAAGUUAUUUAUUUAUUAUUGGAGUGAAUUGUAUAAUUAAUGUAGUUAAUGGAUGGUUUUGUAACCAUAAAAAAAUAAUGAAAAUAAUUUUCUAAAAGAAUGAAUGAAAAUUUGGAAAGUUAAAAGGUUUUAGGAAUUAAAAAAAAGGGUGUAACAUUAUAAAAGACUACCAAAUAUACUGUAAGAGACAUGCAUUAAAGGAGCUGAGGCAUGCAUACUACCAAAUAUACUAUAAAUAAACCAGAAUUCUUUUUUAAGAAAUUAAACAACUAAUUAAAUAUAAAGAAGAAAGAUUAGAAAAUGAAUGAUCAAACAAACUAUGACUCAUUUAUUUUUGACAGGUUCGGCUAGUAUCACCUAACAAUUCAUUUUCACCAAGAGAAUAAACAUGAGUAGCCUUGGAAUCAAGUUCCUCCGAUAAAAGCCACAGAGUUGAUGGGUUAGAGACAGAACCAGAAUUUGAGUUCAACGAUGUGGAUGCAAAAUUUUGAAACUAGCAGCAACAUGAAGUUAAGACAACGAAUUAUUUUCAAUAUAGAAAGGCUAAUUGUAAGAAGUUGUUAAUGAAGUGUCCAAAUGCAUUAUGGUAAUAUUGGAUGCAGAAUGUUUGGAAGUUUUAUCCGUGUGCUGUGAAGCACCACAGAGUUGAAGCAUAUGAAACCUGUGUUUAUCUGACAAAAAAUAGUGUCAUGAUCAUUGCCUUUCCAUUCCAUAAAUUUAUGGAUAGCAGAAGAAAGAGAACUCUCAACACUUGAAUCACCAUAUAGCACUCUACAUCCAGGUGGUGCCUUGAUUUUUGAAGAUUUAGUUAAAAGCAGUGAUAAAAUUGGUACAUAAAUUACAGUGCAUUUCUCGAUAUGCAACAACAUUAAGAGCAACUUAAAGACAACAAUCAUCAAGAAAUCUAGUAUUUAAAAUGUACAAAGAGCAGUAGUAAACAUAUGUAUUUUAUGGCUGACUUUAUCCAUAAUAAAUGUUGGAUUAAAUCAUCAAAAUAAAACACAAAUAGAUAAUUAUCGAGUUUUUCAAUGGAGGAUAGAGAGGAAGACAUGCAUGCACAACUACUAGAUCUAUAUGGUGCCAGACUGCCAGUAAAAAUUUAAAGACACACAUGACAACAUUAUUUUGGAUGAAGUUCUAAUAUUGCAACCAUGGAGGAAAAAUCAGCAAAUCUUAAAUAGAUGUAGUAGUCCAAAUGAUAAAAGUUUGUCUCAAGAUAAUAUUUUAGUAACUGCAGAUGCAUUGUGUUGAACCUAACCUCUUGUGUUUCACGGUAAUGAACAAGGACAAUGUGUUCAAAGGUCCUGAACAAAAAGCAUAAGAAAGUCAUAAAUUAUAUAAGUAGAACACGAUAUAGUGCCACUGUCUAAUUUCAUUUUUCUUUGCUUGUGGCAUGAUGGGGAUAGACCCCACUGAAACAACUGGUAGCAAGCAAUUUAACAAUUUUCUUUCAACCAUAACAUACUUAUCUAGGAGCCAAUAACACAGGCGAACAAAGGUUGGGCUAUCUAGUCCAUGGGCAUAGUAUACAUGUAAUCUUUCUACAUUACCAACAUGCUGAAGAGAAAGAAAAGAUUAUCAAAGCACACCUUUUCUUGGUUAUUAAAACUGUAAAAGAAUGAAAAUUACCAUAAAUCAAAACACAGUUAAUAUUAGACCAUUGAACAACCUAUAGAUUCAAAAGAAAAGACUCAAACCACCAAUAGACUGGUUAAUCAUUUAAAUUGAUCUCCAACAACAGUUUGGUGUAGAAAGUAAUGGAGAUAAAAUGAGAUAAAGAACCGGGUUGAUAUCUUCUUACCAAUUCUAACCGAGACCACCACUAGUACUCAACUGCUAUCCUCUAGACAAAGAACCGGGUUGUGGGACCCAAUUUUGGUGUAGAAAGUAAUGGAGAUAAAAUGAGAUUGGAAGCUUUCUUUUUUCUUUUGUUGAGAUGAUGAAAAUGAUAAAAGAGGCAAAACUUUUUCAACAUUUGAAAACACCUCUAUUUAUAACCUAAUUACAUGCAAAAAUGCAUGCAAUUCAUUUGCCAAAUCUCAACACCUAAUGUUCCACUAACAAUUAGUGGAACUUAGUGGGCUAGGUGUCUAUAUCUCAUAUAGCCACAUAUCCCACUAAGAGUUCGUGGGAUUAUCCAACAAAAUGUUGGAUUUUCCCACUAACUUAGUCCAAGGCUAAAAUGGUCAUUAGAUAAGAUAUUUCUAGUCAAAAGUCAAACUUUGACUUUUCUUAGUCAAAAGUCAAUAUUUUGACUUUUUACCA
rnacentral:lncRNA from 1 species